UUGAGACCAAUUAUCAACAUAGAAACUAGAAUAGAGUAGCAACAAUGACAACCAAGAUAUUUUCCCUCCUUAAGCUCCUUGCUCUUUCUGCAAGCGCUACUACCACGCCAUUUUCCUGCAAUGCUCACAAGCUCCUAUAGCUUCCCUUCUUCCCCCGUACCUUUCAUCAGUGAUGGCUUCAGUAUGUGAAAACCCAAUUCUUCAUCUCUAUAGGAUCCAACAGGCAAUUGCAGCAGGCAUCUUAACUUUAUCACCCUUGUUCCUCCAAUAACCGUCAGCCCUAUUACAACAGUUAUCUUUGGUGCAUUUGUUGGCACAAAGCAUCAGGGCACAAAAACUGCAUCAACUUGCGCUGGAAAACCUUACUGCCAACUCUCAGUAACAAAAGUUUAUUCCAUUCAACCAACUGGCUACAUUGAACUCUGUUGCUUAUUUGCAACAAUAACAACUACCAUUCAGCCAACUAGUUGUUGUGAGCCUGUUGCCUUCUUACAUAGCAGCAGUUGUUGCCGUUCUACCCGCACGAUGUGGCUAACACAACCACCCUCUUACAACUGCAACAAUUGCCGCCAUUCAACCAACUUGCGUUGACAAACCCAACAGCGUUCUACCUACAACCCAUCAUUGAUGGUGCCCUCUGUUAGAUUGCUUAUGAGUUAUAGUUCAAUAAUGAAGUUUUUUGGUUGAUGUUUGUGGCUUCCCAGAAAUAAUAAAGUACAUUUCUAGAUUCUCAUGUGCUACUUGUCUCCAAAUGUGGUUGAUAAUUAUUUUGCUCUAAGAUCGAGAGUAAUGAUGUAUAAAUCAUCGUUGUCGUGUGAUACUCGGUCAAUUGAGCAUUAGCACACACAAACAUGACGAGAAUGGUAUAAUCUCCAAAAAUAUGUACUUUGUAGGUGGGACCCUAUAGCCAUGCAAAAUAUGCUAUGUUAGGCAUGCCGAUGGAAACAUGUGAUGCAUAUGUUUCGUGAACCUGUUGAUAUUAUAUGUGAUUUAUAUUACGAUAUUUUACUAAAAUACUAAUAUUUAUUACUAGUAAGUUAUAACAUUCUAUCAAUCUUAAAAACCUAACCAUAAAUAUUCCAUCGUAACUAGGUUUACCAAACUAUACAAAUACACAAUAAAUACAAAAUUAACAAUACAAUAACCAAUAUUUAUGAGCUUAAUAAAUUUAAUUUUAGGGUUGGUCGAUGAUAAUCAUAUUGACUUCCCCUGACUCCUUGAUUGUAAAUAUGCCUAGACCAUGCCUCUUUCUACUAUACGGCAAACAGGGACCACUCUAGGAGACUAGGACGUUGCUUGAGACGAAGACGCCAUCAUUGAUGUAGACUAUCGACCAUCUGACUGCAGUCGAUAAAAAUUAACUAUUUCUGUGAGGCGUUUGACCAAAAAUGACAAAACUUUACUAGGUUCUGUUGGUUGAGUGAGGGCCGACAAAAGUUGAUAAAUUUUCGUGGGAUUAUUUCAAGCCGACAUAAAUUAUUUUGGCUAAUGGAAGUUUCUUUUUUCCUUAGUUGUGUGGUGCUAUACAUAUGCAUGUCUGAUUCACGUGAUAAACUAGGCUAGAAAAACAAUUAUUUGACAUGGAUUGUUGUGGAGGACCAUACCAACUGUGACUGCCAUCUCAAUCCAGCUGACAUCUAAGUGACCUUUGAAUAAAUUAUUAAGCUGACAAAACUUUGACACCAAGAAGAAAGUUUAAGUAUGUAAAUAUUUAUGUUCAUCAAGCUGCUAUUCCCUAUCAUUGGCAUGAACAUUGUCAUCAUUUAGUUCCUAAGAAUAUAAUAAAAACAAGAAGAGCCACCUCACGAGAAUCCUUUAACAUAGACUAAAUAGUAGUUUUUGUGGAACACAACAGAACUGUACACCAUUUUCAGCGGCCAAGGUUAUUUUCGGCGGCCAGGACUUAGCCGCCGAAAAUAAACCUAUUUUCGGCGGCUUCUGACACAGCCGCUGAAUAUACAUUUAUUUUUGGCGGCUACUAACACAACCGCCGAAAUAAGGUUUUUAAAACCGUCGGGCUCCUUCUCUAUUCUCUCUGUUUCUUCUCUUCUUCUCCUCGCUCGGUCGCCGCCGUACGCCGCCACGCCGCCCGCCCGUCGCCGCCGUGCCCGCCACAGCUACAUCCACGCCCCCGCCGAGGCGCCGCGCCACCCCGUGCAGCCAUGCCCCCGGCGGCUCCGUCUCGUCGUCUGCCGUCACCCUCGGCUCCCAUCGACCAAGAAAACUUGAAUACUCCUUAGCCAAAAAAUGGAUGAAUUUCACCUUCCUUAUCUUAAGCUCCUUGAUUUUUCUACUAAGUGUCGCUAUUCUAACCAUUAUCCCUUGGGUAAACCAUAUUUGAUUAUCCAGCCAAAGGACCCAGAAGAUAAAAACAAUUUUUAAUUGCUAUUUCGAGACAAAUGAAUUAGCGUGAUUCGAAAAGGAUUACGACCUUCCCCCUUGACCUUUGUCAUACUUCUUUAGUCUAAUCGAUAGAAUCAAGAAUAGAAAUCACUGAAGAAGUUGAUAAGCGAAGCUUCGACGAUAAUAGGAACAUGGUGACAAUAGGACGAACGAUGAUGCCUUUGUCUAAGAAUGUUAUCUAGAAGAAAUCUCAAUCAAUUGUCGGUACAACGAAAAGAUAGAAACAUGCACCCUUGAGUAUGAAACAUUUAUAUGUAAGAGGAAGGAGGAAUGUAAUUGCUCAUGCCUAAUCAUAUUAUUGAGAGUUUUAAGGCGAGACUUAUGGCAAAGGGUUAUACACAAAAAUAGGGGAAAGGUCAUUUCAAUACUUAAUCAAUUUUUGCCCUUCUAAUGACCAUACAUGUGUUACUUUUUUUGGCUGCCUCACAUGGUCUUAUCGUUCACCAGAUGAAUGUUACGUCUGUUUUCCUAAAUGGAGAGCUUAAUGAACAGAUCUACAAUGACUAGCCUGGUGGAUUUACACCAAUUGGUAAAGAGGAAAAGGUGUUUAAAUUAAAACAAAUUUAUGGUUUAAAACAAGAACCAAAGCACAUGAGAAAUUUGAUAAAGUUUUGACUUUGGCUAAAUUUGUUGCAAAUGAAGCUGAUAAAUGUGUCCAUUACCGGUUUGACAGGGGUGAAGGUAUAACAUUUUUUAUGUGGAUGAUAUAUUAAUCUUUUGUAAUGGUGUUAAUAUGAUCGAGGAAGUAAAGUAAUUUUUGUCUAGUAACUUUGAAAUAAACAAUCUGGGAGAGAUUAAUGUUGUUCUUAACAUAAAGAUGUUCAGAGGAGGAGGAAAUAUGGGGUUAUUCUUGUGCAAUCCUAUUAGGUUGAAAGGUCGAUGAGUUGCUUUGGAUAUAGUGACUACACGUCUGGUCCAACUACUUAUGACCCAAGUGUGCUAUUAAGGAAAAUCAUAUAAUCGCAUAUGAUCAAUUGAGAUAUUGUCAAAGCAUGGUCUUCUCAUGGAUUUGGCUAGUUCAACGAGGCCUGAUAUCUCGUUUGCUAUGAGCAAACUCAGUUGCUUUGUCUCCAAUCUUAGGGAUGAUCAUGACAUGCCCUAGAGAGGGUAUUGCGCUAUCUAAAAGGGACUAUGAGUAAUGUCAUUUACUAUACCACACACCUAAGGGUACCAGAGUGUUAUAGUGAUGCAAACAAAAUAUGUGAUGGUGAUUAGAUUUAAGCCACAAGUAGAUAUGUGUGCUUACUUGAAGGUGUGGUUGUUUCAUCGAAGUCUUGUAAGCAGACCAUCUUAACAAGGUCAACAAUAAAAGUAGAACUCACAACAUUAGAUAUUGCCAAAGUUGAUGCCGAGUGGCUUCGUGAACUCCUUAUGGAUUUACUAGUAGUUGAAAAUCGAAUACUGGUUAUCUAUAUGAGCUAUAAUGAUUAAACAUUGGUAAUCAAAGUGAACAAUUCUUAGGUUAACAUGAAUACUACAAAGCAUGUCAAAAAACGGUUGAAACUGUUAAAACACCAAGAAAUUCUAGAUUAAUUGUGUUGGACUAUGUCCAUACUUCUAAGAAUUUGGUAUGCGAGUUUAUAGAAGAUUUGUCACAUAAUGUGAUAGAUGGUGCAUCGAGGAAGAUGGGCUUGAGACCCACUUAAUGCCAUUCCAUAGUAGUAGCAUUUUCUAUGUGAUUGGAGAUCUCAUAGAGUAGAAUGGUGAAACAAGCUAGAGAAUGACUGAUGGAGAGACUCCUUAAAUAAAAUCUAGGUAAUUUCAUAUGCACAUUUCUCCUUUGAUGUACGAUAGGCUAACUAAAAUAUUAAUAUGAUUUGAGUGACUUAUCUAAGUAGGGAUGUUAUCUUACAGAACAUCCUAGAAGGAACACACCUAUAUGAGUUUCACUGCUAGUCACGAUCUAUGAUAUGUGGGCAAUAUUUAUAUACUCAUGAAAGGCCUCGAAGUUUGACUUAUAUGAUUCAAGCCAAGGGGAUUCUUGUAAUAGUCUAGUACGAGAUAAGAACUUUGGAGAAACUCACUUCAUGCAAAAUUGUCAAUUCAAGGUAUAGUCCAUUGUUCAGAUAUGAAUAUGUAAUCCCUGUUCUAGAUGGAUGGUCAACUUAACAGCCUCCACCAAAACCCUUAUAUAUCAAAGAGUAGUGGAUUUGAAUUUGUCUAAUUUGAAUUUGUCUAAUAUGUAGUUUAUGGGCUUGGCUCAUUUAAAGUAUUUAAUAAUUCUGAAAGACAAGAUUAAACUAACUAUGUAUGAUCCUUUAGCAUCGUGCAGAUGGUCAAUGGGACAGUUACAUGGUUUAUAUAGAUGGACCUAUCUAUAUUCCUUCAGUAGUUGAGAAAAAGGUAAAGGUGUGUCACACUCACACAUGCGCUGCCUCCACCGAGACAAGGCAUGGCGUUGCAAGGUGAGGCAUGGCAUGGUGCAACACGAUCGCAGUCAUGGUCGUGGCGCGGUGUAGCAUUGUUGUGGAUAGAUCGAUAAACUAUUGUUGUAGUUAGAGUACAUGAGUUUUUGAAUGCAACACUAGAAUUUUCUCAAUUUAACUUAAUUAAGAAAUUAUAUCUUGAUGACAUAGAGUUACCUGACCAUUGAUCUCACAUGCCCUUUUAGCUCUCUCGUUCUCUAGUCUCGCCUGACUAUUUAGGUCUCCUGACUCGCCAAUAGAAAGACCAUCCUAUCAUUUGCUCUCGAAUACUUCUGUGUCAUAACUUGAAAGUCGCCUAGAGCGGGAGGUGAAUAGGCGAAACCUAAAAUUUAUAAACUUAAACACACACAAAGGUCGGGGGUUAGAGUUAGAAUUAAAUUCUAGUCCAGAAGAAUAUCUCUGUUGCUAGGAGUUGCUCAAGGAUUGCAGAUGAUGUAUGUGAGCCAACUCAAAUUCACACUAGCAAGGAAAUGUUAGAGAGAGGAAAACAAAUCAAACAAGAAUCAAGGCGAGUGAACACGAUGAUUUGUUUUACCGAGGUUCGGUUCCAAAGAACCUAGUCCCCGUUGAUGAGGUCACAAAGACCGGGUCUAUUUCAACCAUUUCCCUCUCUCAAACGGUCACUUAGACCGAGUGAGCGUUUUCCUUAAUCUCUCGGGUCACUUAGACCCCGUAAGGACCACCACACACUUAGUUGUCUCUUGCUUCAAUUACAAGUCACUUGAGAAAUAGACGGGAAAAGAAAAAGGCCAAACCAAGCAACAAGAGCAACAAAGAACACAAGAUAUCCUCUCACAAGCCCUAAUGCACUAGAGUUGAUUUUGGGGCUUUGAGUGGAUUGAUUGCUUUGAUUGUGUCUUGGAGUGUUGGACUUUGCUCUUGCAAUGAAUGAGAGUUCAGAAAUGCUUGGAUGGUUAUGAAUGAGGUGGUUGGGGGUAUUUAUAGCCCCCAACCACUUCCAUAGCCGUUGGUGAAGGCUGCUAGCGAUGGGCGCACCGGACAGUCCGGUGCAUCACCGGAGAGCCACUGUGUACUGUCCGGUGCGCGCCACAUCAGCGCAACCGUUAGGGUUCGGAGCUGGUCAACCGUUGGAGUCUUUGUCGUCUUGUUGCACCGGACAGUCCGGUGCCCUCUGACUUCUGACAUCCACUGUUCAUCGCGACAGAGUCGACCGCUGGCGCAUAGAGCCGUUGCUCCGCUGGUACACCGGACAGUCCGAUGAAUUAUAGCGAAGCGCGCCCUAGAAUUCCUGAGAGUGGCUGGUUCAUCUGCUGUACGACCUGGUGCACCGGACCCUGUCCGGUGCGCCAUUUUUUAGCACACUCAAGUCCUUUUGCUCCAAUUAAAUUGUGUCCCUAACUUAAUUUCUUUCUUGGUUUGUGUUGAACCUUAUGCACCUAUAAUACAUGAAUUCUUGACAAACUAGUCAGUCCAUGUGUUUGUGUUGGUCGUCAACCACCAAAAUUAAUUAUAGGAAAUGGUUAACCCUAUUUCCCUUUAAAUCUCCCCCUUUUUGGUGGUUGAUGCCAACACAAACCAAAGCAAAUAAUAAAUGUAGAAAUAUAACUAGUUUGGAAUUGAGAUGAAUGUGCAUAGGUUACUUGGAAUUAAACCAAUAAAAUAUUUUCAACAUAUGAAUAAGAGUGAAUGGAUUGGCUUUCUUUUAUUUAAUAUUUUGGACCACAUUUGCACCACAUGUUUUAUUUUUGCAAAUCUUUUGGAAAUCUAUUCAAAAACUUCUGCAAAUAGUCAAAGGUAUAGGAAUAUGAUUGCAAGAAGCAUUUUUUAGGAUUUUGAAAUUCCUCCCCCUGUUUCAAAUGCUUUUCCUUUGACUACAUAAAAGCUCCCCCUAAAUGAAAUUCUCCCCUUAGCUUUCAAGAGGGUUUUGAAGUAGAUACCAAUUGAAAAAAUUUCUCUCACAUAUGAGUUGAAAGUUAGAUACCAAUUGAAAAUAUAUUAAUUGAAAUUCUUCCAUACUUAAUGUGAAGUUUUGAAGAUACCAAUUGAGAAAUUUUCUUCACAUACCAAUUGAAAAUUCAUUUUGAUCAAAUACCAAUUGAAAUAUACACCAGUUGAAGUUUACCAAUUAAAGAAAAUUUCAUUUUGAAUUUUUUUGAAAUGGUGGUGCGGUCCUUUUGCUUUGGGCUUAAUAUUUUCUCCCCCUUUGGCAUUAAGCGCAAAAAAUGGAGAAUUCGAGAGCCCUUUUUCUCCCUUUAUGGGGUCUAAUACUUUCUCACAAAUGGUAAAAUGAAUAUGAGUGAAUGAUUAUACCAAUUGAGAGUGUGGAGGAACAACGACAAAGGGUAUACCGUCAGAGUUGGAGUGGAAGCCUUGUCUUUGCGGAAAACUCCAUUUCUUUUUCAAUCUACGACUUAGUAUAGAAAUACACUUGAAAACACAUUAGUCAUAGUCUUGGCACAAGAAGAGUAAGAAAUAUGUAUUUGCACCAAAUGAAAGAGAUAUGAUCAAAUGUAUAUAAAUUAGCUAUGUGUGCAAAGUUUCAAUCAAAGUUCCGUGAAUCAAGUAUAUUUAGCUCAUUCCUAAGUUUGCUAAAUGUUUUCUCAUCUAGUGGCUUGGUAAAGAUAUCGGCUAAUUGGUUGUGGGUGCUCACAUAAGCAAUUUCGAUAUCCCAUUUUGUUGGUGAUCUCUCAAAAAGUGAUACCGGAUGUCUAUGUGCUUAGUGCGGCUAUGUUCAACGGGAUUAUCCGCCAUGCGGAUUGCACUCUCAUUAUCACAUAGGAGAGGGACUUUGCUCAAUUUGUAUCCAUAGUCCCUAAGGGUUUGCGUCAUCCAAAGUAAUUGCGCACAACAAUGACUUGUGACAAUGUACUCGGCUUUGGCGGUGGAAAGAGCUACAGAGUUUUGUUUCUUUGAAGCCCAUGACACCAGGGAUCUUCCUAAAAACUGACAAGUCCCUGAUGUGCUUUUCCUAUCAAUUUUACAUCCGGCAUAAUCGGCGUCGGAAUACCCAAUUAAAUCAAAGGUAGAUCCCUUGGGGUACCAAAGCCCAAACUUAGGAGUGUAAACUAAAUAUCGCAUGAUUCUUUUCACGGCCCUAAUGUGAACUUCCUUAGGAUUUGCCUGGAACCUUGCACACAUGCAUAGAGAGAGCAAAAUAUCCGGUCGAGAUGCACAUAAAUAGAGUAAAGAUCCUAUGAUCGACCGAUAUACCUUUUGAUCUACGGAUUUACCUCCCGUGUCGAGGUCGAGAUGCCCAUUGGUUCCCAUGGGUGUCUUGACGGGUUUGCCAUUCUUCAUCCCAAACUUCUUAAGUAUAUCUUGUAUGUAUUUUGUUUGGCUGAUGAAGGUGCCCUCUUGGAGUUACUUGAUUUGAAAUCCAAGGAAGUACUUCGACUCCCCCAUCAUAGACAUCUUGAAUUUCUGUAUCAUGAUCCUACUAAACUCUUCACAAGUUGACUUGUUAGUAGACCCAAAUAUAAUAUCGUCAACAUAAAUUUGACAUAUAAACAAGUAUUUUGCAACAGUUUUAGUAAAGAGAGUAGGAUCGGCUUUACCGACUUUGAAUCCACUAGUGAUAAGAAAAUCUCUCAGACAUUCAUACCAUGCUCUUGGGGCUUGCUUGAGCCCAUAAAGCGCCUUUGAGAGUUUGUAAACAUGGUUAGGGUACUCACUAUCUUCAAAGCCGGGAGGUUGCUCAACAUAGACCUCUUCCUUGAUGGGUCCAUUGAGGAAGGCACUUUUCACGUCCAUUUGAUAAAGCUUGAAGCCAUGGUAAGUAGCAUAGGCAAGUAAUAUACGAUUUGUCUCAAGCCUAGCUACAGGUGCAUAAGUUUCAUCAAAGUCCAAACCUUCGACUUGUGAAUAACCUUUGGCCUCAAGUCGGGCUUUGUUCCUUGUCACCACACCAUGCUCAUCUUGCUUGUUGCGGAAUACCCAUUUGGUACCUACAACAUUUUGAUUAGGACGUGGAACUAAAUGCCAUACCUCAUUCCUCGUGAAGUUGUUGAGCUCCUCUUGCAUUGCCACCACCCAAUCCGGAUCUCUUAGUGCAUCCUCUAUCCUGUAUGGCUCAAUAGAGGACACAAAAGAGUAAUGUUCACAAAAAUGUGCAACUCGAGAUCUAGUGGUUACCCCCUUGUGAAUGUCACCAAGAAUGGAGUUGACGGGGUGAUCUCGUUGAAUUGCUUGGUGGACUCUUGGGUGUGGCGGUCUUUGAUCUCUUAUUUCUUGAUCAUCUUCCUUGUCUUGGUUAUCAUCAUCUCCCCCUUGAUCCAUGUCCUCCUCUUGAGGUGGCUCAUCCUCUUGAUCUUCAUCUUCAUUAUCUUGAGCCUGAUCCUCGUCUUGAGUUGGUGGAGAUGCUUGCAUGGAAGAUGACAAUUGAUCUUGUGCUUGUGAAGGCUCUUCGAAUUCCUUGGGACACAUAUCUCCAAUGGACAUGUUCCUUAGUGCGACGCACGGAGCUUCUUCAUCAUCUAGUUCAUCAAGAUCAACUUGCUUCACUUGGGAGCCAUUAGUCUCAUCAAACACAAUGUCACAAGAUACUUCAACUAAUCCAGUGGAUUUGUUGAAGACUCUAUAUGCCCUUGUGUUUGAGUCAUACCCUAGUAAAAAGCCUUCUACAACCUUAGGAGCAAAUUUAGAACUUCUACCUCUUUUAAUAAGAAUAAAGCAUUUACUCCCAAAGACUCUAAAAUAUGAAACAUUGAGAUUUUUACCAGUGAGGAGUUCAUAUGAUGUUUUCUUGGGGAUUCAGUGAAGGUAGAGCUGGUUGAUGGAGUAGCAAGCGGUGUUGAUUGCUUCUGCCCAAAACCGUUCCGGAGUCUUGUAUUCAUCAAGCAUGGUUCUUGCCAUGUCCAAUAGAGUUCUAUUCUUCCUCUCCACUACACCAUUUUGUUGAGGUGUGUAGGGAGAAGAGAACUCAUGCUUGAUGCCGUCCUCCUCAAGAAAUCCUUCAAUUUGAGAGUUCUUGAACUCCGUCCCAUUAUCGCUUCUUAUCUUUUUGAUCCUUAAUCCAAACUCAUUUUGAGCACGUCUCAAGAAUCUCUUUAAGGUCUCUUGGGUUUGAUAUUUUUCCUGCAAAAAGAAUACCCAAGUGAAGCGAGAAUAAUCAUCCACAAUAACAAGACAUUACUUACUUCCGCCGAUGCUUAUAUAAGCAAUCAGACCGAAUAGAUCCAUGUAGAGUAGCUCAAGUGGCAUGUCCGCUGUCAUGAUGUUUUUGUGUGGAUGAUGGACUCCAACUUGCUUCCUUGCUUGACAUGCGCUACAAAUCAUGUCUUUCUCAAAAUGAACAUUUGUUAGUCCUAAAAUGUGCUCUCCCUUUAGAAGCUUAUGAAGAUUCUUCAUUCCAACAUGGGCAAGUCGGCGAUGCCAGAGCCAGCCCAUAUUAGUCUUAGCAAUUAAGCAAAUGUCUAGUUCAGCUUGGUUAUCAUUAAAAUCAACUAAGUAUAGCUGACCAUCUAAUACUCCCUUAAAUGCUACUGAAUCAUCACUUCUUCUAAAGACAGUAACACCUACAUCAGUAAAUAAAUAAUUGUAGCCCAUUUUGCAUAAUUGGGAAAUAGAAAGCAAAUUGUAAUGUAAAGAAUCUACAAGAAAAACAUUGGAAAUAGAAUGGUAAGAAAAUAUAGCUAUUUUUCCCAACCUUUGACCAAACCUUGAUUUCCAUUCCCGAAUGUAAUAGCUCUUUGGGGAUCUUCAUUUUUCUCAUAGGAGGAGAACAUCAUUUUCUCCCCUGUCAUGUGGUUUGUGCACCCGCUAUCGAUUAUCCAACUUGAUCCACUGGAUGCAUAAACCUGCAAAACAAUUUAGGCCUUGUUCUUACGUACCCAAACAGUCUUGAGUCAUUUGACGUUAGAAACAAGCACCUUGGGCACCCAAACACAAGUCUUGGGACUCUUGUGUUUGCCCCCAACAUAUUUGGCAACUAUCUUGCCUGAUUUGUUAGUUAAAACAUAUGAAGCAUCAAAAGUCUUAAAUGAAACAUUAUGUGCAUUUGAUGCAGUAGGAAUUUUUUUUCUAGGCAUUUUGACAUGAGUGGUAUGCCUAGAGCUAGACGCCUCAUUUUUGUACAUAAAUGCAUGGUGAGAAACAGAAUGAGGUUUCCUAGCAUGAAUCUUCAUAAUCUUAUGUUCAAGAUAGUUUGCAGGAUAUACAAUGUAACCCUCACUAUCCUAAACCAUGGGAGCCUUACCCUUAACAAAAUUAGACAAUCUUUUAGGGGUAUUAAGCUUGGUGUUGUUUUGAUUUCCUUGUUGGAAACCAAUACCAUCCUUAAUGUCAGGGCGUCUCCCAUUAUAGAGCAUGCUUCUAGCAAAUUUAAAAUUUUCAUUCUCUAACUCAUGCUCGGCAAUUUUAGUAGUUAAUUUAGCUAUAUGAUCAUUUUGUUGUUUAAUCAUGGCAAGGUGAUCAUCCAUAGCUUCAAUAUUAACAUCUCUACAUCUAGUGCAAAUAGUAACAUGAUCAACAGUAGAUGUAGAUGGUUUGCAGGUAUUUAAUUAUUCUAUCUUAGCACUUAAUCUAAUAUUCUCAUCUCUAAGACAGGAAAAAGGAUCAUUGCAAACAUUCAAUUUUUCAAUCUUAGAAACUAAACUAGCAUUUUCAGUUCUAAGACUUGAAAUUGAAUCAUGAUAAAUGCUAAUAUCCUUAGAUAAGUUUUCACAUUUUCUAUUUCCUGAGCAUAAGCAUUUUUUAAUUUAACAAUUUUAUUGUUCUAUUUAACGAGGAAGUCCUCUUGGCUUUCCAAGAGGUCAUCCUUCUCGUUAAUGGUUUCAAUUAGUUCAUUUAUUUUUUUCUUUUGUUCCAUGUUAAGGUUGGCAAAAAGAGCAAGUAAAUCAUCUUCAUUAUCGCUAGAGCUACCCUCAUCACUAGAUGUUGUAUAUUUGGGGUGGCUCACUAUACGACGGUUGAUCUUUAGCGACUCUUAUUAGGGACUGACGGUUGGUCGCUAAAAGUUAUGGACCGACGGUUGGUCGCUAAAUGCGUUUAUAGCGACGGUCUGUGGGUCGCUAAAAGUCUAGAAAUUUAACGACAUAUGGUUGGUCGCUAUAGAGGUAAGUGUGUGACUGAUGGUGGGUCGCUAUAGGGGUACGUGAUUUUUGUGUUUCUUAUUUACUCACCAAAGCCCAUCUAAAGGCCUACUAAACAAACGAAACCCUAUUUCACGCACCAAACCACAAGCGCAGCCGCCGUCACUUCUGCCCCAUCACGGCCCCAUCCUGCCGCUCGUCGACGACGCCACCCCGCCCCUCGGCCGCGGUCGCCGUCAGGCAGCCAGCCACCGCGACAUUGGCCAUGAUUUUUUGUGCCUGUUCUUGCUUAACUUUAUAACUGAUAAAGUUUCCAAUCACAAGAUUUACUUAAUUUAUACUAUUAUUAUCUUCUGUUGCAGUAUUUCCUUAUUAUUAAAGCAGCAAGGUUUGCCGCUUCCUCGUGUGUCCACGUCGGCAAAUUUUUUUGCCGUCCGAUCGUUCAUCAAUGGUGACAAUCUCACCCCUGCACAGUGUGUGUGGAUGGUUCUAGUUUCUUCUCUCACCAGCUCAUGCGUCUCCAAAGUAAAAAGGAUAAGAGAGACUCUGGGUUGCCGAGGUCCGCUUUCGUAACUACAGGAGGUAGGCAAAGGAGACGGCGACGACGAAGAACAUGUACUUCCUCCAUUACGUCCUCUAUUCCUAUCAUUGCCUUUCGUUUCUUUUCUUUUCUACAAUCGGCGUUACCUGCUGCAGUCGACGGCUCGGUCCCCUUGGUAUCUAAUGCCUUUGCGCGGCACCUGAGUUCUACACUUGCGACGAACUUGAGCAUUGCAUUCGUCGUUGUUCUUGUGUCCAUUCUUGUCUCUGACUCGGGCCGCCGCGAGUUCCUCCAUUCCCACUGCCAUGGAAUACGCCAGUGCGCUGAAUGACGCCUGCGUCUUCACGGAUCUCCUCCUCCUUUUGGCUAACAUGGCUCCUCAAAGAUGACCGCGUACGUUUGUCGAGCGGCGCUGGCAAGGGCCACGUGAACUGCGUUGGUCGACGCUUCCACACGCGCCGCUAAGCCUGCCCUGCCGCCCCCUAUGCGAUGCUGCUCCUCCCCUUUCUUCUCCGCCUAGGCUGGCGCUUGGAGGAGGAUGCCACCAAGGUUACCAACUACUUAAUGUACGCGUGCAAGAUGCUCGAUGAUACACCCCAACGGAAAGCAGUGUCGUGGACGAUGGUAGUCGUGGGGAACAUUGUAGACUCCACGCCGGUUGAGGAGGAAAAACUCCAUUGGCUCUUUUGUCACCUUAAGGGAUUUGCCUAACGUUUCCUUUUUUUUCUUUUAAAUAUGAUUUCCCCCAUACGUAUGCAGAUGCAGUUGCCAUAUUUUAAUGCUCAAUGCUGCCUACUUUAAUUUUAUGCUUAAUUUUUUUUAAUGCUCAAUGCUGCCUACUUUCCUUCACUGAUUUGGCUGCUCUUUUAUUUAGCUUAUAGCAACGGAAAAAAGUUAGCACAUUCCAAAAACUUCAAAGACUGCUGUGUACGACAUCCUAUAUUACCGGUAUGAGUACUUUUGAGAGCUUAAAUGUUGUUAGUCUUCUGUUUGCUAUUACGUGCUUUUGCUUUCCUGAAAAACUUCACACAGUUUCAGCUACGAAUUGACCAAUGACGAAAACAAGAUAUAUGAAGUGGCACAAUACUCAGUUUUACUUCUAAAAAUUGAAGAGAUUUAAAGAAGGAUUAUUCCAACAAUAAAUAUCUAUACUUUUGUUAGCAUACAUUUUCUUUUCUCAUGGCAUAUAUUUUCUUAAGGGCUAGUUUGAAAAUUUUAAAUCCUCUCCGGGAUUCCCGGAUAUUGAGAAGAAAAUGAGCUAAUUUCCCACUCAAUCCCUGAGAAUACCGGAGGAGAUUUUUAAGUUUCCAAAUUAGCCCUAAGUGUAGUAACUGAUUUUCACUUAAUUUUGCAGACUGCUUCUGUUUGAAUUGAACGGCAUCUUCAGAAUCUCGGCGACGCUAAUUUCUAACUCAUAUGGGAGAGGUCUAUUUCUAGAAUUUUUGUUUUUCUUUAAUAGAUUUGCCACCUACAUUGGCAUUUUUUCCCACUGCAAUCGAUUAUAAACUACAGUUUUGCAACCUUUCAGUGACAUGAACAUCUAACCAUAUUCAAGUUUGCCCUCAUCUCAAUAUCCAGAUAUCUCCACCUCAUCGACUCAAUAGUUAACCAUAUUCAAGUUUGCCCCUUUGAAACCAUCUGCUUGGAUUUUAUCGAUUCCAUUACCUAAAAAUAUGGUACAAUUUCAGUACGCCAGUACAUAUUAUGCAAAUGAAACACAAUUAAAAUCAGCAUUGUGAACUUUAUUGUUUGCCCAUUUUUUUGAUAAAUUACCCAUUUUAUGAUUCUACUGGGCCCUUUUCGCCUUUGCCCUACAAUUAUUCCUCCUCUUCGCUCUUUUGUUUCAUUGUUUGUUCUGCUUUGCACUUCUAUUCAUUGCAUUCUUCGUCGGUGAUUGUGCUCGUCCAGUUCGUCGGCCAUGUGUUCUAUCAUUUUCGUCAGAAAUCCUUUCUUAAGCCCUCCACUUUUCUCCUUUUUUGUUACCUUCGCACUUCGUUUUUAUUGUUCAUGUUCUCUGUCGUCGAGAUCUACUGUCUCAGGUUUAUUCUGGCUUUCAUAGUAAAUAAAUUGCUCUUCUUCCCCUCAUUUCUUGCUGGACGCAUAUUAUGCUUUUCCACUUUGCGACAACACUGUUUCCCUUAUUUGUGUUCGAGUAAAGUUCAGACUUUAUCCUCAGAGGUAAUUGUUACUUGCCUUAGCUUGCACUCUAUACACAUAAAGCGCUACUGUGCUGUUGCAUCAACUGUUUCGUUCCAUAGUUUUUGUUUUAUCCCACUUGGUUUAUGUCUUAUGUGCGCAUCAAACACUUCAAGCUAACAAUUACGCUUUCUAGUUUUGUAGACAUUAAAACAAAUGUUUCACUCCAAUGUAGGCCAAACAUAUUUAAGCGGUAUCGCAACAUGUGCAUGGUACUUUAAUGCAGACAUUUCUAAGGCACAUAUGUAGUAUAACAUGUACGGGAAAAUAGAUAAACAAAACACUAUCCAUUCUUGUAAUUACAUUUCCCCUUAAACCUGUUCUCCUUACAUGUCAUGUUGACAAUCAUCUACAUUAUCUAGCUGUCUGGUAGUAGCAUUUUUGUAAAACUAACAUACAAAUCUAGCAUUAACUUUUGCCCCAAAUUUCUAAAAUCUAUUAUGAACUACAAACAAGUUCCAAGUAUUCCUUUUCACAUGAAUAUGAGCACACUUUUUAAGCCAUCCAAUAACAUUUAAUCAACAUGUAUCGUCUACAUUAUCUAGCUGUCUGGUAGAAGCAUUUUUGUAAAAUUAACAUACCAAUCUAGCAUUAACUUUUUUCCCCAAAUUUCUGAAACAUAUUAUGAACUACAAAUAAGUUCCAAGUAUUCCUUUGCACAUGAAUAUGAGCACCCUUUUUUAAGCCAUCCAAUAACAUUUAAGCAACAUGUAUGCUUAAAUUCCACAAUACUGACCAAUUACACAAAUGUUUGCUACUAUUUCAAUUUUUGUUGUCACAUCAUUUAAAGGUUACAAAAUAUUGAACUUUAGUUGCUACGACCUACAAUACUUGAAGAAGAGAUCCAGGUUUCCCAGACACCUACUUUCGAGGACAAAACCAUCAAUGAAUUGGUUGAAAUUGAUCCAGAUAUAUUCCAUGUAAUCACUUUAACUUCCUAUUUUGUUGAACUCAUUCAUUACAUCAACUACAACUCCAUCUUAUUUAUAGUAAACUUUUUUCGCGAAAUGCAGCCACAAGGUUAUAGAUGUACUAAUCGCUAUAUCACGCCUCACACAGGAAGGUAGAUGGUGGUUCCCAUCUUGCACUAAAUGCAACAAGUCUUCAAUUCAGACCUCUACUAAAUAUCGCUGCAUACGUGUGAUUGGACAGAAACUAAAUUUAGGUAACCUUUCACACAAACAAUUACUUUGUCGUUAUUCGUCUGAGAUAAAACACUUCCUCUUACUUAUCAAAUCACUGCCACACAACAUUAACAGUUCAUAAUUCAAAGAUACAAACUCGGCUUCAUUGCUACUGAUGGAACAUUCGAAGCAGAAUUCUUUUGUUUUGACAAUAUAGCUAAACAAAUAGUAGAAAAACCUUGUGAAACCCUUGUUAGUAUCCUUCUCUAGAUUUAGUUGCCAUUGUCUCUCUCAGAUUCACCUUUGCAGAUACCAUUAAUAUGUUCGCGUUCUCCGUCACAAAUCGAGUCUUUUUUGUUCUCUCCGUGUUAACAAAUCAUGGAAGGAAAAGGUCAGCACCAUGUACCAUACAAAACUAUCAACAACAAGAAUUAGUGACACAAGAUGACAUAUUAGCCUCACAACCACAUAAAACUCUCCAACAACAUCGUUUGCAAAGCUAUCCACUUUUGGUGACCAUAAAAAUGUGGUGAGAAUUUUUUAGUGCAAACUACAACUAUUUCACAUGAACUUAUAUAUGUGCAUAGACUAAUGAAAUCUAUUUGACAGGCAUGUCACAGCCUUGCAUAUUCUAAUGCACUACAUGAUAUAGAGGUAAGUUUUUCUACCAUCACGUUUAGGCUCCAUAUGUACCCAAAAAUGACAUAAUUGUCUACCUCAAUUAUUUUGUGAUGGGAGAGAGUAUAUCUAUUCAUAAUUUGAAGACAGUGAUUUUUUUCCAUACAUAUCUAUGCAGGCAUAAAAUUACACACAAAAGAAAAAGAAUACUAUCUAUGCAAGAUGGACUCGAAAAUCCUUUCAACAUGUGGAUCAAUCUAAUUAUUUUAGAUUUUUUCUAAAUUUGCCUUUCAAUGGCUGAAGUCCCAUUUUGAUGCAAAUGAAAAAGCGAACAUCCUGUAGACUGCUGUUGCUGUGCAUCUCAACUGUUUUGGUCUUCCAAUCUUUUUGGAAGUAUUAUUAUUUUUACUUUCACUUACUCUUAUAAUUGCAUCAUGUUACACGAUGUUGACGUCAAUAUGGAUAUACACCCAAACAAUCUAAAUUCAAGGUCUUGUCAAAGCAAACUAAGGUUCUUUUUUUAAUACAAAGUCGUAUGGAUUCUGUUAGAUCUUGUAUUUUUUCCUACUAAUGUCAAUAUCAACCCGCAAGCGUCUCUUAAGUCACUCUUUUUAGGAUCAUUAUUUCACAUACUUUAAACCACAUAUGAAAUUUUGUUAGGCACACUAUUUGACAAUUCUUAUCCACUUACAGAAUGUUGACUAGCUUUCAGAACACCUUAACAAAAAAGAUCUUUUCUAAAUUUGCCUUUCAAUGGCCAAAAUCCCAUUUUUAUGCAAAUGAGAAAUGAACAGCCUACAAACUAUUUUUGUUGUGCAUCUCCACUGUUUUGGGCUUCCAAUCUUUUCUUGAGUAUUUUUUUACUUUCAAUUACCCCCUCUUAUAGUUUCAUCAUUAAAAAGUAUUGUUUUUUACUUUCAAUUACUCCCUCUUAUAAUUUCAUCGUGUUACACAAUGUUGAUGUCGAUAUAGAUAUACACCCAGACCAUCUAAAUGCGAGUUCUUAUCAAAGCAAACUUAGGUUCCUUUUUUUGAUACAAAGUCGUCUGGUUUCUCUUAAACCUAUCUAGUAUUUUGUUUCCUACUAAUGUCAAUACCGACCUGCAAGCCUCUCCUACCUCACUCUUUUCGGGAUCACUAUUUCACAUACUUUAAACCACAUAUGAAAUUAUGUUAUACAUUAGGCACACUAUUUGACGAUUCUUAUCCACUUACUUACAGGAUGUUGACUAGCUUUCAGACCACCUUGACAAAAAAAUCUGGCAUCCCCACCUAAGAAGUAUGUUUAAAAAAAAGAGGAGAGCAAAUGCAACCCGAGCAACAAGUUGCUUCCUUUUUUACACUAUGUACCAUAGUCCUUUCUAAGUUCUAACAUUGCAGAACACAUACAUGAUCAAAACUAGCAGGCUUCAAAAACAUCAAAAAGAUUUUACAGGCCCUGAAAGCGAUGUCCGGUAGAUCAACGUCAUUCUCAUCAAGGCGCGACAUAAUUUUACACCUCUUCUCUACACACAACUUCUAAUCAAUAUAAUUUGUGCAUUGUUCUUCACUCUCCUUUAUAACCUUUGCGCAAAAAUAGAAUAGCUCACAAACUCUUCAACGACAACUGAUCUGUCCUUUUUUCUGUACAGAUAAUUGCUUUGCGUAUCUACAACGACCAUCACUACUUUUGAAGCGCAAACGCUUUUAUGUACAUAUAACCAAACCGAUGAAACUUCUCUAGCUUAGUAUUUGUUUAUGCGAUCCUCAGCUCUGCUUUCUGUACCUAUGACGAUCAUCGUCACUUUUGCAAAGCAAAUGCUUUUGUGUACAUAUUACCAAGUUGAUGAAACCUUGCCAGUUUAGCGUCUGUUUAUUAUGAUCUUUAGCUCUUGGAACACACUGCUGAAAUACAAUGUAAUAUGUAUAGUCCUCUCAGUCUACUCUAGACUUGCUGUAACCGCUAUAAUUAUUAUCUUAGUACAACAAUUUAUGUAAGCACUGGGACCAGUUUAAAUUUGCUCUUAAACUGAUGACAGCAUGUGCUAUAUAACAAGUUCUGAGUGUACAUUAUCCCAAUGAAAUUGUGUCAUUAUCCUAACAAAAUUGAUCAUAAAAAUAGUUCAUAUUGCUGCAGGUACGCGCGCAUGGGCGCGCACGAUACACUAGUUGAUUAUACUUAAAAAUGUACAUCCCAAAUGUCGCUUAGUCCAAACCGUGUAUAUUUCACCCAAACCAACUCGAGUUUGUAUGUGUAUUUGCCUACUCGAGUUUGUAUGUGUAUUUGCCUUCGUAUUUUCGAGAAUGAAAUAAAAUUAAGUGGGAAAAUCCCAUUUUUCUUUAUCCUCCACCGCCGUAUUUUCUUUUUGCUCCCCGAAGCUGCAACCAUCGUUUCCUCCUCUCCUGAAGCACGACAGCCAGUCCAGCCACCAUUUGGGUGCUCAUCUCCCUCUGCUCGGCACCUAGCCCCAGCUCGCCCGAGCUCCCUGCGCCGACCUCAUCUUCCCCAUGGCGCGUCACCUUCUAGUCCUCUCCUUCCCACGGCACAGCAGCGCCCCUGCAGCUCCCCUUCUCCAGAUCCAUGGCACCCAACACCUUGAGCGCCCCUGCCGCUGCUCCUCCACCGGGAUCUCCUCCUCCACUAGGCGUCCAGGCUUGUCCCACCGUGGCUGCCCCUCCUCCAUCUCCUCCCUCCCCACCAGGUUACCCAGAUUCCAUGGCCGCCGCCGCCCCAGCCAUCUCCCUGGUGGCCGACCUCGCCCCUGCCCCAGCCACAGCUCCCCCUUCGGCCCUGCUGCUGCAAGCACUCAGCCUCUCCCAUGGCACACGGUACUCGUCCAGCCCCUUUCUACUGGUGGCUGAGCCAUCUCUCUGGUGCUCGAUGAAAUGACCAUGAGGAGUUUUGUGUUGUGUGCAGCCCCAUCUGCAACACCGUCGACCCCCGACGAGGUCCUUUCUCGCCUUGUCGUUUUAGUACUCGGCGUCGAUUAAGUAGAUGCUAACCGUGUGUAUAUUCGUGUGUUCUUGUGAGGAGAAAUCCCAUGAUUUGGGGGAAGACGAAGUCCAAGCACAACCCCCGCCAAUCGCUCGAUGAAAAAUCUAAACCAAAACCCUCAGCGUUUUCAAGGGUUCCGGAGGGAUUUUAUGUUGGUAAGGUAAUUUGUGUCCUAAUUAGUUCACUCAGUUAUUGAGUUGAAGAGAUUGUUAGUUGUAUGUGUCGAUGAUGCUAUUUUGAUUAGCAGGUGUUGUGCGGUGUGAUCUCCAAUUCCCUAUUGCUGUUUUCUUACUCCAUCAUGACCUUAGGGAAGGAUGUUUUCCUCUAAAUUACUCGUAAUAAUUAUGCUUGGUGUAUGUGUUGUUUUAGCUACUUGAUGAAAUGUUUUAGUUGUGUGCGAUAAUAUGGUUGCCGUUCGAGUGGAAAGUAGAUGUGUUGUAUGACCUGAGUUGGAGUUGAGGCAAGUAUGUGUGUCUCGUAUUACGAAACUAAUUAGAGAUAUGCAUGAUGUUUGUAGAUGGAUUAUGUGUAGAGUGUUUUAGUACAAGUAUUUUUUUUAGGUAUAGUUGAACCAGUUAUUGUAUAUGAAUUGUGCGAUAUCAAGGUAGUUCUAAUGUUCUUUUAACAUCUUGCUAAUAAGGUGUUAGAGUAUUCUAAAUGCCAAACAUAGGAUAAUUUUACAAGCCAAAUAGAAGUUAAAUUGAAGGUAUUGCUGUUUAGGGCUGUAGGUAUAGUUUUAGUUAUGCAGCUAGUCCAAUAAAGUAGAUCAUGUUUUCUGUAGAAGCGUUAUAUAUAAAACUUGUAGAUAAUCUUUUUAUCUUACUUGUGUAAAAAUUUCAUGACCAUAGGUGUAGUAGUUUAGGAGUUAUGAUUUUUCCAAGUCCAGUCUCAGAAUCUGUCCAAAUUCUGUACAGGUUUCGAAAAUUGGAUUGCUUGGCUAAGCUAAACUGAGAAUCAGCCCUUAGUAAUUAUAGAAGAAUUUUAGUACUUUUCUUAAGCUUUCCAACAAAUUUUGGAGCACCCUUUUUGGUGGUCUAGAUAUCAAGUUACAGCUGUUUGAACUAUAGAGUCUGAAUUUGUCCAAAUUUGGACAGCGAAGUCUGUUUGUAGUAACUGACUUUGAUAUGUAUUGAAUUAACCUGAGAUGUUUAUAAAUGAAUUGUAGACAAUUCUAUUAACUUUCUAAAAAGUCUAGGAUCACCUGAUUUGGAUUUCGGAAACUCCAGUUCUGGACUUUUGAAGUAAGUAGUCGAAUUCUGUCCAAAUCUGGACAUAAUUUAUGUUUAGCGCUGUUUGACCUUUGUAAAGGUCGAAUUUUGUUGUGAUGGUAAUACAAAAGUUAUAGAGGACUUUAUAAGCUUUCCAAAAAGUUCUAGUUUACUAUUAUUGGAUACAUAUUUUAUGAAUUGUGAGCUAAACAGAUAGUUGCUGACUUGCUGUUCUGCUGUCCAAACACAUGUCUACUGUCUGAAAAUAGCUCAUUUUGUAGUUACAUUUGCAUUAGGCUUUGAUGAUUGCUGUACAAGGAUGAUAUGGCCUCCCGCCCAAAGCUGUCUGGUAUUCAGAAGCAGGUUUUGGCGCUGUAUAGGGGAUUCCUUCGGACAGCACGCCUUAAGGCCCCUGAAGAACGCCGCAGGAUCGAGUCUGUUAUCUUGGCAGAGUUCCGUGACAACGCAAGGAGUGUUGACCUUAGGAACUUUGUACACAUAGAGUACUUGUUGAGGAGAGGGAAGAAGCAUCUUGAGCAGCUCAAGAAUCCUGAUAUUACUGGACUCGCUACCCUUGUAGUAAAGAAAUGAGGUACGUAGUUUUCAAAAACACUUAUUUGACUGUGCAUGGUCUUCGAAACAAGUUUUAGUUUUUAAGUUUGACCAAAUCUUGUCAUAAACAUCAAGUUUUUUUUUUAAACAACGGAAGUCGAUUAGUAUUUAAAAUCAGCAAGUAUCAUCCAUUAGUAUUUUAGGUCUUUAGAUUUAAAAAUUGUGGACUUGUCAAAACUCUAUGUUAUUUGAUAAGGCUCUACUUGUUAAAUUAAGUGGUGUGGUGCUUGAUUUAGUCGAUGUGCUAUGCCCGAUAAUCUAGAUUAGUAACUCUAAAAUCUAGUUAAAGUAUUUCUAUUCGUCACUUUAAGUUAUAGGUAUCCAUGGUUGUUGUGUCUAAGUAUCCGAUUUCUGAGCUCUGCCCCUGCUGUUUAGGAUAGCAUAUGGAGUUCUUUAUGUUCCACAAGCACAAUUGAUCUUAUGGAAUGGAAAUAGUAGAACAUUACCUGGUGAGAGCACACAAAUACCUUAUACAAAGCAGGUAUUGAGUCAAAUUGUUGUGUACCCAUUUGUGGUCUGGAUACACUGGUUUGGUGAAAAUGAAAUAUGCCCAAAGCAACAAAACCCAGUUCACAUGAACUGCUAUCCUGUAUUUACGAAUCUUGACUAGUCUAGUAAUAUAUGUAUGUGGAAAUAUGAAGGUUUCUUUAUUUCUCUUCUUAAACAGCAAGAGAAGAAGGAAGACUAGUCAGACAAAAUAGAAGACGAGAAGAACUGAUGUAGCCAUGUUCAUGCUUCCAUGUAAUAGUUCAUUAUUCCAUACAUAUUUCUGUCUAUCCAGAAUCUACUAUUGAAAUACAUAUCUAGCAUAGCUUGCUCAGCUCCUAUAUGUUGUUUCAACGUUGAUUUAAAAGAAGAGCUGGUAGUUGUGGGCUUUUGAACAAUAGCUGGAGUGAUAUGAAAUAUUAGUGAUGUAGUUGUGGGCUUUUAAACUGCUUCAAGCUGGAGUGAUGUCGCUGUGGUGCUUUUGUGACUGAUCAUCUCUAGAGCUUUUGUGAAUGAUCUAGCUAGCUAUCUGUAAAUGAUCUAGUUGUGAAUGAUAUUAUAAUUGUGAUGCUUUUGUGAAUAUAUAAUUGUGGUGCUUUUGUGUUUAUGUGAUGGAUCUAUGACUGUGGUAUACUGAUUAACUGUGUAUGUCUUUAUGAUUUGUGUAUAAAAAUCUGUGAUUUGUGGUGCUUAAUUAAAUGUAUAUUUUUAUUAAUAACAACUGUAAAAGGGCGACUUUUUGUUGGUUGCUAAAUGUAUAGUAUGACGACUUACAGUUGGUUGCUAAAUCUAUACUACAGCAACCCACGGUUGGUCGCUAAAUAUACAAUAUUAGCAAUAGACGUCGGUCGCUAAAAAGAUGUCGGUCGCUAAAGCCUUUAGCGACGGCACUUACAGCGACCAUCCUUAUGGGUCGCUAAAAGUUUUUAGCGACCAACCGUAGGUCGCUGAAGGCCGUUUUAGCAACCAACCGUAGGUCGCUGUAAGUGAACCGUCGUGUAGUGGCUCUAGAGUGUACCUUUUUCUUCUUGCCGUCCUUAGCCAUGAGACACUUGUGGCCGAUGUUGGGGAAGAGGAGGCCCUUGUUGACGGCAAUGUUGGCGGCGUCCUCGUUGGAGGAGGAGUCGGUGGAGCUCUCGUCGGAGUCCUAUUCCCGACAUAUGUGUGCAUCGCUGCCCUUCUUCUUGUAGUAUCUCUUCUUCUCCUUCUUCUUCCCCUUCUUGUCUUCGUCCCUGUCACUUUCACUAGAAAUUGGACAUUUAGCUAUGAAAUGAUCGGACUUACCACAACGGUAACACACCCUCUUGCAGCGGGACUUGUAGUCUUUCCCCCCUCCUUUGUUUGAGGAUUUGACGGAAGCUCUUGAUGAUGAGUACCAUCUCCUCAUUGUCGAGCUUGGAGGCGCCGAUUGAAAGUCUACUUGGUGUAGACUCCUCCUUCUUUUCUUCUGUCGCUUUGAAUGCGACGGGUUGCACCUCGGGUGUAGAGGUGGCACCUUGCUCCAAGUUGACAAUGUGUUUGGAGUCUUUGAUCAUUAGUUCAAAACUCACAAACUUGCCAAUAACCUCCUCGGGAGACAUUAGUUUAUAUCUAGGAUCCCCACGUAUUAAUUGAACUUGAGUAGGAUUGUGAAAUACGAGGGAUAUAAGAAUAACCUUGACCAUCUCAUGGUCAUCACAUUUGGUGCUCCCGAGGUUGCACACUUGGUUCACCAUGGUCUUGAGCCGAUUGUACAUCGCUUGCGGCUCUUCUCCUUUGUUGAGGACGAAUCGACCGAGUUCUCCUUCGAUCAUCUCGCGCUUGGUGAUCUUGGUCACCUCGCCCCCUUCAUGCGCGGUUUUGAGGAUGUCCCAAAUUUCUUUGGCACUCUUUAACCCUUGCACCUUAUUAUACUCCUCUCGACACAAGGAGGCGAUGAGUAUAGACGUGGCUUGGGAGUUAAAGUGCCUAAUUUGGGCGGCCUCGUCCGAGUCGUAGUACUUGUCCCCCACCUUUGGUACAUGCGCUCCAAACUCAACAAUAUCCCAAAUGCUUUCAUGGAGUGAGGUUAGAUGGUGCCUCACUUUAUUACUCCACAUACAAUAAUCUUCACCAUCAAAAUAUGAUGGUUUGCCUAGGGGUACAUAAAGUAAUGGAGCACGCUUUGAAAUACGAGGAUAACAUAGGGGCAUCUUUCUAUACUUCUUGCGCUCAUGGUGCUUAGAAGUAAUGGACAAUUCGGAGCUUGAUGUGGAGGGUGACGAAGAGUCGGUCUCGUAGUAGACCACCUUCUUCAUCAUCUUCUUCUUGUCACCUCUCCGAUGCGACUUGAUGGAGGAAGAGGAUUCCUCCUUGUGUUUGUUGCCGGACUCCCUUGAGAGAGUCCUCCCCAAGCUUGCGGCCUUUUUCGCUGGUCAUGAUCUCCCUCUUGGCGUGAUCUUCAGACAUCACUUCGAGUUGGUUAGACUCUUAAUGAAGCACUGGCUCCGAUACCAAUUGAAAAGUCGCCUAGAGGGGGGUUGAAUAGGCGAAACCUGAAAUUUAUAAACUUAAACACACACUAAGGUCGGGGGUUAGCGUUAGAAUUAAAUUCAAGUCCAAAAGAAUAUCUCUCUUGCUAGGAGUUGCUCAAGGAUUGCGGAUGACGUAUGGGAGCCAACUCAAAUUCACACUAGCAAGGAAAUGUUAGAGAGACGAAAACAAAUCAAACAAGAAUCAAGGCGAGUGAACACGAUGAUUUGUUUUACCGAGGUUCGGUUCCAAAGAACCUAGUCCCCAUUGAGGAGGUCACAAAGACCGGGUCUAUUUCAACCCUUUCCCUCUCUCAAACGGUCACUUAGACCGAGUGAGCCUUUUCCUUAAUCUCUCAGGUCACUUAAACCCCGCAAGGACCACCACACACUUUGGUGUCUCUUGCUUCGAUUACAAGUCACUUAAGAAAUAGACGGGAAAAGAAAAAUGCCAAACCAAGCAACAAGAGCAACAAAGAACACAUGAUAUCCUCUCACAAGCCCUAAUGCACUAGAAUUGAUUUUGGGGCUUUGAGUGGAUUGAUUGCUUUGAUUGUGUCUUGGAGUGUUGGGCUUUGCUCUUGCAAUGAAUGAGAGUUCAGAAAUGCUUGGAUGGUUAUGAAUGAGGUGGUUGGGGGGGGUAUUUAUAGCCCCCAACCACUUCCAUAGCUGUUGGUGAAGGCUGCUGGCGAUGGGCGCACCGGACAGUCCGGUGCGCCACCGGACAACCAUUGUGCAUUAUCCGGUGCGUGCCACGUCAGUGCAACCGUUAGGGUUCGAAGCUGGUCGACCGUUGGAGUCUUUGUUGUCUUGCUGCACCGGACAGUCCAGUGCCACAUCGGACAGUCUGGUGCUCUCUGACUUCUGCGCUCUGACUUCUGACAUCCACUGUUCAUCGCGACAGAGUCGACCGUUGGCGCAGAGAGUCAUUGCUCCGCUGGUACACCGGACAGUCCGGUGAAUUAUAGCGGAGCGCGCCCUGGAAUUCCUGAGAGUGGCUGGUUCAUCUGCUGUAUGGCCUGGUGCACCGGACACUGUCCGGUGCGCCAUUUUUCAGCACACUCAAGUCCUUUUGCUCCAAUAAAUUGUGUCCCUAACUUAAUUUCUUUCUUGGUUUGUGUUGAACCUUAUGCACCUGUAAUACAUGAAUUCUUGACAAACUAGUUAGUCCAUGUGUUUGUGUUGUUCGUCAACCACCAAAAUUAAUUAUAGGAAAUGGUUAACCCUAUUUCCCUUUCACAACUCAACUGUCAGAUGAGUACUCCAUUACAGCACUUACGUACACGAGUUCUAUGAGAGCAGACCUCCAAAAUGAAUAUCUGCUAAGUGUUUAUCUACUUAGAUGAAGGACGACAAUCACUUUCUUGGGAAAUAUUAGCGACACAACUCCUUACAUCCUCCGCUUCUUCCUAGUGUUUUUUGUUGUGAUUGAGUCGACACAGCAACAACACUGCACUAUUACAACCAGUACGACUAUAUCAACUAGCAAUGUCUUCCUUAUAUGUUACUAUUUAUUUUGCUAAUAUUCAUUAUGUUUAAAUCACAUGUGCACCUUUCUAUUGACAUCAAAAAAUUAGUGGGGAUCGAGUGAUUCUUUAAACCGAUUAUUACACAAGUUAACCACACUAAAAUUAACAUUGGUGAAUCGUGCCAUGAUUUUUUUCUAGUGCAAAAUAGCCAAACCAAGCAAAACAUAUGUGGCUAUCGUUACACAUGUGUAAAGGUAUUGCAUCACACCAUUGUCACCCAUGUAUUUGGACAAUACCGAGAGGAAAAACCACUUAUUUAUUGUAUUUUAUCAAGUUUAUCUUGCUUACGUAUAAAUUAUAACCCAACAAAGUAAUCACUAAAUGUCAAAACCAACUAGAUACCAUGUCAUCUCUACCUUAUCUUACUAAUAUUCUUUUUGCAAAAUCGAAAAUUAAUCUUGCACAAGCACAAGGACUGAGAUGUGUAUAAAUAUCUCUUAGAUUAGUAGAUAAUAUAUCGCACAUAUUAUUGAGACCAACUAGCAACAUAGAAAGCACAAUAUUGUACCAAUAAUGGCAGCCAAAAUAUUUUGCCUCAUUAUGCUCCUUGGUCUUUCUGCAAGUGCUGCUACGGCGAGCAUUUUCCCGCAAUGCUCACAAGCUCCUAUAGCUUCCCUUCUUCCCCCAUACCUCUCACCAGCGAUGUCUUCAGUAUGUGAAAAUCCAAUUCUUCUACCCUACAGGAUCCAACAGGCAAUCGCAGCAGGCAUCUUACCUUUAUCACCCUUGUUCCUCCAACAAUCAUCAGCCCUAUUACAGCAGUUACCUUUGGUGCAUUUAUUGGCACAAAACAUCAGGGCACAACAACUACAACAACUCGUGCUAGCAAACCUUGCUGCCUACUCUCAGCAACAGCAGUUACCUUUGGUGCAUUUGUUGGCACAAAACAUCAGGGCACAACAACUACAACAACUCGUGCUAGCAAACCUUGCUGCCUACUCUCAGCAACAACAGUUUCUGCCAUUCAACCAACUAGCUGCAUUGAACUCUGCUGCUUAUUUGCAGCAACAACAACUACUACCAUUCAGCCAGCUAGCUGCUGCCUACCCCCGGCAAUUUCUUCCAUUCAACCAACUGGCAGCAUUGAACUCUCAUGCUUAUGUACAACAACAACAACUACUACCAUUCAGCCAGCUAGCUGCUGUGAGCCCUGCUGCCUUCUUGACACAGCAACAUUUGUUGCCGUUCUACCUGCACACUGCGCCUAACGUUGGCACCCUCUUACAACUGCAACAAUUGCUGCCAUUCGACCAACUUGCUUUGACAAACCCAGCAGUGUUCUACCAACAACCCAUCAUUGGUGGUGCCCUCUUUUAGAUUGCUUAUGAGUUAUAGUUCAAUAAUAAAGUUUUUUUUGCUGAUAUUUGUGGCUUCCCAGAAAUAAGAAAGUACAUUUCUAGAUUCUUAUGUGCUUCUAGUCUCCAAAUGUGGUUGAUAGUUAUUUUGCUCUAAGAUCGGCAGUAAUGAGGUAUAAAUACUUGUUGUCGUGUGCUACUCGGUUAAUUGAGCAUUAACACACAUAAACAUUACAAGGAUGGUAUAAUCUCCUAAAAUGUGUACAUUGUUAGGUGUAACCCUAUAGCCAUGCAGAAUGUGCUAUGUUAGGCAUGCCGAUGGAAACGUGUGACACAUACGUUUUGUUAACCUAUUGAUAUUAUAUGUGCCUUUUAUAUUACCAUAUUUUAUUAAAAUACUAAUAUUUAUUACUAGUAAGAUAUAACAUUCUAUCUAGCUUAAAAACUAACCAUAAAUAUUCCAUCAUAACUAGAUUUACCAAACUAAUAUACUAAAUAUACAUAAUAAAUACAAAAUUAACAAUACAAUAUCAAUAUUUAUGAGCUUAAUAAAUUUAAACAUUAUGGUUGGCCGACGAUAAUCAUACUGACUUUCCGUAAUUGCUUGAUUGUAAAUAUACUUAGACUAAUGCCUCUUUGUUCUACAUGGCAAAUAGGGACCACUCUAGGAGACUAGGAUGUUGCUUGAGACGAAGAUGUUAUCAUUGGUGUAGACUAAUUUCUAUCAGCCGCUGACUUCACUAUUGUAACCAUUAUCUCUUGGGUAAAUCAUAUACGAUUAUCUAGCCAAAGGCCCAGAUGAUAAAAACAAUUUUUAAUUGCUAUUUCAGGACAAAUGAAUUAGCAUGGUUCGAAGGAUUGCGACCUUCCCCCCAUGACUUUUAUCGUAUUGUGUUAGUCUAAUCGACAAAACCAAGAUUAGAUAUCAUCGAAGAAGUUGAUAAGCGAAUCUGUGACCACUAUCAGAAUCAGCUGCUUUGCCGAGUGUCUAAAACACUCGACAAAGCCUGAAAAACACUCGGCAAAGGAUUUGCCGAGUGUAACACUCAGCAAAGAAAGCUCGGCGAAGUAUACAUCGGCAACGACUUCUUUGCCGAGUACUUUUUAUCGGGCACUUGGCAAAGAAGCGUCAUUGUCACGACGAUAGGUAAUGCCGACGGAGUCUGUGACGAGUGUCACAGAGUGACGCUCAGCAAAGGCUCACUCUUUGCUGAGUGACCACUGUACAGACACUCGGCAAAGAAGCCCCCGUGGGUCCCUUUAUCAGGGCCUUUGCCGAGCGUAUUAGGUGGCACUCGGCAAAGGCUCCAUCUUUGGUGACUGCCCGCCAGACUAGCAAUCGACAAAGGGAUCAACAGCGGAUCCCUUUGUCAGUUCUUUUGUCGAGUGCUCUAGGAGGCACUCAAUAAAGCUUGUGUUGGGGGCCUUCUUCUUCCGAAGGUCCUCAAAAACGUGACUAACCAUAGGUUUUCAGUAUGACAUAGACUAUUAUAGGAAGCUUUGGCUUUGGGAUGAAGGCGUGUGAUAUGAGGAUACAGCCCAAAGGCAACAUGGAUGGACGUCGAAGCUAUGGCUAAAGGAGUUUCGGCUUGGCAUGUUAGCGAAGAUGAAGGACGAAACCGACCUAAGGGAGAAAAGACUAGUUAGUCCUUGAUAGUUUGCAUUAUGAUUAAGAGCAGAUAUCAGGGGCAUGCAUGUAAUCUUAUCCGGGCUGCGUCCCGUGCCUAUGAAUAGAUGAAUAGUAACACCGUACUGUUCACGCUGGAUUAUAAUCGCUCCUACGUCACUCUCGCGUCUUCACCUUUUGGUAAGCUGAAGGUAUCAAUGUAAUACAAAUAUUGAUGAUGUUUAUUCAUGUUUAUGAAAUGAGAAUAUAAAUAGCUUGCUGAUUCGUAAUCAUUAUUUAUAUUCUUUUGUAUUUCAUGUACCCUUAUUUAGAUGUGUUCACUGAGAUGAUGAAGGUAUGCCCUUCAUGACCUUCGUUCGGAAACCAUUAUAUCCAAAAGGAGAUAAUGCUUCGAAGGACGAAGGUCUCUAAUUAUUGACAAUCAUGUUGUCUUGUUCUUGAUGUAUAGCAUUUGGGAACAAGGACCAACAUUGGCGCCCACCUCCCGUGAACUCAAUCGACCACCUUCGGCAAGCAUCGACUUUCGUAAUGCCGCCGAAGAAGACAAUAGUGCCAGGGGCUGCCCUGCAGCCACUGGACACUAAUCAGGAAACGCUGCGAGAAGCUAGGAUCUAGAAGAGGAAGGCUACUAGCCCAACACCUCAGGAGGAGGAGCUAGAUCAGGAGAUCAGAGAUUUGGAGGCUAUCACCAGCAGGUACAAAGAAAAAGGGAAAAGAUGCUUCAGCUCGUCGAACUUCAGAGAAAGAUCGACAAAGCUGCUGAAGAAAUGCGUCACCUUACCCAGGAUGACCAAGACCGAAGGCCCCAACAUAGGGAGCUUCAUCAAGAAAGCCCAAUUAAUGACGAUGAGUGGUAUGGUGACUUUCAUCGUGGCAAUUUUGCUUUUGAUGAUGCUUCUCCCUUGGCAGCAGAAUUGCAGGCUACCCCGUGGCCGCCAUCAUACAAGCCACCUCAGCUCCCCAUGUAUGACGAGCACUCAGACCCGAAGCAACCAUAUCCUCAUAUGGGGGCAAUACUGCGGUCAUGGCAAAGUCCUUCGUCAUGGCAGUUAGAAGCGUGGCUCAAACAUGGUGCUCUUCUCUUCGGCCAGGGACAAUUACGUCGUGGCAAAAGCUAAAAUACAUACUGGUCACUAGCUUCUAGGGUUUCCAAUCGAAACCAGUUACUGUCCAAACUCUGUUCCAGUGCACACAGGACCAAGAAGAAUACCUCCAAGCGUAUGUCCGAAGGUUCCUGCGAUUGAGAGUUCAGGCGCCUACAGUGCCCAAUGAGAUUGUCAUUGAGGCCAUGAUCAAGGGGUUCAGACCAGGACCAACGGCGCAAUACUUUGCAAGGAAGCCACCACAAACCCUAGAGAAGCCGACGAUGAUUUUCGGCAAAGAAGGCAAGAAGCCUACAGAUACUCUGAGAUGGCCAGGGGCUUCGGAGGAAGAUUUCACCCUAGGCAUGUCAGGUCAAUCCAUAAUACCAGCUCAAGUGACGACAAGGGAAACCAUACCCAAAGGCAGCAACACAGCUCUCAGUCGUCAGGAGCACAACAAAGCUCUUUGAGGCCACCGGCUCCAAGAGGUAGAGGGGGGAGAAGCUUCGGAGGAAGAUAUGGAGAUCAGCCCAGUAAACAGUUUUGUUUGUUCUGCGGUGAAGAUAAGGGGCAUACCACAAGAACGUGCCAAGUUAUGAUUCAGAAGCAGAAAGAAAUUGCUGAAGCUGAAGCACGUUCGAAUCAGCCGAAGCAGGUUCUGCAUACUGCUUCGUGCUACUCUCCCUACGUCCCGGAGUAUGUAGACAAUCAACAGCCUACGACCUUGGUCGCUUCGGCAAGCCAUUCUCAAGCUUCCUGGGCCCAGUUGCCACCACCACCACCGCUAGCACAUGCUCUGGUCCGCAAUCAAUAGCCAGAAGGGCACCACCAUGCUUAGUAAUAGCGCGACCUUCGGGAGGAGUCCGAAGCUCGCACAGUCAACAACAUUGUGCCUAAGUCGAAGCACAUCUAUUAAAGGUGCCACGGUGAUUCAAUUAAAGAAUAUCUUACCCUAAUGUAUCUUAGUUUUUCCGCCAUUUUAUUUUCUUGCAUGAAAAACAAUUCACGAAGGAUUAAUUUCCAAUUUGAUGUAAUAAUACCGUGGUCGCACCAUCGAGUGUGGAGCGCAUCGCCUUAACAAUACUUCCGAAGCUACAAAGACGUUCCUAAGGGAGCGCGGAGUAAGUUCUGAAGCUACAAAGUUGUUCAUAAGGGAGCGCAGAGUAAGUUCCGAAGCUCAAAAGUCGUUCUUAAGUGAAUGCAGAGCCAAGAUGCCACCAAAAUAAAAGGUGAAGAAGCUCAAAAGUCAUUCCUAAGGGGAUGCAGAGCUUAAAUGCCACCGAAAUAGAAGGUGAAGAAGUUCCAAAGUCGUUCCUAAGGGGAUGCAGAGCUUAGCUCCAAAGAUGUUCCUAAGGGGAUGCAGAGCUGAAAUAUAACCUAAGUAAAAAGUGAAGAGACUCAAAAGUCGUUCCUAAGGGGAUGCAGAGUCUGGAUGCAUUUUCGAGUGGGUGUGUUUCUUCGGCAUAAACAUCAUGCUGUAUCAUAUCAUCACAUCAUUUCUCAUAGCAUUACAUCAUACAUCACAUCACAUCAGCAACAGAACUGUGGAGAAGCAAAGAUGCUUCUUUCAAAAUAUUUGAUGAAUGGAACAAUGGGCUGAAGCAGAAAGUGUACCUUCAACAGCUAUAAUUUUACAUACCAAGAAAAAUCUUCGUCGACAAACAAUAUUAUAUAACAGCUACGACAUAAGAAGGGGUGAUUUUUUAUUUGUGAAGCAUGAAAAGAAGGGAAGGUGUUUUUUCACCAAAGGCUAAAAAACAGGUAAGUACAUACAUUUCAUGCAUCACAAAGAAAUAUAUUACAUUAAUAUACAAACAAAUGUUCGAUGUUCGACUCAUACACGAAUAUUACAUUUCUUAGUACACAAGAAUUUAGUCUUCUUUCAAUAUUUUCUCGGUAGCUUCAUGUAGGAGUUUGUUGACAGCUUCAUCAACGGCUUCUUCGGCAAUCCUUAUCGUUUCUAAUGCCCCCCUCAUGGCCGGAUCGGCCUCGGGAUCAUAUGGCUCAGGCGGUGGUGAAAAAUCAGCUGUAAUAAAGAACAAGUUGUUAAUAUCAAAGCCAGAAACAAAUACUGAAGCUAAAAUUCAGUAAUAAUACCUAUACGCCUUGCGCGCUCAGCAACCUCUUGGCUCGCUUAGCUUAUUCUCGAGCAUCAUGGGAUUCUUUUUCAUUUGUCUUUAUAGCUUCAUCGGCUAUCUCACGGCCACCUUUCAUCCAAACAUUGGAAUAAAACUUCUCGCCCAUCAAAGUAGCUUCGGCCGAAGGCUCCUUCAUGUCGUCUAUGGAGAAGACGGCUUCCGCCUGGGCUGCAGUUUUAACAUGUUCACAGCCAGUUUUCUCCAAAACUGCUGCAACCCCUCGGGCACCGGCGAAGGCACAAAAAUCCUCGCGUUCGCUAAGUAUUUCCUCAAAAGCUUCAACUUCUUCGCAAAUCCAUUGAACGACUCCUUUUGGAUCGCCUCGAAUAAAUUUUUGCUCCGAUGAGUAUGCACCCACCUUUGCAAAACUGUCUUUCAGUUUCUUUGCAUAGUCCAUGGAUACUUCGUAGCAUUUCUCUCUGGAACCCCGAAGUUCUUCAACAUUCUUCUCAAGCCUGGAGCUUGUCCAUUCACUUAUAUCUUACUUUGCCUUAGCAAGUUCAAUAUUUUCGCUCAUUUCGGCAAGUUUUUUGUGAAGGUCUUCGACUUCGGCUUGGUGAGCUUCGGAUUGUGCAUUAAGUUUUGCUUCGUUGCUCUUCAGUUUAUCCACCAAGGAAAGCAGUAUUUUAUCUUUUUCAAGCGCCUCGUUCCUUAAUGUAAUAACUUAUGACCGAAGGUUCCCAAGGGCUAUUUGGCAGCUUUCAUCUUCUGCAUUCUUUUGUGCCCUUAAAGCCUUGCUUAGGAUUAAUGCCUACAAAAAAUGAAGGAUCAGCACACAACAAUAAGAAAAGAUACAAAAAGUAAUCUGCUUAUAAGCUAAAAUGUCCUCACCAUCAGACUGUUAUAAGCAAGGAUGUCUGCAAGGUCAUCUUUCGACAUUGCAGACAACCCAAGCUCUAGCUUCGGGAAACCUAUAUUUUUUGCCAUCUCCCGACAAACAAAUAUUUUCUUGUUGUCUGGAAGGCAAUACAAAAAAUCAUCUUCGUCAGUGCCAUUAAACAUGAGGGAUCCUGGGGGAUACUUCAGAUCCUUAGCAAAUUGCCUAGCUUCGGCAACCUGCUCCUCUGAUAGUUUUUCCCUACCGCGUGACACACUAUAAAUUCCGAUCCCUCAGUAGAAGCUUCAACGGCAAGGAAUUCAGAUUCUUUGCUGGUUCUCUCUUUUCCUAACGGUAACGGAGCUUUUUCAGCAUCCAAAGGUCCUUUUUCAGCAUCCUUUUCAAUAAGCUCUGCAGGCCCUAUUUCUGCGGGAACUGAGGGCCCAGCUUCAGCUUCAACCCAAGUUAUGAUAGCUUCGGCAGUUUCCUUUGUACUUUUCUUACCCAUGCUAGGUACUUCUGUAGAGGCAGGAGUUAGUACUUUUGUCGAUUCCAUGACAGCAUCCAGUACACUAGCCAUUCUCCUCCUUUUUGGAGUUAUCAAAGUAGUUUUUUGAAUCUUCGGCAAUUCUGCCUCUGGCCGUGAAAAAGUUUUUGGCUGCUCCGCUGCUAUCUUCAGAAUUGGCUCUUCGGCUGAUCCCAAUAUGGCUUCGGCAGUAGCGAGAUGAUUUUGCUCAGCUGCAGAAGAAGACCCUUCAACAGGCUUUGACACUUUGGCCGUCUCAGAGUGCCUGGGCCGGUGUGUCAAGACUUUGCCAUUUUUCCCUUCGGCGUGGCAGAGAUUGCCGAAGCAGUAGCCUUCCUUUUCUUUCCCUGCUUUCGCGAGGGAUAACAAUAGUCUGGGUACACAAAACCAAUUACAUCAAAAACCCUAUUUAAUCUCUUCUUGCCUCGUCCUCCGAAGGCCAAUGUCAUGGCAUCGUCUUCGGCCCUUGUGUAGGCCCCAAGCAAUUCGUCACUAGUAGCCUCAAUGCAAUCCAACCAGUCAUCGUUCGGCUCAUCGAACUGAUCUCUGUAUCUGAAGGUGUAUUUCAGAUAAACUAAACUAACUUGACUGGACCCGGCCGCAGCUUCCUUCGACAUCUCCCAGCCACUUCCAAGAGGCCACACUCUGUAAGCAAUAUGCUCCUAGACUAAGUCCCUAGUGCCAAUAUAAGUACAUAAAGUGUUAAAGUCCGUAUGGCAUGCUUGAAUAUCAUGUCCAUGGACAGUGGUUGGCCUCCUAAUGCCGAAGCGAGACCAGAUAGGGCAUUGAAUGAUCCCCUUUAUAUCUUCUCUUUCAACUAAGUUGUUCUUCACAUAAAACCACUCUUGCAUCCAGGCUCCUGGCCACCUCUUCCAAAAUGUUGGGACGGGAUAGCUCACACCAGAGCGAGGCAUGAAGCCGUAACAACGAAAAUUAUUAUGAUAUUGUUCUAUGCCAGUAGCCUUUGUCUCAUAGGACAGGUCAUGCAUGUUGCAGAAGCAUUUUGCAUUCGGCUCUAAACCCUGGCCCAAAUGAAAACUCCCAUUCUGAUGAUAUCUUCGGGGGUAAUUUGAUGAAGGUAAAUUUCAAAAGUCUUCAAAACUUCAACUAAAAAUUUGUUCAGGGAGAAUCGAAGCCCUGCUUUCAUAGAACUCCUGUAGACAACAACUUCGUCUGCUUCGGGCAUAGGGGCACUGCUAUCUCCUCUGGCCCUCAUGAUAGAAAUAUCGCGGAAGUAUCUUCCUUUCAUUGCAUCAAUCUGACUCUGUUUGAUGGUUGAUUUAGCAAAGAUGGUAUGACUCGGUCGCCAGGGCUGAUCUUCGACAUCUUCGUUUCCACUUUCUAAGUCAAAACUUUCACUAUCGCUGGAAUCUUCAGACAACCCAACCAACAUCUCAUUGGUGAUCUUCUUCAUAUUUGUCUUCUCCAUAGCUUCAUAAAACCCGGCCAAUGCAGGGUCAGCAAUCUUCUUCUCUUUAGCCAUUUAGACAACGAUUGCACGAUUGUCGAAGCUUAAAACUCAAUCAAAACUCGACAGAGCAAGAGAAUUCAGAAUGUCUAAAAUAGCGCAAGCAACUGAAAUAGCACAGCAAAUGCUGCCAAUGCGAGUUUCUAUUUAUAUGCCUCACGAUUUGGUGGGCCAUACAUGUCAGUGGCUUUCGCUAUUCUAGCGAAGGGAAGGUGUUUUUUCGGAUCUUCGGUUAAAGGCCUUCGUUCACGUCACAGUCUAAAUUUGUUACAAAGAAACAAAUUAAUACUACGAGGGGCUACUGUUGGGGGCCUUCCUUUUCCGAAGGUCCUCAAAAACGUGGCUAACCAUAUGUUUUCAGUAUGACAUAGACUAUUAUAGGAAGCUUCGGCUUUGGGAUGAAGGCGUGUGAUAUGAGGAUACAACCCGAAUGCAACAUGGAUGGACGUCGAAGCUAUGGCUAAAGGAGCUUCAGCUUGGCAUGUUAGCGAAGAUGAAGGACGAAACCGACCUAAGGGAGAAAAGACUACUUAGUCCUUGAUAGUUUGCAUUAUGAUUAAGAGUAGAUGUCAGGGGCAUGAAUGUAAUCUUAUCCGGGCUAUGUCCCGUGCCUAUAAAUAGAUGAGAAGUAACACCGUACUGUUCACGCUGGAUUGUAAUCGCUCCUACAUCACUCUCGCAUCUUCACCUUUUGGCAAGCCGAAGGUAUCAAUGUAAUACAAAUAUUGAUUAUGUUUAUUCAUGCUUAUGAAAUGAGAAUAUAAAUAGCUUGCUGAUUCAUAACCAUUAUUUAUAUUCUUUUGUAUUUCAUGUACCCUUAUUUAUAUGUGUUCACUGAGAUGAUGAAGGUAUGCCCUUCAUGACCUUCGUCCGGAAACCAUUAUAUCCAAAAGGAGAUAAUGCUUCGAAGGACGAAGGUCUCUAAUUAUUGACAAUCGUGUUGUCUUGUUCUUGAUGUAUAGCAUUUGGGAAUAAGGACCAAUAGCUUGCUUCUUUGCCGAGUGCCAAGGCCACAGCACUCGGCAAAGAGUCUUUACCGGUGCGCAGGUGUGCCUUCUUUGCCGAGUGCUAUGACAUUGACACUCGGCAAAGUAUCUCUUUGUCGAGUGUAACACUCGACAAAGUGACCAGAUUAUCCCUUUUUAUUUGUUUUUGCUAUUCCAUCCAAACAAAUAAAAGAUAUAUCGCAUAAUCAUCACAUAUACAUCAUAGAUAUCACAUAAUCAUCGCAUACAUAAUAGAGACUGCAUAUUUCACAAAAAACACAAAUCUCACAAGUUUUUCUCAAACAUGUCCAUGUUCAUACCAAGAUUCACUAACAUAAGUAUCACACAACUCUAAAACAUAAGUUUUUCACAAACAUAAGUUUAGGACAAGUUUAUCACACAAGCUAAGAGAAGAUCAUGAGCGAGGUGGGCGGCUGGACUGGUGCGGCGACGGGCUGGGCGAUCCACGAGGGUUGUUGGAUGCCGCCCUAGAUUGUCCCUGCACAGAGAAGAGAUUGCCUGUGUUAUACUAGAUAAAUAUACAUCAUGCAGGACUAGAAUUUUGAUACUCAUAGGAGUAUGGAACUGAGCAGGGUCAACUGGAGGGAACAACGGAGGUGGUGGAGCAAAACCCUGUGCGGUGCCAAGGCUCUGCAUGUACUGGAACAUCUCUGCCAUCCUCUGUUGAUUUUCCAUGUGGGCCUCCCGCUCCGCCAUCAUCCUCGCCUCCAUAUCCUACCGUUCCCUCCUCUCUUCUUCUAGCUAGGCAUAUAAUAUUUCAACCCAGUGUUAUAAUAACUCAAAGAGAAGGUAUAUAACUCAAGGAAAGACGAGUUACAGAAGCACUAACCUGGAGUUGUUGUAUCUCAUGAUGUGAGUUGUCCUGUCGAGGUCGUAUGGCUGGGCUUGAGCUCGUGGUCCUUGCUCGCACCUGAGACAGAGUGGGAGUGGACAACGAGUCGAUUGUCCCGUCGGCAAUCCAGUACCUCCCAUGCCUCUUGCCUCCUCUGACCCUCAUGAGAACAUCUCCGUCGAUUUCCUUGGUCCUCGGAUCGUAAUCUGGCCCAUGGACCUCAUGUGACAUGGCAGUGUACUCACUUAGGCGGUUGUAGACGGCGGAGUUGCUAUAUGCCUCGGGCCCGUCAUCCGGGUUGUAGGUGACAUCGGACGUCGCCUUUCCCUUGUGGGCCAUAGCAUAAACCGAGAAGAUGGAGCAUGGCUGGCCACCAUGUAACACCAAAUGCAAUAAAAUCAAUGAGAUAGUUAGAAAUAAUAUCUAAACCAGUGCUAUAUACCUAAAUAAAAAGAGGGCGUACCCAUGCUUCUACAUAUUUCCAGAGGUUGCGACUGCCUUGGUGGUGGGAGGGACCUUACAUCAUCAAAUGUCGUUCCAUGCUAGCGUUGUGCGCCUCGUCCCACUUAGGCGAGCACCACCUAUCCACCAUCUGCUCCUAGCACUGAGGAUGCGCGGCGCACCAAUAAGGAAUCAUCUACAAACUAAAACAAGUACAUUGCAUAUCAGAAGAUAAAAUUAAGCAAUUUUUUUCACGAAUAUUAAAGUGAUGUAUUUACCUGCAAGUAUUGGUCCCUAGUCAACGACAUGGUUCGGGCCUCUUGUUUGGUCACCUUCUCUCUAAGGACGGAGCCAUGGUAGAUGAUGAUGACCUAGAUUCGUGCAUCGUAGUGCAUGUCCACGACGAGCUUCUUACAGCUUGUGGUGGCCACCACAUUUGCCCUGGCCUCGUAUCCAGCCUCGCAUCUGAAGAAAUCCUACAUACAAAGGCGAUAUAUCCAUACAUUAUUUCAAGUAUGUGCAACAAAUGCGACAUAUUUUACAAUAUAGUAAGACUUACUCAUAGCUUUUGCUUCACCCGCUCUGCCAUGUUGUUAAAUUCCCUAUCGUCCUAGUCUACUGCAUCAGGGGUGACGACGUAGUGGUCGAAGGUGUAGGCAGUAGGUUGGGCCCACCACUCCAGCGUACUCAACCAGUCCAGGGAAGUGUUCCCUACACAUAAGGCCAAGGAUGCCAUUGGGUUGUGGUCGUGACUCCCUGCAUUCUCCACAACCUUUCAAGACCUGUCCAAGUGAUAAAUAAAAAGUAUUAGUUUAUAUUAUGAAUUUGAACACAUAAUAUGAACAAACAGUGAGAACAUAAAAUUACAUGUCUCUCCCCAUCCUUCUGAAUCAGCGACCGCCUAUCUCGAAGUAUGGGACGCUGAGGGAGACUCGUGGGACCUCGCUGGUAGACGUUCCUCGAAUCUGAAGCACCAGAACCUGAGGCGUCUUGCUGAGCGUCGUCGUCGUCCUACUGUGUCGCAUCGAUAACGACCUGCUGCUGGACGUCGUCAUCCUGUUGUGCCUUCUUCGCCUUCCUACGGGUGCUCCUCCUCCCCCUCCUUGUCCUCAUCCCACCGCCCACCAUAUUUGUCCAACAACCUGUAAUUAAGGGUAAGCAAAUAAGCACAUAUAAAAAAGUUUAUUUACAAAUAGGCGUGAAAUAAAAAAAAUAGCAUUACAUCGUUUAAAAAAAUCUUCAUAUGUGUCGGGGUUAGCCAGAUCAUAAGUGUCAUCAUCACAAUCAACCAUUUCAUAGUCAACACCAUCUGAAGGCGCAAGUUCUUCAUUAAUGUCAUUGCCUUCAAGUAAUUCUAAGUCAUUCUCAUUUUGCACCUCAUCAACAACCAUUUCAAUAUCUACUUCCAUUCCGAUAGCUUCGGUUAAGUCUAUCUCAAAUCACCCUUCUAGCCCAUAUUCUUGGAAGAACUCUCCAUCAUAUGUAUCCGGGUCUAAGUUAUAAUCUUCAUCAUUUGGAACAGGUAAUUUACCGUGCAGUGAUACCUUAUACACAACAUCCCAACCCAUCCAUGCCUCAUAUAGGAGAUGAAGAAUCAAAUGCUGCAUUGGAUUGAAGAAGUCGAGUGGAAAUAUCUUCUCAAGCUUACACAAAAACACGGGUGUCAAUCUUUCCAAGUCUGCAAUCACGGACCAAGAUAACUCUUUCACACAAAGCUGGCAGAAUAAAUAGCUGAACUUUGUAAGCGCUAGCCAUACAUGCUCAGGGACAUAGCCUCGAACCAUCGUCGGAAGAAUCUGUUCAAUCCAUAAGUGGAAGUCAUGACUCUUCAUCCCUAAGACUCACAGAGUAGAUAAGUUCACCCCCCUACUUAGGUUAGCUGCAUACCCAUCAGGAAACAUCAACAUCUUGAUCCACUAAAGUACUUCCUUCCUCUGGGCCCUACUUAGGACGAAAUCGGCCUUAGACCUUCUCCAUGUCUUUCCACCACUAGGCGGCUUCAUUUCUUGGUUUGGUCUAUCACAUAACGCUGUCAGAUCCACUCUUGUCUUUACAUUAUCCUUUGACUUAUCAGGAAUGUCCAUAAUUGUUGCCCAAAGUGCCUCGGCGACAUUCUUUUCAGUGUACAUCAAGUCAAUGUUGUGUGGAAGGAGUGGGUCAUCAUAAUAGGGGAGCCGAGUCAAGCCCGACUUAUGUGUCCACAUAUGCUGCUCACCAUAUCCCACAAAUACACCUUCUGGAUUGGCCACGAGCCCAUCUAUUUGUUGACGAAUUUCGGCACCAGUCAUCAUUGCAGGUGGUUGGUCUGUCACUACAACACCUUUCGUAAAGUUAUUGAUGUCUAGGCGGAAUGGAUGGUUAGGAGGGAGAAAUUGUUGAUGUUUAUCGAACAACGAAUAUUUGCCACCCUUUUUCAACCAAAUGAACUUAAGAGCUUCCUUACAAACUAGGCAUGGGAACUUACUGUGAACACAAUAGACACAGAAUAGCCCAUACGCCGGUAAGUCAUGCAUGGCGUACUAGUACCAAACAUGCAUUUUGAAGUUUUUCUUCGUAGCUCGGUUAUACGUCCAUACCCCUUCCUCCCAAGCAUGUACGAUUCAUCAAUCAAAGGCUCCAUGUACACGCCCAUUUUAUUCCCCGGGUGUCCGAGAAUUAUCAACGACACAAAUAUGUUCUGCCUUUAAAAGCAUACACCGGGGGGAGAUUGAUUGGGAUAACAAACACGGGCCAACAUGUGUAUGGGGCAGCGCUCAUUCCAUAGGGAUUGAACCCAUCUGUGGCCAGCGCAACACGUACAUUAUGAGCCUCUUCAGCUUUCUCGCGGUAAAUGGCAUCAAAGUGUUUCCAUGCUUCACCAUCGGAUGUGUGCACCAUCUUAUCAUGAUUGUAUCGUUUGCCAUUUUUGUGCCAUGUCAUCUGUUUCGCGGAUUCCUCAGUCAUGUAUAGACGCUGGAUCCUCGGUGUGAACGGAAGGUGGUGUAGGAUUGUCACGGGGAUGUCGAGCUGCCUAUCAUGUCCAUCACCAAAGUCUACCUCCAUGAACCUAGACGAUUUACACUUCGGACAGUACUUUGCUUCCGUGUAUUCUUUCCUAAAUAGCACGCAGUCCUUCGGACAAGCAUGUAUCUGCUCAUAUGUCAUCUUGAGUGCACGGAGGAGUUUCUGUGUGUUGGGGACCUUCGGCAUCCGAAGGUCCUCAAAAACGGGAUUUAACAGUAUUUCUGGAAGUAUAAUGUGUGAGCAGGUACCUUCAGACUCAAGUCGGUAUCACGGCAGGAGAAGACCCGGAUAAUACGAAGGUCUUGAUACAACGCCGAAGAUGUUAGCAGGAAAGCUUCGGCAUGGUUGCAGAAAAUGAAACCGACUUAAAGAUGAAAAGGCUAUUCAGACCUCGAUAGAUUACUAUAGAAUUAUUAUCAAAUGUAAAGGGCAUGAAUGUAAUUUUGUAUGGGCUGUGUCCCGUGCCUAUAAAUAGGUGAACAGAACCCCCGUACUGUUCACGCUGACUUGGCAUUCGCUUUUUGCGUCACGCUUGUACUGUCAUCUCCUUCCGAUUGAAGGUACACUUGUAAUUCAACGAUAUUUCUGUUUAUGUCUGAUAAUAAUAUAUAAUUGUUCAUAUUGUCUUUUAUGUUCUUUACAUUUCAUUCUUCGUCAUUGCUUAAUGAAUUUAUGAAGGUACGUCCUUCAUAACCUUCGUCCGUAAACCAUUAUAUCCUAAGGGAAAUAAUGUUUCGGAGGGCGAAGGACUUUAACGAUUAACAUUUUCUAUGUUGCCUUGUUCUUAACUCAUAGCACUUGAGAACAAGUCCCCAACAUUGGCGCCCACCUCCGGUGAACUCACUUCCACUCUUUGAAGUUUUUUGAACACCUUCGGCGAUCAUAAAUCUUCGUUAUGGCGCCGAAGAAAGCUUCAGCGACUGGGGCUGCAGCUCUGCAACCACUGGACCACAAUCAGGAGACAGUUUCCCUGCGGGAGGCCCGAAGCCAGAAAAGGAAGGCUGUCAGUCCGACACCACCAGAGGACGAGAUAGAUCAAGAAAUCAGAGAUAUGGAGAUGCUUCAUCAACAAGUACAGAGGAAGAAAGAAAAGAUGGCCAGGCUAGCUGAACUGCAGAGGCAGAUAGACGAAGCCUCUGAAGAAGUUCGUCAUCUUGCUCAGGAUGAGCAACACCGAAGGCCUCAGCACCAAGACCUUCAUCAGGAGGGUUUUCCCAACGAAGAUGACUGGUAUGACAAUUUCCAUCAUGGGAAUUUUGUUUUUGAUGAUGCUUCUCCUCUGUCCGCUGAGCUGCAGGCUACACCUUGGCCUCCGUCCUACAAGCCGCCUCAGCUUCCCGUAUUCGAUGGUCACUCAGACCCGAAGCAGUUUUUGAUGAGCUACGAAGCAACAGUAUCUUCGUAUGGUGGCAAUGCUUCAGUCAUGGCCAAAUCUUUCGUUAUGGCUGUCAGAAGUGUUGCUCAAACCUGGUAUUCCUCCCUUCGACCAGGAACGAUCACUUCAUGGCAGAAGCUGAAGGACUUGUUGUUAACUAGCUUUCAAGGAUUUCAGACGAAGCCGGUCACUGCUCAGGCUCUGUUCCAGUGCACCCAGGAUCACGAAGAAUACCUUCAGGCGUAUGUCCGAAGGUUCUUGCGUUUGAGGGCACAGGCACCAACGGUGCCCAAUGAAAUUGUCAUCGAGGCCAUGAUCAAGGGGCUUCGGCCAGGACCGUCAGCUCAGUACUUCGCCAGGAAGCCUCCUCAAACUUUGGAGAAGCUGCUCCAGAAGAUGGACGAGUACAUUCGGGCCGAUAAUGAUUUUCGCCAAAGAAGGGAGGAGGCUUUCAGGUUUUCUGAAAUGACCAGGGGCUUCGGAGGGAGGUUCUACCCGAGGCACGUGAGAUCAAUUCAUAACUCUACACAAAAAUGAUGAUAGAGGAAGCCAACAGCAAAGGCCACAAUGCUCCUCACAGGCUUCGGGGCAACAGCAAAGCUCCUUCCGACCACCAGCUCCAAGAGGCAGAGGCGCCAGGGGCUUUGGAGGAAGAUUUGGAGAUCAACCGAGAAGAAUCUUUUGCUUAUUCUGCGGUGAGAACAAAGGCCAUACUACCAGGAUGUGCCAUGUUACUAUUCAGAAGCAAAAGGAAAUAGCUGAAGCCGCAGCACAACAAGCUCAGCCGAAGCAGGUCAUGCAUACAACUUCGUAUCAUUCGCCCUACAUCCCAGAAUAUGUGGGCAACCAUCCUGCAGUUUCUGUUGCUUCGGCAAGUCAGCCUCAAGCUUCCUGGCAACAGCCUCCGCCUCCACCUCCGUUGCAACAAGGCCAGCAACCAGAAGGGAGCCAGUAUGCUCCACACCAGAGGGACUUCAGAGAGCAGUCCGAAGCUCGUACAGUCAAUAGCACUGUGCCAGAGUCAAAGCACAUCUAUUGACGAAUAUCCUACCUUAAUAGCAAUCUUUUUCAUUCAGUUUUAUUUUCUGUAAUAAAGGACAUUGUUUAGGUUUCAUGUAAUUAGUUUCGUUGAUUCCUACAAGAAAAAUAUGUUUUCCUCACAGGCUUAAAUUGAUUGAAGUUCAAAGACUUGUGAUAAAAAAAAGGACCUUCGAACUAUCGAAAAUUCUUCGAAGCAACAAAAAGUCGUUCUAAGGAACGCAGAGUAAGUUUGCCGAAGUCACAAAAAGUCGUUCCAAAGGGAGCGCAGUGUAAGUUUUCUGCUCCAAAGUCGUUCCAAAGGGAAUGCAGAGCAUACAGCGAAAAGUCAACGCUGAUACCGCCUAAGUAAAAGGCGAAGCGCGAAAAGUCAACGCGAAUACCGCUGAAAGUAAAAGGCGAAGAAGCUCCUAAGGGAGGCUUACAGCGAAAAAUAAACGCUGAUUCCGCUGAAGUAAAAGGCGAAGAAGCUCCUAAGGGAGGCUUAUAAAAGAUGUGUUUUAUUGCAGGGAUGCGUAUGUAUCUUCGGAAUAAACGUCAUCUCACAUAACAUAACAUCAUCGCAUCAUUUCGCAUAGCAUAAGCAUCAUACAUCAUUUUGCACAUGGCACAAGAGGUGGACACAUUAUUAAUCUACAGAAGAACGCUUUGAAAAAAGGGAGAAAUCAAAGUCACAAAAAGAUACAUCAUUGAUCUUCGGAAGUGUAUCUUCGGAAGUGUAGCUUCGGAAAAUAUCUUCACGAAGCCUGGAUAUUAAUCAUCAGAACAUUGGAUAUUGUUGUGACAAAGAAAAAUUCUUCUUCACGAAGCAUGAAAAGAAGGGAAGGUGUUUUUUCGUCAAAGACUCAAAAGUGGUACGUGUAAAGUUUCAUGCAUCGUAAAGAAUUGACUAACAAAAAUAGGUAUAUUACAUUUGGGGUUACAAAAUGUUACAGUAUAUUACAUUUCAGAAAGUUUUCACAAAAAUACUUAAUCUUCUCUCAAAACGACUUCUGCAGCCUCGUUCAGGAGCCGAUUGACGACUUCGUCCAUAAUAUCUUCAGCCAUCUUUUUAAUUUCGUCGUCUCCUUUCGGCUGAGGGCCCGAAGACGCUUUAGCACGAUCUGAAGUAAGACAGCAUGCGGCUACAUUGCUAUUACAAAUCGCAAACAAAUCUUAAAGCCUAAGAUUACAACACGAUAAAAACUAUUAGUUAAUACCUAAUUGACCUUCGGCCUCUGCGCUCUUUUCAGCAGCCUCAGCCACUUCUCUAGCAUCGUGAAUGCCCUUUUCACUUCUUCGAAUAAUUUCUCCGGCCAUUUCUCAGCCACCAUUAUCCCAGAUAUCGGUAAAACAUUUUCCACCAAUUAUACUAGCUUCGGCCGAAGGAUCUCUUGCAUCUUCAAAGGGCAAAGCAGCUUCGGAUUGUGCUAAAAUUUUUACAUGUUCGCAGCCCUUCUUCUCUAAGAUGGUGGCAAUCCCUCUGGCACCAGAGAAGGCACAUAUAUCUCCUCGGCUAUUUAAAAUUUCUUCGAAGGCUUCAGCUUCGUGGUCGAUCCAUUCGAUGACACCUUCGGGAUUGCUUCUCGAAAAGUUUUCCUCACUUGAGAAUGCGCCGACCUUGGCGAAGCUAGCCUUUAGCUUCUUAACACAAUCUAUAGAUUUAUUAUAGCAUCUCUUUUUGGACGAACGAAGCUCUUCAACAGUCACUUCUAGGUGAUCUGCCCAUUGAUCGCUGAGUUCACGCUUUGUUUCUUCAAGUAUGCGUUCUUCCUUGGCUCUGGCCAGUUGUUUCCGAAGAUCUUCAAUUUCGCGCUUCUGAGCUUCAGCUUGACCUUUAAAAGCAGCUUCGUCUUCCUUUAUUUUAUUUAUCAAUGAGUAUAAUAUUUUAUCUUUUUCGAGACCUUCGUUCCUCAGUUCAAUUACUUCGGAACGAAGGUUGCUCAGGGCUAUAGUACACCCUUCGUCUUCAGCAUCUUUCUGUGCCCUGAGGGCAUUGCUAAGUAUCAGGCCCUGCAAAGAGAAAUAUGUGUGCGUCAAUAGGUUUAAACAAACGAAAAAUACAAGGAUUUCAUUUCUCGCACCUUUAAGCUAUUGUAAGCCAGGCUGUCGGCCAGAUCGUUCUUCGACAGCACCGAGAGCCCGUCUUCUAAAGUUGGGAAUCCGAAGCUCUUGCUCAUCUCCCGACAGACAGAAAUUUCCUUGCUAUCGGGGAGACAAUACAAGAAGUCUUCUUCUCCACUGCCAUUGAAUAUUAACGCCCCCUUUGGAUAUUUCAGUUUUUGGGCGUAGUGCUGGGCCUCUUGCUCUUCUUUUUCUGAUAGUUUUUUCCCCGAAGCAUGGCGAACAAUAUAAUCACGAACUUUGGGGGAUGCUUCGGGGGCAAUGGCACCGGUUUCUUCAACAAAAGUUGGCUUUGUUAUUUUUUCUGCCUCACUUUCCAAGGAUUUUAUCUUUGCAGGCUCUGAGGGCCCAGCUUCGGCUUUAGUCUCUUGCCCUGAAGCUUUAGAUCCAGAAAUUUCAGUUGUUUCAGGAAUGACAGCAGCCCUCUUCGGAGGUGUGCUUGAAGAUUUGAUCGUUUCCAGUACAUCUAGCACAUUAGCCAUUCUCUUUCUUUUCGGAGUCACUGCUGGCACUUUCACUAUCUCAAUGUUUGCUGCAGGACUCAAAACUUCUGAUGUUUUGGAUCCCUCAGUUGAUUCUUUUACCUUUUCCAUUUUUUCUGUGGACGGCGCUUCGGCUUUCUCUUUCGUUUCUGAUAACAAAAUUUUUGAUUGUUCCAAUUCUAUCUUUGUUGGCACUUCGGCCGUUUCUGCGACUUCUGGCAGCAAGGUUGGCUCGGUUGGUUUUUCAGCUUCGGUGGCCGAAGAAGUUUCUCCGGUAAACUCAGGCACCGAAGCUGGUUCAAUAUAGCGCGGCCGAUGCGUAAGGACCUUUAUCUUCUUUCUUUUCGGUUCUGGCUCGCUAGGAGCAGUUGCAGCUUCUUCUUUUGCAGAGGUUGUGUUUUUUCUCUUCUGCCUUCGAAUGGGAUAGCAAUAGUCAGGGUAGACAAACCCGAUUGCAUCAAAUACCCGAUUCAGCCUCUUCUUUUUUCGGCCUCCGAAGGCUGCUGACAUUGCAGUAUCUUCGGCCUUCGAAUAGGUCCCAAGCAGCUCAUCACUUAAAUUUUCAAUGCUUUUUAACCAGUCAUCAUCUGGUUCAACGAAUUUAUCUCCAAACUUAAAAGUGUACUUCAACCUGAUAAGUCCACCUUCGUCGGCCUCUUUUAUGGUUUCUUGUGGCAUUUCCCAUUUCUCCGCAAGUGGCCAUACCCUGAAGGCGAUAUGCUCUUGUACUAAGUCCCUCGUUCCAAUAAAAGAACAGAUAACACCGAAGGCCCUCUGGCAUUCUUCGGCAGCCUCACUCAUUUCAACCUUCGGCCUCCGAAGGCCGAAGCUUUGCCAAAUAGGGCGCAUAAUUAUACCUUUGAUAUCUUCUCGCGCUGUCAGAUCAUUCUUCACAUAAAACCAUUCUGUCAUCCAGUCGCCGGGCCAUCUCUUCCGAAAGGUCGGCACGGGACAGCUUGACCCGGACCGAGAAACGAAAUUGUAGCAGCCAAAAUUAUUGUGAUACUGUUCCUUACCCCAAGGUUUUGUUUCGUAUGAUAAUUCGUGUAUAUUGCAGAAACUUUUUGCAUCAGGCUUCAGACCUUGGCUUCUCACGGCCCACACGAAGAUAUUUAGCCUUAUAAUUGCCUCAGGGGUAAGUUGAUGGAGAUAGACUUCGAAUAUUUUCAGUACCUCCACAACGAAGCUGCUCAAGGGAAAUCGCAGUCCAGCUUUCAAAAAGCUUCGGUACACUACGACUUCAUUCUCUUCAGGGUGUGGGCAAGUUUUUUCCCCUUCGUCGGCCCUCACAAUGGACAAAUCCCGGAAAUACCUUCCUCUCAUGUUGACAAGAUGAUUCUCUUUGAUAGUUGAUUUACCAUAAACUGAAUGGCUUGGUCGCCAGGGACGAUCUUCGGAGUCCUCACCACCACUGUCCACAUCAUAGCUGUCACUGUCACCAGUAUCUUCAGACAAACCUUCCAGAAUCUCCUUGGUAAUUUUUUCUGUAUUGGUCUUUGACAUCGCUAUAAGAAACCCCAAGUUUUUCUCUUCGUCAAGGCUCAGCUUCAUCUCAGCAACAGUCUUCUUAUCUUCAGACAUCUUCGGAGACGCUAAAAAACUAUUUUCAAAGCCGAAGCUUCAAAACUAAAAGCUUAGCAAAUCGCAGUGCACAAGAGCUAAAAAUUGAGUGAGCGGGAGUAGUUGGCCAGAAAGCGUGUCAAAUGAGUUUGCGGUAUGGCCGUAUUUAUACGCCAAGAGCGUUGAAAAUUCAAAGACCCCGCUUGUCAGUGAAUGUUGCUAUUCUAGCAAAGGGAAGGUGUUUUUUCGGACCUUCGGCGUAAAGCCUUCGUCCAUGUCGCAAUCUAAAUUCGUUAUUUUAAAACAAAUUAAUAUUGCGAGGGGCUACUGUUGGGGACCUUCGGCAUCCGAAGGUCCUCAAAAACGGGAUUUAACAGUAUUUCUGGAAGUAUAAUGUGUGAGCAGGUACCUUCGGACUCAAGUCGGUAUCACGGCAGGAGAAGACCCGGAUAAUACGAAGGUCUUGAUACAACGCCGAAGAUGUUAGCAGGAAAGCUUCGGCAUGGUUGCAGAAAAUAAAACCGACUUAAAGAUGAAAAGGCUAUUCAGACCUCGAUAGAUUAUAUAGAAUUAUUAUCAAAUGUAAAGGGCAUGAAUGUAAUUUUGUAUGGGCUGUGUCCCGUGCCUAUAAAUAGGUGAACAGAACCCCCGUACUGUUCACGCUGACUUGGCAUUCGCUUUUUGCGUCACGCUUGUACUGUCAUCUCCUUCCGAUUGAAGGUACACUUGUAAUUCAACGAUAUUUCUAUUUAUGUCUGAUAAUAAUAUAUAAUUGUUCAUAUUGUCUUUUAUAUUCUUUACAUUUCAUUCUUCGUCAUUGCUUAAUGAAUUUAUGAAGGUACGUCCUUCAUAACCUUCGUCCGUAAACCAUUAUAUCCUAAGGGAAAUAAUGUUUCGGAGGGCGAAGGACUUUAACGAUUAACAUUUUCUAUGUUGCCUUGUUCUUAACUCAUAGCACUUGAGAACAAGUCCCCAACACUGUGCCUCAUACAUGCUCUUUGGUAGAACGUGAUCCUCCGGAAGCAGGCUACCAAUAACUGUCAACAAGCAAUCGAAUGCGUCUUGACUCAUGUUAUACUGCGACUUGAACGCUAUUACAUGCCCAAUGGCAUCCAGUUGAGAAACCUUUGUCUGGCUGUGAAGGGGCUUCUGUGCCACGUCAAACAUGUCGUAGAACGCCUUUGCAAUCGGCUCUAGCUCGUCCUCCAUACAUCCUCCGACGAACUAUGCCUCAUGAUAGUCGUUCAACAUAUCUGCUACCCCCGCAUCAGCAUCAUAAUCCUCGACGUGUUGUCUCUGAAAGGGAAAUAAGCUUACACCUUUUCCUAAAUGAUUUUGGUGGUUGAAUUGCCCAACACAAAUAAUUGGACUAACUAGUUUGCUCUAGGUUAUAAGUUCUAUAGGUGCCAAAGGUUCAACACAUACCAAUAAAAAGUCCAAGAAAGGGUUCAAAUAAAAAGAGCAAAAGACAACCGAAGGCUGCCCUGGUCUGGCGCACUGGACUGUCCGAUGUGCCACCGGACAGUGUCCGGUGCACCAGAGAGAUUCACUCCAAACUUGCCACCUUCGGGAAUUUGGGAAGCCACUCCGCUAUAAUUCACCGGACUGUCCGGUGUGCCAAGCGGAGCAACGGUCGCCAACGCAAUGGUCGAGUUCAACGGUCGGCUGACAACGCUACAGUGCGCGGACUACGCGCGUAGAAGUCAGAGAAGGCGCAGAUGGCGCACCGGACAGUGAAGAGGACCUGUCUGGUGCACCAUCGGACUGUCCGGUGGCCCACAUGUCAGAAACUCCAACGGUCGAACCCUAACGGUUGGGUGACGUGGCUGGCGCACCGGACAGUGUCCGGUGGCGCACCGGACUGUCCGGUGCGCCCAUCGACAGCAGAGUUCCCCAACGACCACUUUGGUGGUUGGGGCUAUAAAUACCCCCCAACCACCACACUUCGAUGCAUCCAAGUUUUCAGCCAUCAAACCUCAUACAAGAGCUCUAGACUUCAUUCCAAGACACAAACAAAGAGAUCAAAUCCUCUCCCAAGUCUGGAAUCACUCCAAACAAAUUAGUGACUAGAGAGAGAGAGACUUUUGUGUUCUUUUAAGCUCUUGUGCUUGGAUCGCUUUUCUUCUUCCUCCUUUCUUGUUCUCAACUCAAUUGUAAUCAAAGCAAGAGACACCAAGUUGUGGUGGUCCUUGUAGUGGACUAAGUGUCCCGUUUGAUUGAAGAGAAAAGCUCACUCGGUCUAGGUGACCGUUUGAGAGAGGGAAAGGGUUGAAAGAGACCCGAUCUUUGUGACCACCUCAACGGGGAGUAGGUUUGCAAGAACCGAACCUCGGUAAAACAAAUCACCGUGUUCAUCUGUUUUAUUUCUUUGUUGAUUUGUUUUCCCUUUCUUUCGGACUUGAUUAUAUUUCUAACGCUAACCCUUGCUUGUAGUUGUGCUUAAACUUUAUAAAUUUCAGAUUUGCCUAUUCACCCCCCUCUAGGCGACUUUCAAUUGGUAUCAGAGCCCGGUACUUCAUUAGAGCCUAACCACUCGAUGUCAUGUCGGGAGCUCACGCCAAGAAGGAGAUGGUGACCGGCGAGAAGCCCGCCACAAGCCACGGGAAGGCUCCAUCGGGAGAGUCCGGCAACAAAAGGGAGGAAUCACCUCCCCACGUCAAGUCGCACCGGAGUGGUGACCAGAAGAAGAAAAUGAAGAAAGUGUUCUACUGUGAGACCGAUUCUUCGUCGCCAUCCACCUCCACGUCCGACGCGCCGUCCGUCACUUCUAAGCGCCAUGAGCGCAAGAAGUUUAGUAAGAUCUCCUUACGCUAUCCUCGUAUUUCCAAAUGCACUCCUUUACUUUCCGUCCCACUAGGCAAACCACCGGUUUUUGACGGUGAACAUUAUUGUAUGUGGAGUGAUAAAAUGAGGCACCAUCUAACCUCACUCCACGCUAGUAUUUGGGACAUUGUUGAGUUUGGUGCGCAGGAACCAUCCGUGGGGGAUGAAGGCUAUGAUUCGGAUGAGGUAGCCCAAAUCCAGCACUUCAACUCCCAAGCCACCACUAUACUCCUCGCCUCUCUAAGUCGAGAGGAGUAUAAUAAGGUGCAAGGGUUGAAGAGCGCCAAAGAGAUUUGGGACGUACUAAAGACCACACACGAAGGAGACGAGGUGACCAAGAUCACCAAGAGCGAAACGAUCGAGGGGGAGCUCGGUCGCUUCAUGCUUCAUCAAGGGGAGGAGCCACAAGCAAUGUACAACCGGCUCUAGACCUUGGUGAACCAAGUGCGCAACCUCAGGAGCACCAAAUGGGAUGACCAUGAAAUGGUCAAGGUUAUUCUAAGAUCACUUAUAUUUCUUAAUCCUACACAAGUUCAAUUAAUUCGUGGUGAUCCUAGAUACAAGAUAAUGUCUCCCGAGGAGGUUAUAGGAAAAUUUGUGAGCUUUGAAUUGAUGAUCAAAGGCUCCAAGAAAAUCAUCGAGCAAGGCGCCUCCUCCACACCCGAAAUGCAACUCGUCGCAUUCAAGGCAACAGAGGAGAAGAAAGAAGAGUCUACUUCAAGUAGACUUCCCAUCGACGCCUCCAAGCUCGACAACGAGGAAAUGGCGCUCAUCAUCAGGAGCUUUCGCCAAAUCCUCAAGCAAAGGAGGGGGAAGGACUACAAGCCCCGCUCCAAGAAAGUUUGCUACAAGUGUGGUAAGCCCGGACAUUUCAUUGCUAAAUGUCCAUUAUCAAGUGAUAGUGACAGGGGCGAUGACAAGAAGGGGAGAAGGAAGGAGAAGAAGAAAUAUUACAAGAAGAAGGGCGGCGAUGCCCAUGUAUGCCACGAGUGGGACUCCGAUGAGAGCUCCACCGACUCCUCCUCCGACGAGAACGCCGCAAACAUCGCCAUCAACAAGGGUCUUCUCCUUCCCAACGUCGAUCACAAGUGCCUCAUGGCAAAGGACGACAAAAAGAAGAAGGUAAAAUCUAGAGCUUCCACUAAAUAUGCAACAUCUAGUGAUGAGGCUAGCUCUAGUGAUGAUGAGGAUGAUUUGAUCACCCUUUUUGCCAACUUAAACAUUCAACAAAAAGACAAAUUGAAUGAAUCGAUUAGUGUUAUUCAUGAGAAGGAUGAACUCUUGGAUAGCCAAGAGGACUUCCUUAUUAAAGAAAAUAAGAAGCAUGUUAAAGUUAAAAAUGCUUAUGCUCAGGAGAUAGAAAAAUGUGAAAAAUUAACUAGUGAUCUAAGCACUUGCCAUGACACUAUUUUCAACCUUAGAUUUGAAAAUGACAAAUUGAUUGCUAAGGUUGAGAAAUUAAAUGUUAGUGAUGAUUCUCUUGUCAACCUUAGAAAUGAUAAUGCUAAUUUGAUUGCUAAGGUUGACAAAUUGAAUGCAUCUCUCUCUAGCCUUAAAAUUGAGAAUGAAAAAUUAAUUGCUAAGGCUAAAGAUUUAAAUGUUUGCAAUGUUUCUAUUUCCAAUCUUAGAGAUGAGAACACUAUUUUACAUGCUAAGAUUGUUGAAUUAAAUACUUGCAAACCCUCAACAUCUACCGUUGAACAUGUUACUAUUUGCACUAGAUGUAGAGAUGUUAAUAUUGAUGCUAUUCAUGAUCACAUUGCUAUGAUUAAACAACAAAAUGAUCAUAUAGCAAAAUUAGAUGCUAAAAUUGCCGAGCAUGAAUUAGAGAAUGAAAAAUUUAAAUUUGCUCGUAAUAUGCUUUAUGGUGGGAGACGCCCUGGCAUUAAGGAUGGCAUUGGCUUCCAACAGGGAGGCGAUGUCAAACUCAAUGCCCCUAAGAAAUUGUCCAACUUUGUUAAGGGCAAGGCUCCCAUGGUUUAGGAUAACGAGGGUUACAUUUUAUACCCUGACGGUUAUCCCGAACAUAAAAUUAGGAGAAUUCACUCUAGGAAGUCUCACUCUGGCUCUCAUCAUGCUUUUAUGAAUAAGAGUGAGGCAUCUAGUUCUAGGAAAUCCACCCAUGCUAAAUUGCCUAAGAAGAAAACUCCUAUAGCAUCAAACGAACCUAAUUUUUCAUUUAAGACUUUUGAUGCUUCUUAUGUGCUCACUAACAAAUCAGGCAAAAUAGUUGCCAAAUAUGUUGGGGCUAAACACAAGGGAUCAAAGACUUGUGUUUGGGUACCCAAGGUGCUUGUUUCUAAUGUGAAAGGACCCAAGACCAUUUGGGUACCUAAGAACAAGGCCUAAACUUGUUUUGUAGGUUUAUGCAUGCGGGGGCUCAAGUUUGAUCAUCGAUAGCGGGUGCACAAACCACAUGACUGGGGAGAAAAUAAUGUUCUCCUCCUAUGAGAAAAAUCAUGAUCCCCAAAGAGCUAUCACAUUCGGGGAUGGAAAUCAAGGUUUGGUCAAAGGACUUGGUAAAAUUGCUAUAUCCCCUGACCAUUCUAUUUCCAAUGUUUUUCUUGUAGAUUCUUUAGAUUACAACUUGCUUUCUGUUUCUCAAUUAUGCAAAAUGGGUUACAACUGUCUUUUUACGGAUAUAGGUGUUACUGUCUUUAGAAGAAGUGAUGAUUCUGUAGCAUUUAAGGGAGUGUUAGAGGGUUAGCUAUACUUAGUUGAUUUUAAUAGAGCUGAACUCGACACUUGCUUAAUUGCUAAGACUAACAUGGGUUGGCUCUGGCAUCGCCGACUUGCCCACGUUUAAAUGAAGAAUCUCCACAAACUUCUAAAGGGAGAACACAUUUUGGGACUAACAAAUGUUCAUUUUGAGAAAGACAGGGUUUGUAGCGCAUGUCAAGCAGGGGAAGCAAGUUGGUGUUCAUCAUCCACACAAGAACAUAAUGACGACCGACAGACCGCUUGAGCUACUCCACAUGGACCUAUUCGGCCCGAUAGCUUAUAUAAGCAUCAACGGGAGUAAGUAUUGUCUUGUAAUUGUGGAUGAUUAUUCUCGCUUCACUUGGGUGUUAUUUUUGCAGGAAAAAUCUCAAACCCAAGAGACCUUAAAGGGAUUCUUGAGAUGGGCUCAAAAUGAGUUCGGCUUAAGGAUCAAAAAGAUAAGAAGCGACAACGGGACGGAGUUCAAGAACUCUCAAAUAGAAGGCUUCCUUGAGGAUGAGGGCAUCAAGCAUGAGUUCUCUUCUCCCUACACACCACAACAAAAUGGUGUAGUGGAGAGGAAGAAUAGAACUCUACUUGACAUGGCGAGGACCAUGCUUGAUGAGUACAAGACUUCGGACCGGUUUUGGGCGGAAGCAGUCAACACCGCUUGCUACGCCAUCAACCGUCUCUACCUUUGCCGAAUACUCAAGAAGACAUCGUAUGAACUACUCACCGGUAAAAAGCCCAAUGUUUCAUAUUUUAGAGUCUUUGGUAGCAAAUGCUUUAUUCUUGUUAAAAGAGGUAGAAAAUCUAAAUUUGCUCCUAAGGCUGUAGAAGGCUUUUUACUUGGUUAUGAUUCAAACACAAGGGCAUAUAGAGUCUUUAACAAGUCCUCUGGACUAGUUGAGGUUACUUGUGACAUUGUGUUUGAUGAGACUAACGGCUCUCAAGUAGAGCAAGUUGAUCUUGAUGAGCUAGAUGAUGAAGAGGCUCCAUGCGUCGCGCUAAGGAACAUGUCCAUUGGGGAUGUGUGUCCUAAGGAAUCCGAAGAGCCUCCACAAGCACAAGAUCAACCAUCUUCCUCCAUGCAAGCAUCUCCACCAACUCAAGAUGAGGAUCAAGCUCAAGAGGAUGAAAAUGAAGAUCAAGAAGAUGAGCCACCUCAAGAGGAGGGCAAUGAUCAAGGGGGAGAUGCCAAUGAUCAAGACAAGGAAGAUGACGACAGUCCAAGACCACCACACCCAAGAGUCCACCAAGCAAUACAAAGAGAUCACCCCGUGAACUCCAUCCUCGGCGAUAUUCAUAAGGGGGUAACCACUCGAUCUCGUGUUGCUCAUUUUUGUGAACAUUACACCUUUGUAUCUUCUAUUGAGCCAUAUAGGGUGGAAGACACAUUAAGGGAUUCAGAUUGGGUGUUGGCGAUGCAAGAGGAACUCAACAACUUCACGAGGAAUGAGGUAUGACAUUUAGUUCCACGCCCUAAUCAAAAUGUUGUAGGAACCAAGUGGGUCUUCCGCAACAAGCAAGAUGAGCAUGGUGUGGUGACAAGGAACAAAGCCCGACUUGUGGCCAAGGGAUAAUCACAAGUCGAAGGUUUGGAUUUCGGUGAAACCUAUGCACCCGUAGCUAGGCUUGAGUCAAUUUGUAUAUUACUUGCCUAUGCUACUUACCAUGGCUUCAAGCUUUAUCAAAUGGACGUGAAAAGUGCCUUCCUCAAUGGACCAAUCAAGGAAGAAGUCUAUGUUGAGCAACCUCCCGACUUUGAAGAUAGUGAGUACCCUAACCAUGUGUAUAAACUCUCUAAGGCGCUUUAUGGGCUCAAGCAAGCCCCAAGAUCAUGGUAUGAAUGCCUAAGAGAUUUUCUUAUCGCUAAUGGCUUCAAAGUCGGAAAAGCCGAUCCUACUCUCUUUACUAAAACAAUUGCAAAUGAUUUGUUUGUAUGCCAAAUUUAUGUUGAUGAUAUUAUAUUUGGGUCUACUAACAAAUCUACAUUUGAAGAGUUUAGUAGAUAAUGGUACAAAAAUUCGAGAUGUCUAUGAUGGGGGAGUUGAAGUAUUUCUUAGGAUUUCAAGUGAAGCAACUCCAAGAGGGCAUCUUCAUCAGUCAAACGAAGUACAUUCAAGACAUACUCACCAAGUUUGGGAUGAAGGAUGCCAAGCCUAUCAAGACACCCAUGGGAACCAAUGGGCAUCUUGACCUCGACACGAGAGGUAAAUCCAUAGAUCAAAAGGUAUACCGGUCGAUGAUAGGAUCUUUACUCUAUUUAUGUGCAUCUCGACCGGAUAUUAUGCUUUUCAUAUGCAUGUGUGCAAGAUUCCAAGCCGAUCCUAAGGAAGUUCACCUUAGGGUCGUGAAAUGAAUCUUGAGAUAUUUAGUUCAUACUCCUAAGUUUGGCCUUUGGUACCCCAGGGGAUCCACAUUUGAUUUAAUAGGAUAUUUAGAUGCUGAUUGGGCAGGGUGUAAAAUUGAUAGAAAGAGCACAUCAGGGACUUGUUAGUUCUUGGGAAGAUCCCUGGUGUCAUAGGCUUCAAAGAAGCAAAAUUUUGUAUCUCUUUCUACCACCGAAGCCGAGUACAUUACCGCAGGCCAUUGUUGCGCGCAAUUGCUUUGGAUGAGGCAAACCCUUAGGGACUAUGGUUACAAAUUAACCAAAGUUCCGCUCCUAUGUGAUAAUGAGAGUGCAAUCCACAUGGUGGAUAAUCCCGUUGAGCACAACCGCACUAAGCACAUAGCCAUUCGGUAUCACUUUUUGAGGGAUCACCAACAAAAGGGGGAUAUCGAGAUUGUUUAUAUUAACACCAAAGAACAAUUAGCCGAUAUCUUUACCAAUGUUGGGGACUUGUUCUCAAAUGCUAUGAGUUAAGAACAAGGCAACACAAGAAAUGUUAAACGUUAAUGCCCUUCGUCCUUCGAGACAUUAUUUCCCUUAGGAUAUAAUGAUCUUCAGACGAAGGUCAUGAAGGACAUACCUUCAUCAUUGCAAUAUACGAUAAUAAAAGGAGAAUCAUAUAGAAUGUAAGAGACAACAUGAAUAAGUAUGUAAUAUUAUCAGCACAUUUCUAUUUUAUUAUCAUGGACAAAUAGAAAUGAUAUCAAAUUACAAAUGUACCUUCAGCUUGAUGGAAGGUAAAAGUACAAGUGUGACGCACGAUCAAAUACAAGUCAGCGUGAACAGUACGGGAGCACUGUUCAUCUAUUUAUAGGCACGGGACACAGCCCAUGUAAAAUUACACCCAUGCCUUUUACAUUUGCUAAUGACUCUAUAGUGAUCCAUCGAGGUCUAAAUGACCUUUUCCCUUUUAAGUCGGUUCCCUUUUCCGCUGUUAUGCCAAAGCUCCCUUGCGCGUAGCUUCGGCGCUACGUCAACCUUCGUAUUCUUUGUGCUUCUCACACUGUGGUUCUGAUCCGAGUCCGAAGGUACCUGUUCAUGUAUCAUACUCCAGAAAUAAUGUUAAAUCAUGUUUUUGAAGACCUUCGGAAGACGAAGGCCCCCAACAGUAGCCCCUCGCAAUAUUAAUUUGUUAGAAUAACGAAUUCAAAUUGCGAUAUGGACGAAGGCCUUAAGCCAAAAUUCUGAAAAAACACCUUCCCUUUGCUAGAAUAGCAACAGUCGAUGACAGACGGGGCCCUCCAAUUUGGAACGCACUGGGCGUAUAAAUAGGAACUCACCCCGAGCACAUUUGGUACGCUAUCUGCCGCCUGCUUUGCUUGCUCAAUUUUUUAGCUCUUGCCUACCAACGCUUGCUUGGUUUUUUAGACUUUCUAAGCUUCGGCUUUAAGGACACAUUUUCGCCAUUUCCGAAGAGAAGAUGUCUCAAGACAAAAAAGUUGUUGCUGAGACGAAGCUGAGCGAAGAGGAGAAGCUCCAUGAGGAGAAGACUGCUGGAUUUGUUGAAUCAAUAGCAAAGAAAAAUACAGAAAAGAUUACUAAGGAGAUUCUAGAAGGCUUAUCUGAAGAUACUGAUGACAGCGACAGUUAUGAUGCGGAAAGCGGAGGCGAAGACUCCGAAGAUCGGCCCUGGCGACCAAGCAUGCAGUCUUCGGGAAAUCAACCAUCAAACAGAGUCAUCUUGAUAAUAUGAGAGGAAGGUAUUUUCGAUAUUAUUUUUUUGUUCUUAUAUUAACCCAUUCAUUCUUUUCAUAUAGGGUUUAAUACUUAGCAACGCCUUAAGGGCGCAAAAGAAUGUCGAAGACGAGAGUUGCACUAUUGCUCUCAACAACCUUCAAACAGAGGUUAUCAAGCUGAGGAACGAAGCUUUGGAAAAAGAAAAAAUUCUACUUACAUUGGUGGACAAAGUAAAGGGGGAUGAAGCUAACUUCAAGGCUCAAUCUGAAAUCCAAAGGAAUGAGAUUGAAAACCUUCAAAAACAACUGGCCGAAGCCAAAUUGAAAUGCGCUAUUGCCGAAGCUGACCGAGUUGCCAGUGAGUACUAGAAAAAUUAUCUUGAAAAACAGUUGCAGAGCUUCGCUCAUCAAAAGAAAGAUGUUUUGAAAAAUCUGUGGAAUGCGUGAAAAAGAUAAAAACUAGCUUUGCCAACGUUGGCGCAUAUUCAAGCGAAGAUAACUUCAUACGGGGCGACCCCGAAGGCGUAAUCGAGUGGAUCAGCGGUGAGGCCGAAGCCUUUGAAGAGAUUUUGAGUGACCGCGGGGACGUCUGUGCCUUCUCUGGUGCGAGAGGAAUUGCAGCUAUUUUGGAGAAAGCAGGGUGCGAACAUGUUAAAACUUUGGCCCAGGCCGAAGCUGCCUUCUCCACCGAUGAUAUAAAGGACCCCUCGGCCGAAGCAAACUCAAUAGGUGGAAAAAAUUUCACUGAUAUCUGGGAAAACGGUGGCCGAGGGAUGGCCCAUGAAAUUAUAAAGAAAAACGAAAAAGAUAUUCACGACACUCGAGAGUCAAUAAAAGAAGCUGAAAAGGCUGCGGAGCUUGAGAGACGAAUAUGUAUUACUUAAUGGUUUUUAACUUUGUUGUUUAUUUUUGUGACUUUGAACUGAUUUAUGUUUUCUACCUUAGCUGAACUAUCUCCUCCCCCAGCGCCCUUAGAGUCAUUGGCCGACCCAGAGGCAAAGGAAUCAACAGAACUUAUUAACAUGGCCGAAACUAUUGUAGACGAAGUCGUUACCCAACUGCUGACCGAAUUUGCACAUAAAGUUUUGAAGGAAGAAGAGUAGCUAUUGUAAAAACAUUGCUAGAAUAUUAAUGUAACAUUUGCCGGACUAUGCUUGUAAUAUUUGGUGCUCCUAGGUUUUGAAUGUAAUAUAUGAAUGGUUUUGUAAUUCAUUUCUUUGCGAUGCAUGAAACUUUUAUGUACAUACCGUUUUUGAGCCUUCGGCGAAAAAACACCUUCCCUUCUUUUCAUGUUCGUAAAGAAGAGCUUUUAUGCUUCGUAAAAAAUCCUCCAAUCGUCGCAAAAACAUUAAUGCUUCGUCAACAACAGAUUUUUCCUCCACAUCAGAGCUGAUGAAGCUGUAUUUCUUCAAAACUUAUUUUGUGCCUUAGCACAAUUUCACUUUUUUCGAAGCAUUCUUCGAAGGUCAACAUUGUAUCCCCUUCUUGUGCCAUUGAUGCAAUAUGAUGUAUGAUGUUAUGUUAUGUGAAAUGAUGUGAUGAUGUUAUGUUAUGCAAAAUGAUGUUUAUGCCGAAGACACACACUCACACCCCCAUAGUGGAAUACACAAUCUCUUUGCCGCUUAUUUUUCGGCUUCACCGCUUAUUUUUCGGUGUAUCAGCGCUGACUUUUCACUGUAAGUUCUGCAUUCCCUUAGGAACGUCUUUUGAACUUCUUCACCUUCUAUUUCGGCGGUAUUCGCGUUGACUUUUCGCGCUUCGCCUUAUAUUUCGGCGGUAUUUGGCUCUGCAUUCCCUUUGGAAUGACUUUUGAGCAGAAAACUUACACUGCGCUCCCUUAGGAACGACUUUUUGUAGCUUCGGCAAACUUACGCUGCGUUCCUUAGAACGACUUUUUUGUGGCUUCGGUGAUACUUGUAAUGUGAUUUUUAGCCCCGCGUUCCCUUAGGAACGACUUUUGUGCUUCAGUGACUUUUUGAACUUCGUGAGUCUGUGGAGAAGAUAUAUUUCACUAUGGCAAGAACGAAGUUAUUACAAGAAAUCAAGAGAGCUAGGUUUUCAAUAAUUGUUCCUUAUUAAAAAGGAAGUGAUAAUGAAUGUAAAAACUGCUUCAGGGGUAGGAUAUCUCUCAAUAGAUAUGCUUCGAUUCUAGCACAGUACUGUUGGCUGUGCGAGCUUCGGACUCCUCCCUGAAAUCUCGUUGCUGAUGGGUCUGUUGGCUCCCUUCUGGCUGCUGGCCUCGUGAAUAUGCAGGUUGUAGUGGUGGCAGAGGUGGAGGCUGUGGCCAAGAUGCAUGUGGCUGGCUAGCCGAAGCAACAGAAGCUGCAGGAUGGUUACCCACAUACUCUGGUAUGUAGGGUGAGUGAUACGAAGCAGUGUGCAUGACCUGCUUCGGCUGGUUCUGCUGAGCUGCGGCUUCUGCUAAUUCCUUUUGUUUCUGAAUGGUGACAUGGCACAUCCUUGUAGUAUGGCCCUUGUCCUCACCACAGAAUAAGCAAUUUUCCUAGGUUGAUCCCCAAACCUUCCUCCGAAGCCCCUGGCACCUCUGCCUCUUGGAGUUGGCGGCCGAAAAUAGGUUUGUUGCUGCCCCGAAACUUGCGAGGAAUAUUGUGGCUUCUGUUGCUGACUUCCUCUGUCGUCAUUCUGGGUGGAGUGGAUUGAUCUGACAUGCCUUGGGUGGAUUCUUCCUCCGAAGCCCCUGGUCAUCUCAGAGAACCUGUAGGCUUCCUCCCUUCUUUGGCGAAAGUCAUUGUCAGCCCGGAUGUAUUCAUCCAUCUUUUGAAGCAGCUUCUCCAAAGUCUGUGGAGGCUUUCUAGCAAAAUACUGGGCAGUAGGUCCUGGAUGAAGCCCCUUGAUCAUGGCCUCAAUGACAAUUUCAUUGGGCACAGUAGGCACUUGUGCUCUCAGACGCAAGAACCUUCAGACGUAUGCCUGGAGAUACUCCUCAUGAUCUUGCGUGCAUUGAAACAGAGCCUGAGCUGUGACUGGCUUCGUCUGAAAGCCCUGGAAACUUGUCACCAGCAUGUCCUUGAGCUUCUGCCAUGAAGUGAUGGUCCCUGGCCGAAGAGAAGAAUACCACGUUUGAGCCACAUUCUUAACUGCCAUGACGAAGGACUUGGCCAUGACAGCUGCAUUGCCUCCGUAUGAAGAUAUAGUUGCUUCAUAACUCAUCAAAAACUGCUUCGGGUCUGAAUGCCCAUCAUACAUUGGAAGCUGAGGUGGCUUGUAUGAUGGGGGCCACGGGAUAGCCUGCAGUUCUGCUGCCAAGGGAGAAGCAUCAUCAAAAGUAAAGGUAUCAUGAUUAAAAUCAUCAUACCAUCCAUCGUCGUUGAACAAGCCCUCUUGAUGAAGCUCCCUGUGUUGGGGCCUUCGAUCUUGCUCGUCUUGAGCAAGGUGGCGUACUUCUUCAGUGGCUUCGUCAAUCUGCCUUUGAAGGUCAGCUUGUCGGGCCAUCUUCUCCUUCUUCUUUUGCACUUGCUGAUGAAGCAUCUCCAUGUUUCUGAUUUCUUGGUCCAACUCGUCCACCUGGGGUGUUGGACUAGUGGCCUUCCUCUUCUGGCUUCGGGCCUCUCGAAGAGAAAGGGUCUCCUGAUUUGGGUCCAGUGGCUGCAGAGCGGCAGCCCCUAGCGCUGAAACUUUCUUCGGUGGCAUGACGAAGGUCAAUGCUUGCCGAAGGUGGUCGAAAAGAGUUCACCCCACGGUGGGCGCCAAUGUUGGGGACUUGUUCUCAAAUGCUAUGAGUUAGGAACAAGGCAACAUAAGAAAUGUUAAACGUUAAUGCCCUUCGUCCUUCGAGACAUUAUUUCCCUUAGGAUAUAAUGAUCUUCAGACGAAGGUCAUGAAGGACAUACCUUCAUCAUUGCAAUAUACGAUAAUAAAAGGAGAAUCAUAUAGAAUGUAAGAGACAACAUGAAUAAGUAUGUAAUAUUAUCAGCACAUUUCUAUUUUAUUAUCAUGGACAAAUAGAAAUGAUAUCAAAUUACAAAUGUACCUUCAGCUUGAUGGAAGGUAAAAGUACAAGUGUGACACACGAUCAAAUACAAGUCAGCGUGAACAGUACGGGAGCACUGUUCAUCUAUUUAUAGGCACGGGACACAGCCCAUGUAAAAUUACACCCAUGCCCUUUACAUUUGCUAAUGACUCUAUAGUGAUCCAUCGAGGUCUAAAUGGCCUUUUCCCUUUUAAGUCAGUUCCCUUUUCCGCUGUUAUGCCGAAGCUCCCUUGUGCGUAGCUUCAGCGCUACGUCAACCUUCGUAUUCUUUGUGCUUCUCACACUGUGGUUCUGAUCCGAGUCCGAAGGUACCUGUUCAUGUAUCAUACUCCAGAAACAUUGUUAAAUCAUGUUUUUGAGGACCUUCGGAAGACGAAGGCCCCCGACAACCAAGCCACUAGAUGAGAAAACUUUUACCAAUCUUAGGCAUGAGCUAAACAUUCUAGAUUCUAGGAAUUUUGAUUGAUAUUUUGCACACAUAGCUUAUUUCAAUACCUUUGAUCAUAUCUCUUUCAUGUGCUAUGACUAAUGUGGUUUUCAAGUAUAUUUCAUGCUAAGUCAUAGAUUGAAAGGAAAAUGGAGUCUUCGGCGAAGAAAAGGCUUCCACUCCAUCGAAUUAUUCAUCCUUCGCCGACACUCCACAUCGCUCUCCAAUUUGGUAUAAUCUUCACUCCUACAUUAUUUACCAAAGGGGGAGAAAGUUUGAAAAAGGGCUUAUAUUUUCACUCACAAGUAUCCGUUUUUGGCGAUUCAUGCCAAAGGGGGAGAAAGUAUUAGCCCAAAGCAAAAGGACCGCACCACCACCAAUUUCAAAAAUGAAGUCUUUUAAAUUUGUACUAAAAGAAGGUUUUUCAAUUGGUAUCUUAUUUUUGAUAGAAUUUUCAAAUUGGUAUAACCCAUUUCAAAAUUAAUAUCUAAAACUCUCUUGAACAAUAAGAGGAGAAUUUCAUUAAGGGGGAGUUUUGUUUAGUCAAAGGAAAAGCAUUUGAAACAGGGGGAGAAAAUUUCAAAUCUUAAAAAUGCUUCUCAAAAUCUUACUCAUUUACCUUUGACUACUUGCAAAAAGACUUUGAAAAGAAUUUCCAAAAGAGUUUGCAAAAACAAAACAAGUGCUGCAAGCGUGGUCCAAAAUGUUAAAAUAGAAGAAAGCAUCCAUGCAUAUCUUAUAAAAUGUAUAUUGGUUUAAUUCCAAGUAACCUUUGCACUUUCAUUAUGCAAACUAGUUCAAUUCUGCAAUUAUAUAUUUGCUUUGGUUUGUGUUGGCAUCAAUCAUCAAAAAGGGGGAGAUUGAAAGGGAAAUAGGCUUACACCUUUUCCUAAAUGGUUUUGGUGGUUGAAUUGCCCAACGCAAAUAAUUGGACUAACUAGUUUGCUCUAGAUUAUAAGUUCUACAUGUGCCAGAGGUUCAACACAAACCAAUAAAAAGUCCAAGAAAGGGUUCAAAUAAAAAGAGCAAAAGACAACCGAAUGCUGCCCUGGUCUGGCGCACCGGACAGUGUCCGGUGCACCAGGGAGAUUCACUCCAAACUUGCCACCUUUGGGAAUUUGGGAAGCCACUCCGCUAUAAUUCACCGGACUGUCCGGUGUAGCACCGGACUGUCCAGUGUGCCAAGCGGAGCAACGGUCGUUAGCGCAACGGUCGAGUUGAACGGUCGGCUCACAACGCUACAGUGCGCGUACUGCGCGCGCAGAAGUUAGAGCAGGUGCAGAUGGCGCAUCGGACAGUGAACAGGACCUGUCCGGUGCACCACCGGACUAUCCGGUGGCCCACAUGUCAGAAGCUCCAACGGUCGAACCCUAACGGUUGGGUGACGUGGCUGGCGCACCGGACAGUGGCCGGUGGCGCACCGGACUGUCCGGUGCGCCCAUCGACAGUAGAGUUCCCCAACGGCCACUUUGGUGGUUGGGGCUAUAAAUACCCCCCAACCACCACACUUCAAUGCAUCCAAGUUUUCAGCCAUCAAACCUCAUACAAGAGCUCUAUACUUCAUUCCAAGACACAAACAAAGAGAUCAAAUCCUCUCCCAAGUCCGGAAUCACUUCAAACAAAUUAGUGACUAGAGAGAGAGACUUUUGUGUUCUUUUGAGCUCUUGCGCUUGGAUCGCUUUUCUUCUUCCUCCUUUCUUGUUCUCAACUCAAUUGUAAUCAAAGCAAGAGACACCAAGUUGUGGUGGUCCUUGUAGUGGACUAAGUGUCCUGUUUGAUUGAAGAGAAAAGCUCACUCAGUCUAGGUGACCGUUUGAGAGAGGGAAAGGGUUGAAAGAGACCCGGUCUUUGUGACCACCUCAACGGGGAGUAGGUUUGCAAGAACCGAACCUCGGUAAAACAAAUCAUCGUGUUCAUUCGUUUUAUUUCUUUGUUGAUUUGUUUUCCCUCUCUUUCGGACUCGAUUAUAUUUUUAACGCUAACCCCGACUUGUUGUUGUGCUUAAACUUUAUAAAUUUCAGAUUUGCCUAUUCACCCCCCCUUUAGGUGACUUUUAGUCUCAACACCUCCUCUCUCGUACGAUGCGCUUUACCAUGGAAGAUCCACCGAGUAUAGUCUGGCGUAAAUCUGAUCUUCCAAAUAUGUUCUACCAUGGCCUUCUUUGAUUUUCUUUUCCGGUUGGCACAUUUGCUGCACGGGCAUGGGACUAGACUCGCUCCUUUAGCAGCUUUGCCAUAUGCCCGUUCCACAAAAGCAUCGGUCUUUCUAAUCCAUUCAGGGGUGACAUCAUUCCUACUUACACGGCAUGUGUACAUCCACUCACGGUCUUCCAUCCUCUAACAUAUGUAACCGAGUAUAGUUUAAUAUAAACAUGUAAUGCAUGUACGCUAUGUUCCUACCUUAUAAUAGGUGAGUAUAGUUCUUAAUCUCACUCGCGGUUGCGUAGACGAAGUUAGUUUCCAUGCUCUACUUCGAUCCAAGACAGAGUUCCGGCAGCACCUCCCCGUUGUUCUCCGGAUACACGCCCUAGCAGGUAGAAUGUACUGUCCGGAGAUCAACAUGGAGGUGAAACCGAAACUCUGUCUCGGACCGGAGUAGAGCAUGGAAACUAAUACCAGGGCGACGGUGGAGUAGGGAUAGCGGGGCUGUGGCGGGUCGGUGCAGUGGCGACGUGUCGCAGUGCAGGUUCUAGUGUGGCGGCAAGGAAUACCUCUGCAAAAAAAAAUUAACACAAGUUUAUCAACAAAAAAAUCGGCAGGACUUCCCCUGCACGAGGAGGUUGCAAAAAACCAGCAAAUAAAACUAACAGCACGAUGGCUGACAUCCACACAUAUACUAGCAAAAAAUAGACUUGCGUGUGUUAUUUACAAUUGUGUUAGUUACACACAAUCUAUUGAUGCCAUAUUUGUUGUGUACUAGCGAUUGGCAAGAAGAAUCAACUUUUAGGCACUAAAACAUCUAGUGGGUUCAAAUUAAAGAACUUCUUCUAUUAAUUACAGAACCACCCCAUCGGCCGACCAGGAUCCAAAUUAAAGAACUUCUUCUUCUAUUAAUUAUAGUAUAUUAUAAUUACCAAGUCUCUUCUUAUAUUUACAUGUUCAUUUGCUUGCUUCUUGCAUAACAUAACGGCGAUCGAUGAUGACCAUCGUUAGUUUUAGUCCUACGUGUAUUUGAUUCAAUCCCUCCAUGUUCAUAGUAUAAAUUCAACCAAACCUAAAUAAGUUUCAGUCAGCUUGAUCUUAAAAUUGCAUCAUACACACACAUACAUAGUCUUACUAGAAGUAAGCAAUUUCUUUUAAACUAAUUUCCAGCCAACAUUGAUGAAUGAACUAGAAUGUGGCUAUAACCGAGACCUGUGUGGGUGGUGCUGGAGAUGGGGACGUUGGGCCGAGGCUCACCGGCGUCGAGGCCUGUCCGAAGAUGGCCGACCGCCAGGCCGGGGACGGGGCUCGUUGGAGAUGGCCGGGUCGAGCGACGGUGGGGACGUCGGAGGCAGGGAGGAUGGCCGGCACGGUGUCCGGAGCCGGAGGGGAUGACCGGAGAGGAGGAUGGUCGGCGCUUGCUCCGAUGGCGUUGGCGGCGAGUGGCGUUGGCGGAGGGGACGACUGGUUAGGGCUAUGUACACAGACUUUGCCGAGUGCCAUAUCACGGGCACUCGGCAAAGAUUUUUUUUAAAUUUAAAAAUAAACUUUGCCGAGUGUCACAGAUCACUGACAGGCACUUGGCAAAGAUUGUUUUAAUUUUUUUAAAAAAACUUUACAGAGUGUCCCACGGCAGGCACUCGACAAAGAAUGCUUUACUGACUGCCUUAUUUUGACACUCGACAAAGAAUUCUUUGCCAAGUGCCCGAUAAAAAGCACUUGGCAAAGCACCGAGCACUCGGCAAAGAGCCGGAUUCCGGUGUGGUUGUUUCAUGGAAGUUGUAAGUAGACCAUCUUAACAAGGUCAACAAUAGAAGUACAACUCACAACAUUAGAUACUGCCAAAGUUAAUGUUGAGAGGCUUCGUGAACUCCUUAUGGAUUUACUAGUAGUUGAAAAACCAAUACUGGUUAUCUAUAUGAGCUAUAAUAAUUAAACAUUGGUAAUCAAAGUGAACAAUUCUUAGGUUAACAUGAAGACUACAAAGCAUGUCAAGAACGGUUGAAACUGUUAAAACACUAAGAAACUCUAGAUUAAUUGUGUUGGACUAUGUCCAUACUUCUAAGAAUUUGGUAUGCCAGUUUAUAGAAGAUUUGUCACAUAAUGUGAUAGAUGGUGCAUCGAGAAAGAUGGACUUGAGACCCACUUAAUGCCAUUCCAUAGUAGUAGCAUUUUCUAUGUGAUUGGAGAUCUCAUGAAGUAAAAUGGUGAAAUAAGCUAGAGAAUGACUGAUGGAGAGACUCCUUAAAUAAAAUCUAGGUAAUUUCAUAUGAACAUUUCUCCUUCGAUGUACGAUAGGCUAACUAAAAUCUUAAUAUGAUUUGAGUGACAUAUCUAAGCAGGGAUGUUAUCUUAUAGAACAUCCUAUAAGGAACACACCUAUAUGACUUUGACUACUAAUCACAGUCUAUGAUAUGUGGGAAAUAUUUUUUUACUCAUGAAAGGCCUCGAAGUUUGACUUAUAUGCUUCAAACCAAUGGAUAACUGAUUGAAUCUGUUUCAGACAGCAGCAUAGUUAACUUCAAAAUUCUAUAUCUCCCAAACUUCUCAACCAAAAAUUAUUAAAUUAUGCUGACAGUAAGAACUUUUAUCCCUCUACAAAAGUCUCCAUAGUUGGAAGAGCCAAUUCGGCCAUUUACUAGAUGAAACCUACCAGUUAACAGACCCGCUCAUUUUUGUCAGGCAAACAAGAACCCUUAUAUAUCAAAGAGUAGUGGAUUUGAAUUUGUCUAAUAUGAAGUUUAUGGGCUUGGAUCAUUUAAAGUAUUUUAUAAUUCUGAAAGACAAGAUUAAACUAACUAUGUAUGAUCCUUUAGCACCGUACAGAUGGUCGAUGGGACAGUUACAUGGUUUAUAUAGAUGGACCUAUCUAUAUUCCUUCAGUGGUUGAGAACAAGGUAAAGGUGUGUCACACUCACGCGUGCGCCGCCUCCGCCGAGACGAGGCAUGGCGUUGCAGGGUGAGGCAUGGCAUGGUGCAGCACGAUCGCAGUCAUGGUCGUGGCACAGUGUAGCACUGUUGUGGAUAGAUAGAUAAACUAUUGUUGUAGUUAGAGUGCAUGAGUUUUUGAAUGCAACACUAGAAUUUUCACAAUUUAACUUAAUUAAGAAGUUAUAUCUUGAUGACACAGAGUUACCUGACCAUUGAUCUCACAUGCCCUUUUAGCUCUCUCGUACUCUAGACUUACCCUGACUAUUUAGGUCUCCUGACUCGCCAAUAUAAACACCAUCCUAUCAUUUGCUGUCGAAUACUUCUGUGUCACAACUCAACUGUCAGAUGAGUACUCCAUUACAGCACUGAGCAGGCCUCCGAAAUGAAUAUCUACUCAGAUGAAGGACGACAAUCGUGUUCUAGGGAAAUAUCAGCGACACAACUCCUUACUUCCUCCGCUUCUUCCUAGUGUUUUUUGUUGUGAUUGAGUCGACAUAGCAACAACACUGCACUAUUACAACCAGUACGACUAUAUCAACUAGCAAUGUCUUCCUUAUAUGUUACUAUUUAUUUUGCUCAUAUUCAUUAUGUUUAAAUCACAUAGGCGCCUUUAUGUUGGCAUCAAAAAAUCAGUAUCAACUUUAUAGAUUAAAAUGAAACUAAAAGUACCUAAAUUUCUAUCGGUGGGGAUCGAGUGAUUCUUUAAACCGAUUAUUACACAAGUUAACCACACUAAAAUUAACAAUGGUGAAUCGUGCCAUGAUUUUUUUCUAGUGGAAAAUAGCCAAACCAAGCAACACAUAUGUGGCUAUCGUUACACAUGUGUAAAGGUAUUGCAUCACACCAUUGUCACCCAUGUAUGUGGACAAUACCGAGAGGAAAAACCACUUAUUUAUUGUAUUUUAUCAAGUUUGUCUUGCUUACGUAUAAAUUAUAACCCAACAAAGUAAUCACUAAAUGUCAAAACCAACUAGAUACCAUGUCAUCUCUACCUUAUCUUACUAAUAUUCUUUUUGCAAAAUCCAAAAUUAAUCUUGCACAAGCACAAGGACUGAGAUGUGUAUAAAUAUCUCUUAAAUUAGUAGCUAAUAUAUCGCACAUAUUAUUGAGACCAACUAGCAACAUAGAAAGCACAAUAGUGUACCAACAAUGGCAGCCAAAAUAUUUUGCCUCCUUAUGCUCCUUGGUCUUUCUGCAAGUGCUGCUACGGCGACCAUUUUCCCGCAAUGCUCGCAAGCUCCUAUAGCUUCCCUUCUUCCCCCGUACCUCUCACCAGCGGUGUCUUCGGUAUGUGAAAACCCAAUUCUUCAACCCUACAGGAUCCAACAGGCAAUCGCAGCUGGCAUCUUACCUUUAUCACCCUUGUUCCUCCAACAAUCAUCAGCCCUAUUACAACAGUUACCUUUGGUGCAUUUAUUGGCACAAAACAUCAGGGCACAACAACUACAACAACUUGUGCUAGCAAACCUUGCUGCCUACUCUCAGCAACAGCAGUUUCUUCCAUUCAACCAACUAGGUUCAUUGAACUCUGCUUCUUAUUUGCAACAACAACAACUACCAUUCAGCCAGCUACCUGCUGCCUACCCCCAGCAAUUUCUUCCAUUCAACCAACUAGCAGCAUUGAACUCUCCUGCUUAUUUACAGCAGCAACAACUACUACCAUUCAGCCAGCUAGCUGGUGUGAGCCCUGCUACCUUCUUGACACAACCACAGUUGUUGCCGUUCUACCAGCACGUUGCGCCUAACGCUGGCACCCUCUUACAACUGCAACAAUUGCUGCCAUUCAACCAACUUGCUUUGACAAACCCAGCAGUGUUCUACCAACAACCCAUCAUUGGUGGUGCCCUCUUUUAGAUUUCUUAUGAGUUAUAGUUCAAUAAUAAAGUUUUUUAUCUGAUGUUUGUGGCUUCCCAGAAAUAAGAAAGUACAUUUCUAGAUUCUUAUGUGCUUCUAGUCUUCAAAUGUGGUUGAUAGUUAUUGUUGGGGACUUGUUCUCAAAUGCUAAGAGUUAAGAACAAGGCAACAUAAAAAUGUUAAAUGCUAAAGUCCUUCGUCCUUCGAAGCAUUAUUUCCCUUAGGAUAUAAUGAAUUUCGGACGAAGGCUAUGAAGGACAUACCUUCAUAAGCACAACGAAUGAUGAAGAAGAAUUCAUAUAAAUUAUGAGAUAUAACAUAAACAUUUAAACAUUAUUAUUAACUCAUUUCUAUUGACUUGUCAGGGAAAAAUAGAAAUGAUAAUAAAUUACAAAUAUACCUUCGGCUUGAGAGAAGGUAAAGGUACAAGCGUGAGGCAAAAGCAAAUGCCAAGUCAGCGUGAACAGUACGGGAACACUGUUCAUCUAUUUAUAGGCACGGGACGCAGCCCAUGCAAAAUUACAUCCAGGCCCUUUGCUUUUGACAAUAACUCUAUAGUAAUCUAUCUGGGUCUAGAUAGUCUUUUCCUCUUUAAGUCGGUUUCCUCUUUUCUGCCAUCAUACCGAAGCUCCCUUGCGCACAGCUUCGGCUCUGCUCCAUCCUUCGUAUUGUUUCCGUGCUUCUUCAUACCGUGGGCUCUUGUUCGAAGAUCCCUAUCCACACAUUAUACUCCAGAGGCAUUGUUAAAUCAUGUUUUUGAGGACCUUCGGAAGUCGAAGGCCCCCAACAGUAGCCCCUCGCAAUAUUAAUUUAUUAGAAUGAUAAAUUUAGAUCGCGACAUGGACGAAGGCCUUAAGCCGAAGGUCCGAAAAAACACCUUCCCUUUGCUAGAAUAGCAACAAUCAAUGACAAGCGGGGCCCUUUCCCUUGCAACACACUAGGCGUAUAAAUAAGAGCAUACCGCGAGCGGAUUUGGCACGCUUUUUGCCAUCUGCUCUUGCUCACCCAACUUUUAGCCCUUGCACACCAACACCUGCUUGGCCUUUUUUUAAAAAAAUUUAAGCUUCGGUUUCGAGAGCACUUUCUCAGCAUUUUCGAAGAUGUCUGAAGAUAAGAAAGUUGUCGCUGAGUCGAAGCUGAGACUUUCUGAGGAGAUGAAUCUCGGCUUUCUUGAAUCAAUAGCGAAGACAAAUACAGAGAAGAUUACUAGGGAGAUUUUAGAAGGUUUAUCUGAAGACACUGGUGACAGUGACAGUUAUGAUGUGGAAAGUGGUGGUGAAGAUUCCGAAGAUCGACCCUGGUGACCAAGCCAUGCAGUUUUUGGAAAAUCAAGCAUUAAACUAAGCCAUCUUGUUAAUAUGAGGGGCAGAUAUUUUCGGGAUUUAUCUAUUGUGAGGGCUGAUGAAGGAGAAAAAACUUGUCCUACUCCUGAGGAAAAUGAAGUCGUGAUAUUCCGAAGCUUCUUCAAGGCUGGGCUUCGGUUUCCUUUAAGCGGUUUCGUGGUUGAAGUUUUGAAGAUUUUUGAAAUCUACCUCCAUCAAAUUACUCCUGAAGCAAUCAUAAGGAUGGGAAUCUUCGUAUGGGCUGUGAAGAGCCAAGGUUUGGAGCCGAAUGCAAAAAGUUUCUGCAAUAUGCAUGAGCUAUUAUACGAGACGAAACCUUGGGGUAAAGAGAAAUAUCAUAACAAUUUUGGCUGCUACAGCUUCGGCGCCCGCUCUGGGUCAAGCUGUCCCGUGCCAACUUUUUGGAAGAGAUGGCCCGGGGACUCGAUGAAGGAAUGGUGUUAUGUAAAAAACGACUUGAAAACGCGAGAAGGUAUUAAAGAUAUCAUCAUGCGCCCCAUCUGGCAGCGUUUCGGCCUUCGGAAACCGAAGGUGGAUAUUGACGAAGCAACCGAAGAAUGCCAGAGGGCCUUCGGCGUAGUUUGCUCUUUCAUCGGGACAAGGGAUUUGAUCCAGGAACAUAUUUCCUUCAGAGUAUGGCCACUUGUAGAAAAGUGGGAAAUGCCGAAGGAAACCAUCAGCAAACCUGAUGAAGUGGACUAGUUAGGUUAAAAUAUACCUUCAGAUAUGGAGAUAAGUUUGUGGAGCCAGAUGAUGACUGGCUGAAAUGUAUUGAGGCCACAAGCGAUGAACUGCUUGGGCCAUAUUCGAAGACAGAAGAUACUGCACUGUCCGCGGCCUUCGGAGGUCGGAAGAAGAGACUCAACCGAGUGUUUGAUGCCAUUGGGUUCGUCUAUCCUGACUACCGUUACCCAACACAGGGUCAGAAAGGGAAAGAUACGACUUCUGUGAAGAAAGUUGCUUCAGCCGCUCCUAGUGAGCCGGCGCCGAAGAGGAAAAAGAUGAAGGUUCUUACGCACCGGCCACGCUAUAUUGAACCGGCCACAGUGCCUGAGUUUGUCGGUGAGACCUCUUCGGCCACCGAAGCCAAGGAGCCGACUCUCCUGCCGAAUAUUGAAGAGCCGGCCAAAAUGCCGGCAAUGGAAAAAAUAGAAGAACCGAGGGCUGAAGAGACAAAGACAUCGGAAAAGAAUGGUUAACGUGCUAAUGCCGAAUAUUGAAGUCCUUCAGCAAGAAUCGAGGUGCUAAUGCCAAUGCCGAUGGCACAAAAAGACCUUACGACAACCCCCAAGAGGAAAAGAAUGGUUAACGUGCUAGAUGUACUGGAAACGAUAAAAUCUUCAAGCUCUACUCCGAAGAUAGCUACUGAAGUUCCAAAGACACAAACUGAGGCCAAAGCUGCCAAAAGUCAAGCGGAAACUGAAACUGGGCUUUCAGAGCCUACCAAGAGGGAAUUCUUGGAAAUUGAAAAAGAAACGGAAAAAGAAUCUGCAGAAGAAACUUUUUCUGAGAAAAUCGUCACACAUAUUCCCGAAGCAUCUUCUGAAGCUUCUGACUAUGUAUUACGUCAUGCUUCGGGUAAAAAUCUGAGCGAAAAAGAAAAAAGAGAAGCUCAAUUCUAUGCGCAAAAAUUGAAAUAUCCAAAAGGGGCGCUGAUAUUCAACGGCAGCGGAGAAGAAGACUUCUUGUAUUGUCUCCCUCAUAGCAAGGAGAUUUCUGUCUGUCGGGAGAUGAGCAAAAGCUUCGGAUUCCCAACAUUAGAAGACGGGCUCUUGGUGUUGUCAAAGGACGAGCUAGCCGACAGCUUAGCGUAUAAUAGUUUAAAGGUGAAGAAAAUGAGAUCUUUGUAUUAUUUCUUGAAACCAAAAUUUUUCAUUUGCUUAAACUUAUUAACGCAUUUUUUUACAGGGUCUUAUACUUAGCAAUGCCCUCAGGGCACAAAAGAAUGACGAAGACGAAGGGUGCGCCAUAGCCCUGAGCAACCUUCGUUCCGAAGUAAUUGAUCUAAGGAACGAAGGUCUCGAAAAAGAUAAAAUAUUACAUUCGUUGGUGAAUAAAAUAAAAGAAGAUGAAGCUACUUUCAAAGCUCAAGCUGAGGCUCAGAAGCACGAAAUUGAGAAUCUUCGGAAACAACUAGCCAGAGCUACAGAAGAAUACACAAUUGAAGAAACAAAACGAGAAAUUAGUGAACAAUGGGCAAAUCAUUUAGAAAAAAACGUUGAAGAGCUUCGUGCGUCCAAGAAAAGGUGUUAUGAAAAAUCUAUAGAAUGUGUUAAGAAAAUAAGAACCAGCUUCACCAACGUUGGCGCGUUUUCAAGUGAAGAAAAUUUCAUGAGGGGUGACCCCGAAAGCCCAAUUGGAUGGAUCAGCCACGAAGCUGAAGCUUUUGAAUAGCCGUGGAGACAUAUGUGCCUUCUCGGGUGCCAGGGGGAUUGCCGCUGUUUUGGAGAAGAAAGGUUGCGAUCACGUGAAAUCCCUGGCACAGACCGAAGCCGUUUUAUCCUCUGAAGACAUAAAAGACCCUUCGGCCGAGGCGAGUUUGGUUGGUGGGAAAUUUUUCACCGACAUCUGGGAAAACGGUGGCCGGGAGAUGGCUCAAGAAAUUAUACGGAGAAGCGAGAAUGGUAUACAUGACGCUAGAAAAGUAGCAGAGGCCGCUGAGAAAAGUGUGGAUCUCGAAGGGCGAAUAGGUAUUAACUAGUAAUUUUUGGCUUUUUGUUGUAACCUUUUGAUUUUGAACUUGUUUACACUUUGUAACAUGGUCGCACCUUCUCCUCCCUCAGAGCCUGCCGAGCCAUCGACAGACCCCCACGUAAAGGGGGAUGACGAGAUUAGAAGAAUGGCUGAAGCUAUCAUGGACAAAGUUGUUGAUCAAUUACUAAACGAAGCUGCAGAAAUAGUUCUAAGGGAAGAUUAGAUGUUAUUGUAAAAACAUUUGGAAUGUAAUAUUUGUUGAACAAUAUGUGUAAUAUUUUGUAACUUUGAAUGUAAUAUAUAAUCUAUUUGUGGUUCAAUUCUUUACGAUGCAUGAAACUUUACAUACAUACCGUUUUUGAGCCUUCGGCGAAAAAACACCUUCCCUUCUUUUCAUGCUUCGUAAAUAAUAUCCGUAUAUCAUAAAAACAUCCAAUUUUCGUAAAAUCAGUAACCAAUAGAUCUUUUUAUUUCAUAAAAACAUCCAAUCUUCGUAAAAUCAGUAACCAAUCUUCGUAAAGGCAUGCUUCUUCAAUAAUUAUUUUUGUGCCUUGGCACUGUUUCUUCGAAACAAUCUCCGAAUAUCAACAUUGAAACCCCCUUCUUGCGUCAUUGAUGCAAUAUGAUGUAUGAUGUUAUGCUAUGCAAAUGAUGUGAUGAUGUGAUGUUAUGCAAAAUGAUAUUUGCCGAAGAUCAACGUUUAUUUUUCACUGCAAGCCUCCCUUAGGAGCUUCUUCGCCUUUUACUUCAGCGGAAUCAGCAUUUAUUUUUCGCUGUAAGCCUCCCUUAGGAGCUUCUUCGCCUUUUACUUUCAGCGGAAUCAGCGUUUAUUUUUUGCUGUAAGCCUCCCUUAGGAGCUUCUUCGCCUUUUACUUUCAGCGGAAUCAGCGUUUAUUUUUCGCUGUAAGCUCUGCAUUCCCUUCGGAACGACUUUUGAGCAGAAAACUUACGCUGCGCUCCCUUAGGAACGACUUUUUGUUAUUUCGGAGAUUCUCCUUGUAACCAUAAAUUCUUAUGCUUCGGCAACUCUGUUAUUUUGUGGAGAAGGUAUAUUUUUACUGUGGCGAAAACGAAGCUAUUACAAGAAAUUGAAAACGACAAAAAGCACUUAGGCUUUCAAUAAUUGUUCCUUAUUAAAAAGAAAAUGAUACUGAAUGUAAAAACUACUGCCGAGGUAGGAUAUUUGUUAGUAAAUAUGCUUCGAUUCUGGCACAGUACUAUUGACUGUGCGAGCUUCGGACUCUUCUCUAAAGUCCCGUUGAAGGUGGAUAUGCUGACUCCCUUCUGGCUGCUGGCUUUGUUGCAUUGGUGGUGGAGGUGGAGGCUGCUGCCAAGAUGCCUGAGGUUGGCUUGCCGAAGCAACAGAAGCUGCAGGGUGGUUGCCUACAUACUCUGGAAUGUAAGGCGAAUGGUAUGAAGCAGUGUGCAUAACUUGCUUCGGCUGGCUCUGUUGGGCUGCAGCUUCUGCUAUCUCCUUUUGUUUCUGGAUGGUAACAUGGCACAUCCUGGUGGUAUGGCCCUUGUCCUCUCCACAGAAUAGGCAAUAGAUCUUCCUGGGCUGAUCCCCAAAUCUUCCUCCGAAGCCCCUGGCACCUCUACCCCUUGGAGCUGGAGGCCGAGGAUAGCUCUGCUGCUGCCCCGAAGCCUGGGAGGAAUAUUGCGGCCUCUGCUGCUGGCUUCCCCUGUCAUCAUUCUGAGUGUUAUGAAUCGAUCUGACAUGUCUAGGGUGAACUCUCCCUCCGAAGCCACUGGCUAUUUUGGAGAACCUGUAAGCUUCCUCCCUUCUCUAUCGGAAGUCGUUGUCAGCGCGGAUGUAUUCGUCCAUCUUCUGAAGCAGUUUCUCCAGAGUCUGAGGGGGCUUCCUGGCAAAGUACUGGGCUGAAGGUCCUGGCCGAAGCCCCUUAAUCAUGGCCUCAAUGACAAUUUCAUUGGGCACUGUUGGUGCUUGUGCCCUCAGGCGUAAGAACCUUCGGACAUACGCCUGAAGAUAUUCUCCGUGGUCUUGGGUGCACUGGAAUAAGUCUUGAGCGGUGACCGGCUUCGUUUGAAACCCUUAGAAACUGGUGAUCAGCAUAUCCUUCAGCUUCUGCCAUGAUGUGAUUGUUCCUGGCCGAAGGGAGGAGUACCAGGUUUGUGCAACAUUCUUGACGGCCAUGACGAAAGACUUCGCCAUGACUGCAAUAUUGCCACCAUAGGAAGAUAUCGUUGCUUCGUAGCUCAUCAGAAACUGCUUCAGAUCUGAGUGUCCGUUGUACAUGGGGAGUUGAGGUGGCUUGUAAGACGGAGGCCAAGGUGUAGCCUGCAGUUCUGGUGAUAGAGGAGAAGCAUCGUCAAAAGCAAAAUUUCCAUGAUGGAAAUCCUCAUACCAGUCAUCCUCGUUGACGAAGCCCUCUUGGUGGAGCUCUCUGUACUGGGGCCUCCGGUUCUAUUCAUCUUGCGUAAGAUGACGAACCUCUUUAGAGGCUUUGUCUAUCUGCCUUUGUAGGUCAGCUAGCCGGGCCAUCUUUUCUUUCUUCUUUUGCACUUGUUGAUGCAGCAUUUCCAUGUUCCUGAUUUCUUGGUCCAAAUCGUCCUCCUGAGGCGUUGGACUGGUGGCCUUCCUCUUCUGGCUUCGGGCUUCCCGAAGAGAGAGAGUCUCCUGGUUCGUGUCCAGCGGCUGCAGAGCCGCAGCCCCUGUUGCUGAAGCUUUCUUUGGCGGCAUGACAAAGGUCGAUGCUUGCCGAAGGUGUUCGAAACUCAAAAAGUGGAAGUGAGUUCACCGGAGGUGGGCACUAAUGUUGGGGACUUGUUCUCAAAUGCUAAGAGUUAAGAACAAGGAAACAUAAAAAUGUUAAAUGCUAAAGUCCUUAGUCCUUCGAAGCAUUAUUUCCCUUAGGAUAUAAUGAAUUUCGGACGAAGGUUAUGAAGGACAUACCUUCAUAAGCACAACGAAUGAUGAAGAAGAAUUCAUAUAAAUUAUGAGAUAUAACAUAAACAUUUAAACAUUAUUAUUAACUCAUUUCUAUUGACUUGUCAGGGAAAAAUAGAAAUGAUAAUAAAUUACAAAUAUACCUUCGGCUUGAGAGAAGGUAAAGGUACAAGCGUGAGGCAAAAGCAAAUGCCAAGUCAGCGUGAAUAGUACGGGAACACUGUUCAUCUAUUUAUAGGCACGGGACGCAGCCCAUGCAAAAUUACAUCCAGGCCCUUUGCUUUUGACAAUAACUCUAUAGUAAUCUAUCUGGGUCUAGAUAGUCUUUUCCUCUUUAAGUCGGUUUCCUCUUUUCUGCCAUCAUGCCGAAGCUCCCUUGCGCACAACUUCUGCUCUGCUCCAUCCUUCGUAUUGUUUCCGUGCUUCUUCAUACCAUGGGCUCUUGUUCGAAGAUCCCUGUCCACACAUUAUACUCCAGAGGCAUUGCUAAAUCAUGUUUUUGAGGACCUUCGGAAGCCGAAGGCCCCCAACAGUUAUUUUGCUCUAAGAUCGGCAGUAAUGAAGUAUAAAUCAUCGUUGUGGUGUGCUACUCGGUUAAUUGAGCAUUAACACACACAAACAUGACGAGGAUGGUAUAAUCUCCAAAAAUGUGUACUUUGUUAGGUGGGACCCUAUAGCCUUGCAGAAUGUGCUAUGUUAGGCAUGCCUGGAAACGUGUGACGCAUACGUUUUGUGAACCUGUUCAUAUUAUAUGUGCUUUUAUAUUAUCGUAUUUUAUUAAAAUACUAAUAUUUAUUACUAGUAAGAUAUAACAUUCUAUCUAGCUUAAAAACUAACCAUAAAUAUUCCAUAAUAACUAGAUUUACCAAACUAAUAUACUAAAUAUACAUAAUAAAUACAAAAUUAACAAGACAAUAAUCAAUAUUUAUGAGCUUAAUAUAUUUAGACAUUAUGGUUGGUCGACGAUAAUCAUGCUAACUUUCCGUAAUUGCUUGAUUGUAAAUAUGCUUAGAAUAAUGCCUCUUUGUUCUACAUGGCAAAUAGGGACCAUUAUGGUGUAACACCCUGGGAUCCACAAACACCCUGAAAUGCUACUAAACUACACAACUAACCUUCAUAUAUUAAAUUUCGACAGCAUCUCCUUUGAAAAUUUGUAUAAACGUGGAAGCAACAGAGUAUAAACAGAUAUGAUGAUAAGGAAACAUAAUAGACAUUAAUAAUCUGCUAGAAAUGGGAAGAUAACCAUAACGACAUAAACUGAAUUAACUAGUGUGCACGGCAUGUUAAAAACAAACAUCGUUGACAAGAAGUUUCUAAUUAAAUCAUGGCUGUGCCUAGGCAGCGUUAUUAUAUGAGUGAAGGUGGACGUGAUGCUACUUCCCUCAUUCCCAACAUGAAUCAAGUACCUGUAUUGAGUAAUGCAAGAGUGAGAUGAAAACAUCUCAGCAAGUAAAUUGUUUUGACGAGAUAUUUAAACCAAAAAAAUUUGAUUUAAUCAACAUUUUAAAGGGAUCACAAUUGAGAUCAGACAUACUUGUAGAUAUAAAACUCAAUAGUCCCAAAAUAACCAAUGCCAUCUCAUUUCCACAAACAACCACAAUAGGUUGUAUAACACUUCCCUGCGUCAUCAAUACCUGCAAAUAUCACUUCAAUGUAUGCAUAGGAAUGCAAUGUUUAAGUCCUCUGCAUUCAUACUUCUUAGAGUAUAAAACCACACCAUCUGCAAAUAUCACUUCAAUGAAUGCAUAUGAAUGCAAUGCAUAUGUCCUCUGCCUUCAUACCUCUAAGGGUAUGAAGACGCAUCGUACCCCUCCUCGGGCAACGUACGAUGCUAAGUUGUACCGGUACGGUCGGACCAUAGGUCACGACAAAACUUCAGAUGCAAGUGAAUCAUGACAUGUAUAUGGCAUGCUGCAUUUAUCAAUAUACUACACUUCCUUCACAUACAAUACAAACCUCAAAUAAUACUUCGUUUACCUUCAGAUACAAUACAAACCUCAAAUAAUACUUCAUUCACCUUCAGGGGUGUUUAUUAAUCUCGUGGGUCAUACUCAAAUCAUCAUCAUCAUCAAUGAUGUUUAAGCAUCAGUAUAAUACAAUCAAGUAAAGCAUCACCAUAGAGUUCAAUUAUGAAAGAAUUCGAUGAUUCUGAAUAUUAGAGUGUAUGCGAUGAAACAACAAAGUCAAAACGGUAGCAACCACCGCUACAUUCACUUGCCUUCAUCGAAGAAGAAAAAGGUACUAGGCAUGAUUCGGAGUGUAGACACCUGCUGUGGGGCUUAAAACUUAGUACAAAUAUUCCACAAACAUUUGCCAACAACUAACAAAUCGCUCCUACACUUGUAACCAAGACCCGGUGGAAUGACUCCCACCCUGAACCACAUGUCAAACAGCAGGAGUGCUGUUUGUUAAUUUUGUAUCUUUAAAAUUAUAACAGUGGUGAUAUCAAACAAAUACUCUAGAAGUUUCUACACAAAAUACUCUACAACUUCGGUAUUCAAUGGAUAAUUAAAUUUUGCCAUCUAUAAGUUCUAAAACAUCUGACAAGAUAACUGACAGAAUCUGUUUCAGACAGCAGCAUAGUUAACUUCAAAAUUCGAUAUCUCCCAAACUCCUCAACCAAAAUUUAUGAAAUUAUGUUGACAGUAAGAACUUUUAUCCCUCUACAAAAGUCUCCAUAGUUGGAAGAGCCAAUUCGGCCAUUUACUAGAUGAAACCUACCAUUUAACAGACCCGCUCAUUUUUGUCAGGCAAACAAGAACCCUUAUAUAUCAAAGAGUAGUGGAUUUGAAUUUGUCUAAUAUGAAGUUUAUGGGCUUGGAUCAUUUAAAGUAUUUUAUAAUUCUGAAAGACAAGAUUAAACUAACUAUGUAUGAUCCUUUAGCACCGUACAGAUGGUCGAUGGGACAGUUACAUGGUUUAUAUAGAUGGACAUAUCUAUAUUCCUUCAGUGGUUGAGAAAAAGGUAAAGGUGUGUCACACUCACGCGUGCACUGCCUCCGCCGAGACGAGGCAUGGCGUUGCAAGGUGAGGCAUGGCAUGGUGCAGCACGAUCGUAUACAUGGUCGUGGCACAGUGUAGCACUGUUGUGGAUAGAUAGAUAAACUUUUGUUGUAGUUAGAGUGCAUGAGUUUUUGAAUGCAACACAAGAAUUUUCACAAUUUAACUUAAUUAAGAAGUUAUAUCUUGAUGACACAGAGUUACCUGACCAUUGAUCUCACAUGCCCUUUUAGCUCUCUCGUUCUCUAGACUCACCCUGACUAUUUAGGUCUCCUGACUCGCCAAUAUAAACACCAUCCUAUCAUUUGCUCUCGAAUACUUCUGUGUCACAACUCAACUGUCAGAUGAGUACUCCAUUACAGCACUGAGCAGGCCUCCGAAAUGAAUAUCUACUCAGAUGAAGGACGACAAUCGUGUUCUAGGGAAAUAUCAGCGACACAACUCCUUACUUCCUCCGCUUCUUCCUAGUGUUUUUUGUUGUGAUUGAGUCGACAUAGCAACAACACUGCACUAUUACAACCAGUACGACUAUAUCAACUAGCAAUGUCUUCCUUAUAUGUUACUAUUUAUUUUGCUCAUAUUCAUUAUGUUUAAAUCACAUAGGCGCCUUUAUGUUGGCAUCAAAAAAUCAGUAUCAACUUUAUAGAUUAAAAUGAAACUAAAAGUACCUAAAUUUCUAUCGGUGGGGAUCGAGUGAUUCUUUAAACCGAUUAUUACACAAGUUAACCACACUAAAAUUAACAAUGGUGAAUCGUGCCAUGAUUUUUUUCUAGUGGAAAAUAGCCAAACCAAGCAACACAUAUGUGGCUAUCGUUACACAUGUGUAAAGGUAUUGCAUCACACCAUUGUCACCCAUGUAUUUGGACAAUACCGAGAGGAAAAACCACUUAUUUAUUGUAUUAUAUCAAGUUUGUCUUGCUUACGUAUAAAUUAUAACCCAACAAAGUAAUCACUAAAUGUCAAAACCAACUAGAUACCAUGUCAUCUCUACCUUAUCUUACUAAUAUUCUUUUUGCAAAAUCCAAAAUUAAUCUUGCACAAGCACAAGGACUGAGAUGUGUAUAAAUAUCUCUUAAAUUAGUAGCUAAUAUAUCGCACAUAUUAUUGAGACCAACUAGCAACAUAGAAAGCACAAUAGUGUACCAACAAUGGCAGCCAAAAUAUUUUGCCUCCUUAUGCUCCUUGGUCUUUCUGCAAGUGCUGCUACGGCGACCAUUUUCCCGCAAUGCUCGCAAGCUCCUAUAGCUUCCCUUCUUCCCCCGUACCUCUCACCAGCGGUGUCUUCGGUAUGUGAAAACCCAAUUCUUCAACCCUACAGGAUCCAACAGGCAAUCACAGCUGGCAUCUUACCUUUAUCACCCUUGUUCCUCCAACAAUCAUCAGCCCUAUUACAUCAGUUACCUUUGGUGCAUUUAUUGGCACAAAACAUCAGGGCACAACAACUACAACAACUUGUGCUAGCAAACCUUGCUGCCUACUCUCAGCAACAGCAGUUUCUUCCAUUCAACCAACUAGCUGCAUUGAACUCUGCUUCUUAUUUGCAACAACAACAACUACCAUUCAGCCAGCUACCUGCUGCCUACCCCCAGCAAUUUCUUCCAUUCAACCAACUGGCAGCAUUGAACUCUCCUGCUUAUUUACAGCAGCAACAACUACUACCAUUCAGCCAGCUAGCUGGUGUGAGCCCUGCUACCUUCUUGAUACAACCACAGUUGUUGCCGUUCUACCAGCACGCUGCGCCUAACGCUGGCACCCUCUUACAACUGCAACAAUUGCUGCCAUUCAACCAACUUGCUUUGACAAACCCAGCAGCGUUCUACCAACAACCCAUCAUUGGUGGUGCCCUCUUUUAGAUUUCUUAUGAGUUAUAGUUCAAUAAUAAAGUUUUUUGUCUGAUGUUUGUGGCUUCCCAGAAAUAAGAAAGUACAUUUCUAGAUUCUUAUGUGCUUCUAGUCUCCAAAUGUGGUUGAUAGUUAUUUUGCUCUAAGAUCGACAGUAAUGAAGUAUAAAUCAUCGUUGUGGUGUGCUACUCGGUUAAUUGAGCAUUAACACACACAAACAUGACGAGGAUGGUAUAAUCUCCAAAAAUAUGUACUUUGUUAGGUGGGACCCUAUAGCCUUGCAUAAUGUGCUAUGUUAGGCAUGCCUGGAAACGUGUGACGCAUAUGUUUUGUGAACCUGUUGAUAUUAUAUGUGCUUUUAUAUUACCAUAUUUUAUUAAAAUACUAAUAUUUAUUACUAGUAAGAUAUAACAUUCUAUCUAGCUUAAAAACUAACCAUAAAUAUUCCAUAAUAACUAGAUUUACCAAACUAAUAUACUAAAUAUACAUAAUAAAUACAAAAUUAACAAGACAAUAAUCAAUAUUUAUGAGCUUAAUAUAUUUAGACAUUAUGGUUGGUCGACCAUAAUCAUGCUAACUUUUCGUACUUGCUUGAUUGUAAAUAUGCUUAGAAUAAUGCCUCUUUGUUCUACAUGGCAAAUAGGGACCAUUAUGGUGUAACACCCUGGGAACCACAAACACCCCGAAAUGCUACUAAACUACACAACUAACCUUCAUAUAUAAAAUUUCGACAGCAUCUCCUUUGAAAAUUUGCAUAAACGUGGAAGCAACAGAGUAUAAACAGAUAUCAUGAUAAGGAAACAUACUAGACAUUAAUAAUCUGCUAGAAAUGGGAAGAUAACCAUAACGACAUAAACUGAAUUAACUAGUGUGCACAACUUGUUUAAAACAAACAUCAUUGACAAGAAGUUUCUAAUUAAAUCAUGGCUGUGCCUGGGUAGCGUUAUUAUGAGAGUGAAGGUGGACGUGAUGCUACUUCCCUCAUUCCCAACAUGAAUCAAGUACCUGCAUUGAGUAAUGCAAGAGUGAGAUGAAAACAUCUCAGCAAGUAAAUUGUUUUGACGAGAUAUUUAAAGCAAAAAAAUUUGAUUUACUCAACAUUUUAAAGGGAUCACAAUUGAGAUCAGAAAUACUUGUAGAUAUAGAACUCAAUAGUCCCAAAAUAACCAGUGCCAUCUCAUUUCCUCAAACAACCACAAUAGGUUGUAUAACACUUCCCUGCGUCAUCAAUACCUGCAAAUAUCACUUCAAUGUAUGCAUAGGAAUGCAAUGUUUAAGUCCUCUGCAUUCAUACUUCUUAGAGUAUAAAACCACACCAUCUGCAAAUAUCACUUCAAUGAAUGCAUAUGAAUGCAAUGCAUAUGUCCUCUGCCUUCAUACCUCUAAGGGUAUGAAGCCGAAUCGUACCCCUCCUCGGGCAACGUACGAUGCUAAGUUGUACCGUUACGGUCGGACCAUAGGUCACGACAAAACUUCAUAUGCAAGUGAAUCAUGACAUGUAUAUGGCUUGCUGCAUUUAUCAAUAUACUUCACUUCCUUCAUAUACAAUACAAACCUCAAAUAAUACUUCGUUUACCUUCAGAUACAAUACAAACCUCAAAUAAUACUUCAUUCACCUUCAGGGGUGUUUAUUAAUCUCGUGGGUCAUACUCGAAUCAUCAUCAUCAUCAAUGAUGAUUAAGCAUCAGUAUAAUACAAUCAAGUAAAGCAUCACCAUAGAGUUCAAUUAUGAAAGAAUUCGAUGAUUCUGAAUAUUAGAGUGUAUGCGAUGAAACAACAACGUCAAAACGGUAGCAACCACCGCUACAUUCACUUGCCUUCAUCGAAGAAGAAAAACAUACUAGGCAUGAUUCAGAGUGUAGACACCUGCUGUGGGGCUUAAAACUUAGUACAAAUAUUCCACAAACAUUUGCCAACAAUUAACAAAUCGCUCCUACACUUGAAACCAAGACCCGGUGGAAUGACUCCCACCCUGAACCACAUGCCAAACAAUAGUAGUGUUGUUUGUUAAUUUUGUAUCUUUAAAAUUAUAACAGUGGUGAUAUCAAACAAAUACUCCAGAAGUUUCUACACAAAAUACUCUACAACUUUGGUAUUCAAUGGAUAAUUAAAUUUUGCCAUCUAUAAGUUCUAAAACAUCUGAUAAGAUAACUGACUGAAUUUGUUUCAGACAACAGCAUAGUUAACUUCAAAAUUCGAUAUCUCCCAAACUCCUCAACCAAAAAUUAUGAAAUUAUUCUGACAGUAAGAACUUUUUUCCCUCUACAAAAGUAUCUAUAGUUGGAAGAGCCAAUUCGGCCAUUUACUAGAUGAAACCUACCAGUUAACAGACCCGCUCAUUUUUGUCAGGCAAACAAGAACCCUUAUAUAUCAAAGAGUAGUGGAUUUGAAUUUGUCUAAUAUGAAGUUUAUGGGCUUGGAUCAUUUAAAGUAUUUUAUAAUUCUGAAAGACAAGAUUAAACUAACUAUGUAUGAUCCUUUAGCACUGUACAGAUGGUCGAUGGGACAGUUACAUGGUUUAUAUAGAUGGACCUAUCUAUAUUCCUUCAGUGGUUGAGAAAAAGGUAAAGGUGUGUCACACUCACGUGUGCGCCGCCUCUACCGAGAUGAGGCAUGGCGUUGCAAGGUGAGGCAUGGCAUGGUGCAGCACGAUCGUAUACAUGGUCGUGGCACAGUGUAGCACUGUUGUGGAUAGAUAGAUAAACUUUUGUUGUAGUUAGAGUGCAUGAGUUUUUGAAUGCAACACAAGAAUUUUCACAAUUUAACUUAAUUAAGAAGUUAUAUCUUGAUGACACAGAGUUACCUGACCAUUGAUCUCACAUGCCCUUUUAGCUCUCUCGUUCUCUAGACUCACCCUGACUAUUUAGGUCUCCUGACUCGCCAAUAUAAACACCAUCCUAUCAUUUGCUCUCGAAUACUUCUGUGUCACAACUCAACUGUCAGAUGAGUACUCCAUUACAGCACUGAGCAGGCCUCCGAAAUGAAUAUCUACUCAGAUGAAGGACGACAAUCGUGUUCUAGGGAAAUAUCGGUGACACAACUCCUUACUUCCUCCGCUUCUUCCUAGUGUUUUUUGUUGUGAUUGAGUCGACACAGCAACAACACUGCACUAUUACAACCAGUACGACUAUAUUAACUAGCAAUGUCUUCCUUAUAUGUUACUAUUUAUUUUGCUCAUAUUCAUUAUGUUUAAAUCACAUAGGCACCUUUUUGUUGGCAUCAAAAAAUUAGUAUCAACUUUCUAGAUUAAAGUGAAACUAAAAGUACCUAAAUUUCUAUCGGUGGGGAUCGAGUGAUUCUUUAAACCAAUUAUUACGCAAGUUAACCACACUAAAAUUAACAUUGGUGAACCGUGCCAUGAUUUUUUCUAAUGGAAAAUAGCCAAACCAAGCAACACAUAUGUGGCUAUCGUUACACAUGUGUAAAGGUAUUGCAUCACACCAUUGUCACCCAUGUAUUUGGACAAUACCGAGAGGAAAAACCACUUAUUUAUUGUAUUUUAUCAAGUUUGUCUUGCUUACGUAUAAAUUAUAACCCAACAAAGUAAUCACUAAAUGUCAAAACCAACUAGAUACCAUGUCAUCUCUACCUUAUCUUACUAAUAUUCUUUUUGCAAAAUCCAAAAUUAAUCUUGCACAAGCACAAGGACUGAGAUGUGUAUAAAUAUCUCUUAAAUUAGUAGCUAAUAUAUCACACAUAUUAUUGAGACCAACUAGCAACAUAGAAAGCACAAUAGUGUACCAACAAUGGCAGCUAAAAUAUUUUGCCUCCUUAUGCUCCUUGGUCUUUCUGCAAGUGCUGCUACGGCGACCAUUUUCCCACAAUGCUCACAAGCUCCUAUAGCUUCCCUUCUUCCCCCGUACCUCUCACCAACGGUGUCUUCGGUAUGUGAAAACCCAAUUCUUCAACCCUACAGGAUCCAACAGGCAAUCGCAGCUGGCAUCUUACCUUUAUCACCCUUGUUCCUCCAACAAUCAUCAGCCCUAUUACAGCAGUUACCUUUGGUGCAUUUAUUGGCACAAAACAUCAGGGCACAACAACUACAACAACUUGUGCUAGCAAACCUUGCUGCCUACUCUCAGCAACAGCAGUUUCUUCCAUUCAACCAACUAGCUGCAUUGAACUCUGCUUCUUAUUUGCAACAACAACAACUACCAUUCAGCCAGCUAUCUGCUGCCUACCCCCAGCAAUUUCUUCCAUUCAACCAACUGACAGCAUUGAACUCUCCUGCUUAUUUACAGCAGCAACAACUACUACCAUUCAGCCAGCUAGCUGGUGUGAGCCCUGCUACCUUCUUGACACAACCACAGUUGUUGCCGUUCUACCAGCACGCUGCGCCUAACGCUGGCACCCUCUUACAACUGCAACAAUUGCUGCCAUUCAACCAACUUGCUUUGACAAACCCAGCAGCAUUCUACCAACAACCCAUCAUUGGUGGUGCCCUCUUUUAGAUUUCUUAUGAGUUAUAGUUCAAUAAUAAAGUUUUUUGUCUGAUGUUUGUGGCUUCCCAGAAAUAAGAAAGUACAUUUCUAGAUUCUUAUGUGCUUCUAGUCUCCAAAUGUGGUUGAUAGUUAUUUUGCUCUAAGAUCAACAGUAAUGAAGUAUAAAUCAUCGUUGUGGUGUGCUACUCGGUUAAUUGAGCAUUAACACACACAAACAUGACGAGGAUGGUAUAAUCUCCAAAAAUGUGUACUUUGUUAGGUGGGACCCUAUAGCCUUGAUUAAUGUGCUAUGUUAGGCAUGCCUGGAAACGUGUGACGCAUAUGUUUUGUGAACCUGUUGAUAUUAUAUGUGCUUUUAUAUUACCAUAUUUUAUUAAAAUACUAAUAUUUAUUACUAGUAAGAUAUAACAUUCUAUCUAGCUUAAAAACUAACCAUAAAUAUUCCAUAAUAACUAGAUUUACCAAACUAAUAUACUAAAUAUACAUAAUAAAUACAAAAUUAACAAGACAAUAAUCAAUAUUUAUGAGCUUAAUAUAUUUAGACAUUAUGGUUGGUCGACGAUAAUCAUGCUAACUUUUCGUAAUUGCUUGAUUGUAAAUAUGCUUAGAAUAAUGCCUCUUUGUUCUACAUGGCAAAUAGGGACCAUUAUGGUGUAACACCCUGGGAACCACAAACACCCCGAAAUGCUACUAAACUACACAACUAACCUUCAUAUAUAAAAUUUCGACAGCAUCUCCUUUGAAAAUUUGCAUAGACGUGGAAGCAACAGAGUAUAAACAGAUAUCAUGAUAAGAAAACAUACUAGACAUUAAUAAUCUGCUAGAAAUGGGAAGAUAACCAUAACGACAUAAACUGAAUUAACUAGUGUGCACAACUUGUUAAAAACAAACAUCGUUGACAAGAAGUUUCUAAUUAAAUCAUGGUUGUGCCUGGGCAGCGUUAUUAUGAGAGUGAAGGUGGACGUGAUGCUACUUCCCUCAUUCCCAACAUGAAUCAAGUACCUGCAUUGAGCAAUGCAAGAGUGAGAUGAAAACAUCUCAGCAAGUAAAUUGUUUUGACGAGAUAUUUAAACCAAAAAAAUUUGAUUUACUCAACAUUUUAAAGGGAUCACAAUUGAGAUCAGAAAUACUUGUAGAUAUAGAACUCAAUAGUCCCAAAAUAACCAGUGCCAUCUCAUUUCCUCAAACAACCACAAUAGGUUGUAUAACACUUCCCUGCGUCAUCAAUACCUGCAAAUAUCACUUCAAUGUAUGCAUAGGAAUGCAAUGUUUAAGUCCUCUGCAUUCAUACUUCUUAGAGUAUAAAACCACACCAUCUGCAAAUAUCACUUCAAUGAAUGCAUAUGAAUGCAAUGCAUAUGUCCUCUGCCUUCAUACCUCUAAGGGUAUGAAGCCGAAUCGUACCCCUCCUCGGGCAACGUACGAUGCUAAGUUGUACCGGUACGGUCGGACCAUAGGUCACGACAAAACUUCAUAUGCAAGUGAAUCAUGACAUGUAUAUGGCUUGCUGCAUUUAUCAAUAUACUUCACUUCCUUCAUAUACAAUACAAACCUCAAAUAAUACUUCGUUUACCUUCAGAUACAAUACAAACCUCAAAUAAUACUUCAUUCACCUUCAGGGGUGUUUAUUAAUCUCGUGGGUCAUACUCGAAUCAUCAUCAUCAUCAAUGAUGAUUAAGCAUCAGUAUAAUACAAUCAAGUAAAGCAUCACCAUAGAGUUCAAUUAUGAAAGAAUUCGAUGAUUCUGAAUAUUAGAGUGUAUGCGAUGAAACAACAACGUCAAAACGGUAGCAACCACCGCUACAUUCAUUUGCCUUCAUCGAAGAAGAAAAAUGUACUAGGCAUGAUUCAGAGUGUAGACACCUGCUGUGGGGCUUAAAACUUAGUACAAAUAUUCCACAAACAUUUGCCAACAAUUAACAAAUCGCUCCUACACUUGAAACCAAGACCCGGUGGAAUGACUCCCACCCUGAACCACAUGCCAAACAAUAGUAGUGCUGUUUGUUAAUUUUGUAUCUUUAAAAUUAUAACAGUGGUGAUAUCAAACAAAUACUCUAGAAGUUUCUACACAAAAUACUCUACAACUUCGGUAUUCAAUGGAUAAUUAAAUUUUGCCAUCUAUAAGUUCUAAAACAUCUGAUAAGAUAACUGACUGAAUUUGUUUCAGACAGCAGCAUAGUUAACUUCAAAAUUCGAUAUCUCCCAAACUCCUCAACCAAAAAUUAUGAAAUUAUGCUGACAGUAAGAACUUUUUGUCCCUCUACAAAAGUAUCUAUAGUUGGAAGAGCCAAUUCGGCCAUUUACUAGAUGAAACCUACCAGUUAACAGACCCGCUCAUUUUUGUCAGGCAAACAAGAACCCUUAUAUAUCAAAGAGUAGUGGAUUUGAAUUUGUCUAAUAUGAAGUUUAUGGGCUUGGAUCAUUUAAAGUAUUUUAUAAUUCUGAAAGACAAGAUUAAACUAACUAUGUAUGAUCCUUUAGCACCGUACAGAUGGUCGAUGGGACAGUUACAUGGUUUAUAUAGAUGGACCUAUCUAUAUUCCUUCAGUGGUUGAGAAAAAGGUAAAGGUGUGUCACACUCACGUGUGCGCCGCCUCUGCCGAGAUGAGGCAUGGCGUUGCAAGGUGAGGCAUGGCAUGGUGCAGCACGAUCGCAGUCAUGGUCGUGGCACAGUGUAGCACUGUUGUGGAUAGAUAGAUAAACUAUUGUUGUAGUUAGAGUGCAUGAGUUUUUGAAUGCAACACUAGGAUUUUCACAAUUUAACUUAAUUAAGAAGUUAUAUCUUGAUGACACAGAGUUACCUGACCAUUGAUCUCACAUGCCCUUUUAGCUCUCUUGUUCUCUAGACUCACCCUGACUAUUGAGGUCUCUUGACUCGCCAAUAUAAACACCAUCCUAUCAUUUGCUCUCGAAUACUUUUGUGUCACAACUCAACUGUCAGAUGAGUACUCCAUUACAGCACUGAGCAGGCCUCCGAAAUGAAUAUCUACUCAGAUGAAGGACGACAAUCGUGUUCUAGGGAAAUAUCAGUGACACAACUCCUUACUUCCUCUGCUUCUUCCUAGUGUUUUUUGUUGUGAUUGAGUCGACACAGCAACAACACUGCACUAUUACAACCAGUACGACUAUAUUAACUAGCAAUGUCUUCCUUAUAUGUUACUAUUUAUUUUGCUCAUAUUCAUUAUGUUUAAAUCACAUAGGCACCUUUUUGUUGGCAUCAAAAAAUUAGUAUCAACUUUCUAGAUUAAAGUGAAACUAAAAGUACCUAAAUUUCUAUCGGUGGGGAUCGAGUGAUUCUUUAAACCGAUUAUUACACAAGUGAACCACACUAAAAUUAACAUUGGUGAAUCGUGCCAUGAUUUUUUCUAGUGGAAAAUAGCCAAACCAAGCAACACAUAUGUGGCUAUCGUUACACAUGUGUAAAGGUAUUGCAUCACACCAUUGUCACCCAUGUAUUUGGACAAUACCGAGAGGAAAAACCACUUAUUUAUUGUAUUUUAUCAAGUUUGUCUUGCUUACGUAUAAAUUAUAACCCAACAAAGUAAUCACUAAAUGUCAAAACCAACUAGAUACCAUGUCAUCUCUACCUUAUCUUACUAAUAUUCUUUUUGCAAAAUCCAAAAUUAAUCUUGCACAAGCACAAGGACUGAGAUGUGUAUAAAUAUCUCUUAAAUUAGUAGCUAAUAUAUCACACAUAUUAUUGAGACCAACUAGCAACAUAGAAAGCACAAUAGUGUACCAACAAUGGCAGCCAAAAUAUUUUGCCUCCUUAUGCUCCUUGGUCUUUCUGCAAGUGCUGCUACGGCGACCAUUUUCCCACAAUGCUCACAAGCUCCUAUAGCUUCCCUUCUUCCCCCGUACCUCUCACCAGCGGUGUCUUCGGUAUGUGAAAACCCAAUUCUUCAACCCUAUAGGAUCCAACAGGCAAUCGCAGCUGGCAUCUUACCUUUAUCACCCUUGUUCCUCCAACAAUCAUCAGCCCUAUUACAGCAGUUACCUUUGGUGCAUUUAUUGGCACAAAACAUCAGGGCACAACAACUACAACAACUUGUGCUAGCAAACCUUGCUGCCUACUCUCAGCAACAACAGUUUCUUCCAUUCAACCAACUAGCUGCAUUGAACUCUGCUUCUUAUUUGCAACAACAACAACUACCAUUCAGCCAGCUAUCUGCUGCCUACCCCCAGCAAUUUCUUCCAUUCAACCAACUGACAGCUUUGAACUCUCCUGCUUAUUUACAGCAGCAACAACUACUACCAUUCAGCCAGCUAGCUGGUGUGAGCCCUGCUACCUUCUUGACACAACCACAAUUGUUGCCGUUCUACCAGCACGCUGCGCCUAACGCUGGCACCCUCUUACAACUGCAACAAUUGCUGCCAUUCAACCAACUUGCUUUGACAAACCCAACAGCAUUCUACCAACAACCCAUCAUUGGUGGUGCCCUCUUUUAGAUUUCUUAUGAGUUAUAGUUCAAUAAUAAAGUUUUUUGUCUGAUGUUUGUGGCUUCCCAGAAAUAAGAAAGUACAUUUCUAGAUUCUUAUGUGCUUCUAGUCUCCAAAUGUGGUUGAUAGUUAUUUUGCUCUAAGAUUAGCAGUAAUGAAGUAUAAAUCAUCGUUGUGGUGUGCUACUCGGUUAAUUGAGCAUUAACACACACAAACAUGACGAGGAUGGUAUAAUCUCCAAAAAUGUGUACUUUGUUAGGUGGGACCCUAUAGCCUUGCAGAAUGUGCUACGUUAGGCAUGCCAAUGGAAACGUGUGACACAUACGUUUUGUGAAUCUGUUGAUAUUAUAUGUGCUUUUAUAUUACCAUAUUUUAUUAAAAUACUAAUAUUUAUUACUAGUAAGAUAUAACAUUCUAUCUAGCUUAAAAACUAACCAUAAAUAUUCCAUAAUAACUAGAUUUACCAAACUAAUAUACUAAAUAUACAUAAUAAAUAUAAAAUUAACAAGACAAUAAUUAAUAUUUAUGAGCUUAAUUUAUUUAGACAUUAUGGUUGGUCGACGAUAAUCAUGCUAACUUUCCGUAAUUGCUUGAUUGUAAAUAUGCUUAGAAUAAUGCCUCUUUGUUCUACAUGGCAAAUAGGGACCAUUAUGGUGUAACACCCCGGGAUCCACAAACACCCCGAAAUGCUACUAAACUACACAACUAACCUUCAUAUAUAAAAUUUCGACAGCAUCUCCUUUGAAAAUUUGCAUAAACGUGGAAGCAACAGAGUAUAAACAGAUAUCAUGAUAAGGAAACAUACUAGACAUUAAUAAUCUGCUAGAAAUGGGAAGAUAACCAUAACGACAUAAACUGAAUUAACUAGUGUGCACAACUUGUUAAAAACAAACAUCGUUGACAAGAAGUUUCUAAUUAAAUCAUGGUUGUGCCUGGGCAGCGUUAUUAUGAGAGUGAAGGUGGACGUGAUGCUACUUCCCUCAUUCCCAACAUGAAUCAAGUACCUGCAUUGAGUAAUGCAAGAGUGAGAUGAAAACAUCUCAGCAAGUAAAUUGUUUUGACGAGAUAUUUAAACCAAAAAAAUUGAUUUAAUCAACAUUUUAAAGGGAUCACAAUUGAGAUCAGAAAUACUUGUAGAUAUAGAACUCAAUAGUCCCAAAAUAACCAAUGCCAUCUCAUUUCCUCAAACAACCACAAUAGGUUGUAUAACACUUCCCUGCGUCAUCAAUACCUGCAAAUAUCACUUCAAUGUAUGCAUAGGAAUGCAAUGUUUAAGUCCUCUGCAUUCAUACUUCUUAGAGUAUAAAACCACACCAUCUGCAAAUAUCACUUCAAUGAAUGCAUAUGAAUGCAAUGCAUAUGUCCUCUGCCUUCAUACCUCUAAGGGUAUGAAGCCGCAUCGUACCCCUCCUCGGGCAACGUACGAUGCUAAGUUGUACCGGUACGGUCGGACCAUAGGUCACGACAAAACUUCAGAUGCAAGUGAAUCAUGACAUGUAUAUGGCAUGCUGCAUUUAUCAAUAUACUUCACUUCCUUCAUAUACAAUACAAACCUAAAAUAAUACUUCGUUUACCUUCAGAUACAAUACAAACCUCAAAUAAUACUUCAUUCACCUUCAGGGGUGUUUAUUAAUCUCGUGGGUCAUACUCAAAUCAUCAUCAUCAUCAAUGAUGUUUAAGCAUCAGUAUAAUACAAUCAAGUAAAGCAUCACCAUAGAGUUCAAUUAUGAAAGAAUUCGAUGAUUCUGAAUAUUAGAGUGUAUGCGAUGAAACAACAAAGUCAAAACGGUAGCAACCACCUCUACAUUCACUUGCCUUCAUCGAAGAAGAAAAAGGUACUAGGCAUGAUUCGGAGUGUAGACACCUGCUGUGGGGCUUAAAACUUAGUACAAAUAUUCCAUAAACAUUUGCCAACAAUUAACAAAUCGCUCCUACACUUGAAACCAAGACCCGGUGGAAUGACUCCCACCCUGAACCACAUGCCAAACAACAAUAGUGUUGUUUGUUAAUUUCUAUCUUUAAAAUUAUAACAGUGGUGAUAUCAAACAAAUACUCUAUACGUUUCUACACAAAAUACUCUACAACUUCGGUAUUCAAUGGAUAAUUAAAUUUUGCCAUCUAUAAGUUCUAAAACAUCUGACAAGAUAACUGACUGAAUCUGUUUCAGACAACAGCAUAGUUAACUUCAAAAUUCGAUAUCUCCCUAACUCCUCAACAAAAAAUUAUGAAAUUAUGCUGACAGUAAGAACUUUUAUCCCUCUACAAAAGUCUCCAUAGUUGAAAGAGCCAAUUCGGCCAUUUACUAGAUGAAACCUACCAGUUAACGGACCCGCUCAUUUUUGUCAAGCAAACAAGAACCCUUAUAUAUCAAAGAGUAGUGGAUUUGAAUUUGUCUAAUAUGAAGUUUACGGGCUUGGCUCAUUUAAAGUAUUUAAUAAUUCUGAAAGACAAGAUUAAACUAACUAUGUAUGAUCCUUUAGCACCGUACAGAUGGUCGAUGGGACAGUUACAUGGUUUAUAUAGAUGGACCUAUCUAUAUUCCUUCAGUGGUUGAGAAAAAAGUAAAGGUGUGUCACACUCACGUGUGCGCCGCCUCCGCCGAGACGAGGCAUGGCGUUGCAAGGUGAGGCAUGGCAUGGUGUAGCACGAUAGCAGUCAUGGUCGUGGCACAGUGUAGCACUGUUGUGGAUAGAUAGGUAAACUAUUGUUGUAGUUAGAGUGCAUGAGUUUUUGAAUGCAACACUAGAAUUUUCACAAUUUAACUUAAUUAAGAAGUUAUAUCUUGAUGACACAGAGUUACCUGACCAUUGAUCUCACAUGCCCUUUUAGCUCUCUCGUUCUCUAGACUCACCCUGACUAUUUAAGUCUCUUGACUCGCCAAUAUAAACACCAUCCUAUCAUUUGCUCUAGAAUACUUCUGUGUCACAACUCAACUGUCAGAUGAGUACUCCAUUACAGCACUUACGUACACGAGUUCUAUGAGAGCAGGCCUCCAAAAUGAAUAUCUACUUAGAUGAAGGACGACAAUCGUGUUCUAGGGAAAUAUCAGCGACACAACUCCUUACUUCCUUCGCUUCUUCCUAGUGUUUUUUGUUGUGAUUGAGUCGACACAGCAACAACACUGCACUAUUACAACCAGUACGACUAUAUCAACUAGCAAUGUCUUCCUUAUAUGUUACUAUUUAUUUUGCACAUAUUCAUUAUGUUUAAAUCACAUAGGCACCUUUCUAUUGGCAUCAAAAAAUUAGUAUCAACUUUCUAGAUUAAAAUGAAACUAAAAGUACAUAAAUUUCUAUCGGUGGGGAUCGAGUGAUUCUUUAAACCGAUUAUUACACAAGUUAACCACACUAAAAUUAACAUUGGUGAAUCGUGCCAUGAUUUUUUUUCUAGUGGAAAAUAGCCAAACCAAGCAACACAUAUGUGGCUAUCGUUACACAUGUGUAAAGGUAUUGCAUCACACUAUUGUCACCCAUGUAUUUGGACAAUACCGAGAGGAAAAACCACUUAUUUAUUGUAUUUUAUCAAGUUUGUCUUGCUUACGUAUAAAAUUAUAACCCAACAAAGUAAUCACUAAACGUCAAAACCAACUAGAUAUCAUGUCAUCUCUACCUUAUCUUACUAAUAUUCUUUUUGCAAAAUCCAAAAUUAAUCUUGCACAAGCACAAGGACUGAGAUGUGUAUAAAUAUCUCUUAAAUUAGUAGCUAAUAUAUCGCACAUAUUAUUUAGACCAACUAGCAACAUAGAAAGCACAAUAGUGUACCAACAAUGGCAGCCAAAAUAUUUUGCCUCCUUAUGCUCCUUGGUAUUUCUGCAAGUGCUGCUACGGCGACCAUUUUCCCGCAAUGCUCACAAGCUCCUAUAGCUUCCCUUCUUCCCCCGUACCUCUCACCAGCGGUGUCUUCGGUAUGUGAAAACCCAAUUCUUCAACCCUACAGGAUCCAACAGGCAAUCGCAGCUGGCAUCUUACCUUUAUCACCCUUGUUCCUCCAACAAUCAUCAGCCCUAUUACAGCAGUUACCUUUGGUGCAUUUAUUGGCACAAAACAUCAGGGCACAACAACUACAACAACUUGUGCUAGCAAACCUUGCUGCCUACUCUCAGCAACAGCAGUUUCUUCCAUUCAACCAACUAGCUGCAUUGAACUCUGCUUCUUAUUUGCAACAACAACAACUACCAUUCAGCCAGCUAC
rnacentral:lncRNA from 1 species